rnacentral:lncRNA from 1 species
UCCUCAUGUAACCGGCUUCGCAUCAGUACGCCCCGCGUACUAGUGUUUUCUCCCAAACCCUAAAUUUUGGAAGGCCAUAACUCACUCGAUACAACUCAUAUUUCGACCAUCCAUAUAUCCAUAGAAAGACACCGAGACCUUCAACACUAUCAUCAAUUCAUACUCGUAAUAAGAUAUCCUGAACUAAAAUCCAUUUUAAGCCUAAACUGACAAAUUACCGAAAUACCCCUUUUUGCUCCAAAUCACAACCGAAUACCCGAAUCAUCCAAUAUAGCAUCCACCUCUGAAUGAGCCCAAGACUAACUUCUUCAAGGAUUCUAACCCUGCUGAUACCCAACCCUUGAUCACCAUUCCAAAAAGAAAACGACCUGAAAACAAGGUGUUACAACUGUCCCUCACUUAAAGUAUAUUUCGCUCUCAAAAUUGCCCUUUGCUAACACUCGGAUCAUCUGAAACAACUCGAGAAGCGCCACAGAAAAAUCAGAACAUAACAGGAUCUCCCCAAGACAAUUGAACCCAACAUAAACCUCCAACUAGAAAAAGAAUGAACCUUUUGCCAUUACAGAACCACUUCCGCCUCACCAAAGCCUGAAAGUUAUAUUGGUUUGACUCCCUGACAGACUGCCCAUGCAAAAACAUCACCAUGUCAAUCCCUCAUUAAAUAAUAGACCAAAAAAAUACUUCCAACCCUGAUUAUCUUGAUGCGUCUAAUGGAAACAAGUCGGUGACCAUAAUCAGCUGCAAAACACUUAUGUCUGACAUACCAGUCAAUCCUGACCGAAACCCAAAAGAAACGGUGGGGUCUCCUCGCACCAAAGACCAACGACCGAUCUUGCUAUCAAACGCAUCUGAAGAAUAGACCUCAAUACCCUGUCCUCAGACAUUAAAAGAAUACCAUGCUAUUCUUCAUGGAAGAUUAAACUCUUCUCAACAAUUCAUUUACCAAACCUAAGACGAUUCAGCUCCGACCCCGAACUGAAUGACCAUGCCCAACCGACACUAUCCACAAAUAUCCGAAAAGUAGAUCGACUCCCAAUCCACAAGUUGAACCGCCAAAGACUACCCUAGCACAUUCAUCAAAGGAACUCCACAUCCAUUCAAUCGAACAGGGAUAGCUCAACCAAUCACAUUACACAUGCAAUUAAUAAGUUUGGCUUACCCUAAGCGAAUAUUACAACCGAUUUGUAGUCACGCAUCACCUUUGACCUCUGUGUUCUACCACUUACUAAUUCCAUACGUGUUGUGGUCAUCCCCAAGCCAAAAUCACUAACCCACCCAGUUCUAAAACAUUAGAUGGAAACCAUAACGACUCAAAAUGAGAUCCAUCUGGAAAUCCAAAAUUCCAACCUGCUUAUCCUUUAAACAGAUAGAGUCAAACUCAAAAACAAGAGUCUGGUCCGACAACAAAUAAAAAAAAUAAAACCACUCAUAUCCAAUUUGAUACUCAAUUCAUGACCCGAGAUCCGUGAAUCUACGCAUGUAUUACACUCCAAUCCUUCCGACUUGCAUCAACCCCUUUCUAAAUCAAGAUAUAACAGUUCCCGACCAUCGCUGAGACCCCAGUCUCACACGUGGUCCGACCACCCGAUUCCCAAAGACUCAAAUGGCAAGGCUACACAAGCCUAAGAACCCCUCUGCACUACACACUAACUAGUGUAUAAUAGGGCUCCCCGUAGUCUUACAACACUCUCUCACUGACUAGUGAAUGCUACAGCUCCCCGUAGUCUUAUGACACUCCAUCACUCGCCAUGGGCUCACCUCAUGGUCUUUCCCGACAGUCCGAAGUGAUUACUUCCACCUGGAUCCAUCCACUCUCUUACAACCUCACAUCCGCUAGUUCACCAAAUAAUCCCACAAUCUCAUUGUCAAACCAUCACCAUACCAAGCUUAAUAAACUCAUGCUCUACGAUCCAACAUAAAUAGGUGCGCACACCCACCCAGAUUAAUCAUCACUAUUCCUGACAAAAAUUGUCGCAAACAAAGCACUUUCCCUCAAUACAAUUUAAACCCUUGGGCAAUCCUCGUUUGGCGACAAAUAAUUGAUGGGUCCACAACUAGAAUAGAUAAUAGUCGCUUGAUGCUCCACUUGUCGUCUAAUAAACUCAAGCGAAACUACACAUACUAACUCUAAAUUUAAUUAACAAAUCAACUAUUUCCCUUCUCGGAGUAUAGAUAGCAAUCUAUAUGUCGAGCUAGCAAAUUUCUCAAUAAUUAAAAGUGCCUCAAUGACCCAACCGCCUGGAAACUCAAACAUUAGCGAACCCGAAAGAAAUAUUGACCACCAUAAGAUCUGUGACCUACAGCUACCUGUCGUGAAGACACUUAUUCAUUCCUGAGCGCAUAUACAUGCAUUAUGUCGCUCUGUACCUUGCCCUGACUACAUCUAGACCCAAGUCUCAUAUACCCGAACCGCAGAUCCCUAUAACCCAAUCUCCUGAAACGAAACUUAAAGAGACUGAUAAUCCUCCCAGCAUAAUACCUAGUUCUCCUCCAUUUAGGGUUCAGACCAUUGCCAAUUGGCAUGACAAACAGACCAUGCUAUGAACUGGCUCACAAGAUAUAAAAUACCUGACUCUUGGGACGUACCAUGCAACACUCUAUGAUCUUCCAGAUAAAUACCAACCAACUCCAAAUAUUCCAAAUCUCAGAUGGAGACCUUGAAAAACAUCCUAAUAUGACUGCCUCUAAUCACCAAGAAUUUCAUACAGCUGCACAACCAAAUAUUUCGACUGGACUAAAAUAGUAUCGACUCUUUAUCUAGAAAAUCAUAGAAUAUCACCCCUUUCAUUCUCUGAAUCUUCAACCAACACCUUUUCGCAAGAAUCAUCGUUGAAAUAGGUAUCCUCACCCACACGACCGAUUCGCAACAUAGAUAACGAAGGCCAUCGUCCUGAGAUACUCCUCCUGGUUACCUAGAACUGUUGCUAGAAUACGGCUUAACAUACUUAUUUGAGGCACAUCCACGUCCUCUUUUGUCACAGUCCCCACUAAUGAUCNNNNNNCCCCCCGGCAUAAGAAGUAACUCAAGGCACUCAUAAGCACCCCAUAGGGUCUACCUCCAAAUUCAGAAAUCAGAAGUUCACUCACCCUUCCUUCCAAAACAAAAAGCAAAAGUAACAUAAUCCUUUCCAUAGAAAUGGCCAUCACAACCCAUUUCGGCCGAUUACUCAACUCAGACUGCAAUCCUCCACAACACAUCAUAUUCACUUCCUUUUUGAGUCUGGCACCUCACCAGUCAAAUCCCUUGAGACCUAAACUCAAUUUUUUUCCUCGCAAGGUAUACUCCAUUUAAGUUCGACCGACAUGGCCCUCUGGCCCCAUAAUUUACCAUACCCACUCUCAGUCUGAAUUACCACAGUCGGAUAACCGAUAAAGAUAGAAACACACUCUGCCACGAAUCAUGAUACCUAAACCAUGUUAUCUCCCCUCAACUUGCUACUUAGAAUCUCUGGAAUUAUCCUUCUUUUGAGUAUGGGUCCUCUCAUUUCAGUAAUACGGGCCCAAUACUACCUUCCACAUCUACCCAUACUUUCCUCAAGGGUCGUCUCAUAUUUCCAAAGUAGCUGAUCAACUUUCCCUAUCGACCAAUAACAUUCUACAUGCUCGCACCCGAGCGAAUACUCACCGCUAGACAACAGACUCAUCGGACUGAAAUUACUCCCUAGGCUCUCCUAGGUUCCUAUACUUCUCUGCCACCAACUGCUGAAGAAUUUCUCAUAAUGUCAAUUAGCUAUUUCACGAAUACAAUCACAAGCAACAAUGCUCAGAUAAUCCUUCGAGUAACAGAAUCAUCUCUACAACGGGUAGACUCAAACAAGAGCUAAUGCAGUAGGGUCAAAUCCAUCACUGAUCUUAUCCAACCUUUUUCACAUGAUGCUUGAUAUAUUCACUCAGUAGCUAACUUGCAUCACUCAUGAGUUCCACAAAACACAAAGCAAGGAGCAUUCGGGCAUCGAGCAACCUCUACCAGCAUAUAAAAACACUCUAGCAUACAACCCCAAUUGCUCUAUCCACAGCACAAAAGGCAUCACUGAACUCAGGAAAUCAUACCUCACAGCUCCUCGGAGAUCUCUAAUCAUACAUAUGCAACACUACCAGCUCAGAUAGAUAACAGGGAUAAAUGUAUAUCUCUUAAGCAGGCACACUAGCAUGAUAUACUGAGCAGAUUCCUAGCCCUAAACUAGCAUGCAGUUCUAUCAACUCAUAAUAACAACAAAUAAUCAAGUAAAAGUAUUUUGGGAAAUCACCGCUCGGGCUCUGGCUGAUUGUACACACUGCUUCAGAUCUGCUUUCAAAACUCUUUAAUCUCCUUGGAAAAUUGUGUGAUGAAAAAAUCAUUCUUUUUGAAAAGUUAUCAACUCCUCAGUUUGAGUCCAGACAUACUCGAGGGUGUGCUCGAAUCCCUCAAACCAAGACUCUAAUACCAAAUUGAAGCACCUCAAAUUGCAAUACAAAAUUUUCAUUUUUAAUUCUCAAAAUAUUACUCAUAAAUUCAAGUCAUGAUAUAAACUGUAAGUUAUUAUCAAAACAAUAUCAGAGUAUCCCAAAAUCCUCAAAUCUUCAUAAAUUGUAACUUAUUGUCAUGGAAGACUUGGAGGUCUAUAGACAAUUUAUUACCACAAAAUUGUGUUAUUUUGGUCCUCCUAUAGUUUUCCUUUUUAUCUUGAUCAAUAUAUACCAUACGUAAUUAGUUGACCACAAGCCUUCAACAAAAUAUGAAUUAUUAAAUCAAAGUAUAUAACAAACAAUCAUUUACAUUAAAAAAAAUCAAAGAUGGUUUAUAAUUUUUUGUAGAUGAUUGUUAUGAAUUAUAAACUUGAUUCUUAGGUGUAAUUAUAAACAUGCAAUGAUACAAAAUAAGAGGUCGAUUUAGUUUCAUGGUAGACCUCACAGAUGACUGCUUUGAAGUCACCAAAGUAGGCCCCGGAAGUUGAAUUAUCUGUUUUAUUAUUAUCUUUUGAAACUUAGGUUCCAUAAAUUACAUGCAAUAUUCGGUUUCUCUGAUUUGUUUUUCCUUUAUUAUUUUAUUAAACUAUGGGAUAUACAAGACAUUGUGUUACUUAAAUCACAACUACGGUUCAUGCAAAACAUCUUAUUUACUUGAGUUAGUGAAAAUUACACACACCUGACCUGUUGUAAGAGUGUGUGAAGUUUUAAUCUCGAACUCAUGCAUACGAUUCGACCUAAAGAAACAAAAUUAAUAAAGUAAAGAGUCNNNNNNNNNNNNNNNNNNNNNNNNNNNNNNNNNNNNNNNNNNNNNNNNNNUAUAUAUAUAUAUAACCCAAUAGAUAAUGAAUAUAGAAAAGUGUUUUGAUGUUGCCUCGUGAGCCGAUAUAAAUAUAAUUAUAAAGAAGAACCUAUAAAAUGAGAAUGUUUUGGAUACCAAAAAUUCACAUAUUACAAACAGUCGGGGCUUUCGCAUUAGGACUUAGGAGAUAGCUAUUUACAUUGUUUUCACCUGAUACGGUAAGACACAAAUUAAAUUUGUUGCUGCAGCUAAAAUUUUUGCAAACAUUAUUAUCAAUAAGAAUGCUCAAAGGCAUGCCAAUAAAAAGCUAUAAUAUUUCAGAAACAGAAUAAAGAGGCACUAAUUUCAGGUUCUUUACCAAAUUCAUUGUCAUUAAAUUUAAAGAAACUAUAUCUGCAUCUUGGAACUAGCGUUUUGUUUAUCUUUAUUUAUGUUGGUAUUGAUGCUUUGAUUAUUAGAAAGUGGAUCUUUUUUCAAAGACAACUUUCAAGUACUAACCAUGUAAAAACAAUUUUUUAUUACAUGUUUAUUUGUUUAUCUGGUUCGUUGAUUACUGUGAUUUUAAAUCAAGAUUUUGUUCAUCAUAAUUUGGAUUUCAUGAUCUUAUUUAAUGGGUGUGUUGUUGAUUGGGGAAAAAAUAACUUUGGAUAGAAAGCGUACACCUUAAAGGAAAGCAGAUUGGAUCUUGAAAGUUUACUAGGGUUUUUUUCUUAAUUUUAUAAUUGAUUUGAUAAAAUGAAUUUUGUUUGGAUUUUUCUUAAUAUGAGAAUUAAUUUGAGAUUCUUCUAAAAGUUUUUAAUUUAUAAAGGGUACUUUGGUCAUUAUUGGGAAAUAUAGAAUUUGGUCUACAAGAAUUAAGGAUUAUGCUGAAUUGUUUGAGUUUCUAUAGUGAUGUUAAAAAUCGAUUAUCUGAAAGUUCAACUAAGGUUGAAAAGGUUUUGGAAUUAGAUUGGUAUUUUGGUCAAAAUCAAGGAAAUUUGGAUAAAAGAAAUAAAAAGUAGGGUAAAUUACACGAAUGGUCCCUAUGGUUUGGGUUCAUCUGUACGUUUGAUCCCUAAAAGUUUUUUUUAACUUGGACCGUCCUUAUUAUAUGUUUUUGUUACGCGUUUGGUCCCUGACACACUUUCUAAAACUAUAUUGCCCUUGUAUAUUUCUUUUUUUAAUUAAAGUAAUGUUUAUUGAUUAUUUUAUUUAUUAAAGAAAUUGUUUAAUAAAAGGUGGGCCUUACCACCCCACCCACAACCUAUGUAGUCUGCAUUGUAUGAAGCUUUUAUCUCAUGUAGCAUGUAAUGUAUGAAGAUUUUAUCUUUUCUUCGUUCAUCCCUAGUUCAAUGAAUAGAAGCCUCCACUUGCCGACAACCCUUUCUUUACCAUCGUUUAUCUCUUCCAUGCUCUACAUGCCAGAAAAUGCCACAGUCACUGACUACCCUCCAUGUCCUUCCUUUCUUUGUUGCCGGCAAACUUCUAGCACAAGAUAUAUGUACAUCUGUCUUCACAUGUCCGAUGACUCGAAACCUGACGAACAGAAAGGUGAAAACUUGAUUUUGGGAUUUUCGUUUUUUUACAAGAUAAUUUUAUUGAAUCUCUCUUCCUUUUGGGUUUCUAUGUACCUGAAGUUUCUCAAAUCCAUCUUCAUUCUUAAUCAAGGUGAAAACCUGUAGAAUUUUGAAGGUCAAAAGUUCUUGAUUGGGUGAUGGUGGAACAAGAAAUUAGAAUGCAAAAACCAGGUUUUGUUUUGUUUUGUUUUGUUUUUUUUUUUUUUUUUUUUUUUUUUUUUUUUUUUUUUUUUUUUUUUUUUUUUUUUUUUUUUACAUCUGAUGGAUUCAUUUCUAAAGGAAGAAAUCUAGUUUGAUGUGAAAAGUUAAGAGGUGUUUUUGCAACUAGUUUCGACUCAAUUAGUCGAUUAGGAAGCAAGAAUUUGGUUUAAGAUUAUUACAAGUGUUGAUUUCAUCCACCGUUGUGAUCAGAGAUUAAAACUAAAACUGUGGUAGAUGAUUCAAUUUUUUUUUUUUGUAAAUGAUUCUCGAUUUUGAUUUCAGGUAUUGAUGUUCAUUUAUUUAGUUUUUUCUUCAUUGAAGAUGCUUUGAUGAUUAGCAACUGAAAUUGGUGGAUAAUAGACGAUGGAAGAGGAUCGAUUUUUUUAUUUUUUUUUUUCUGAAAAUGAUAUUUGAAUUUUUUUUUUGGGUCGAUGUGCUUUCUUUAUUAUUUUGUGGGUUGUAAGGAAGACGAUGACACCAUGGUAGGCUCAGAAAGAAGACAAAUUGAUCUAUUCACCGACAUUUGGGAAUUCAGAUGGGAGAGAGAUAUUAGGUUGAUGACAGUGAGAGAAAGUUGGUGGUAGCUGAAGAUUUUACUGGAGAAGGUAACAAUAGAAAGGGAAUUGGUAGGAACGUGAAUGGUGGAUUGGUGUCACAACUGGCAUUUUUAGCCAGGAAAUUCUAUGAUCAUGUAAACAUCAUCUAUGAUAAUACUUGUAACUCUAACUUGAUACCAUGCACUAUGUUCAUUCUAUGACCACAAUCUUAAUCAAAAUUCACAAGUGAAGUUCAAAACUCUAUACAAAGUAUCCAAAUAGUGAAUAAUGAGUUGAAAACCCAAAAAAUCCAGGUUCAAGCUUAUUAUGGACUAGGGUUUCUUUAUUGGACCUAAUGGACCAAUAAGCAUCCAAUCGGACUAUCUUGGGCUUAGAAACCCUAUUUGGAUUCUGAAUGGACCCAAUACAUAAACCUAUAACAUUUUAGGCCAUUUGGGCCUAGAAUGAUUCAUUCUAACCCCAAUGCCCCUUAUUGGGCCAUAAAUGAAUUAAUUUGCCCUAAUAGGUCAUAAACUUCAUUCCUUUUAUUUUAAUGGGUCGAGAACUUUCCAUUUAGGCCCAUAAUAUCGAAAUCAAGCAUUCAAGGCCAAACCACUCCUCCUUUCUCCUCUUCCUUCUUCCUCUCAGCCCAACAUCAAAAACAAAAAAAAAGAUAUAAUGGCUAAUUACCCAAGCCAUGACACAUCAUUUUUAUUUAGGGGAUAUUAAGGCAUUAUACACAACAUGCAUCUAGGUAUUAUAUUUCUCAUGUUUCCAUGCAAACUCCCCUUACCCUCUCUCUGAUUAUCUCUUGACCGUGAACAUCAAACACACACACACAAACUUCACUUUCAAACACUCUAAAAUCUCUCAAGAGCACUCCUUCCUUCCAUCCAAAUUUUCGAGAUCUCUAAGUGUUUCAAGAAGAUCUUCACCAAAGAUCACCAAUCUUGAGUAAUUCAUCACACAUCCACGCUAAAUAACUUCAUUAUUAUGCUAGAUCACUCUUUCUAAAGAUUAUUUAUGUUCAUACUCUUNNNNNAGAAAACCCCCCACCCCCCAAGUUCAAGAUCUACUCAAGAAAGCUUGGUAGGAUCAAAUAUCUUCUUCCACUUCUUCUUCAAACCGUGAACAACUAAGCAAAGUGAGUUCAUGCCCUUUGUUUUUCGGUUUUUUCAAGAUUUUUUGGGGAGAAUAUAAGUAAAAUGUGUAGAUCUAUGUGUUAUAUGCUUGAUAUGUGUGGUUUCUUAGUUUAUUUUGUAAAAUGGGUUAGAUCUUAACACAUUUCGACAUCUUAAACAACAAUUACAUCCAUGAACUAAGACACCUUAUACAUCAUAUUACCAAGAUAAAAGUGUUCACAUGCUUAAGAUGUGAAAAAUCAAAGCAAAAAUCUUGUUAAGGAUCAUAUUUGUUAAGUAAACAAAAGAUAAGGAAAAAUAGUGACAUUUACAGUUUUAUAAGGAUCAAACAAGUCAUACUUGUAUAAAAAUGGGGUUUUAUGAUAACCAUACUUUUCAAAGGGCCAAAAGUGUAAAAUUUAGCCUAAAAGGCUUCAUAUUUGGGCCUCACGGUUUUGGGCCCAAAUUUGCGAAAAAUAAGAGUUUUGGGGUUAAAAAUGUCAUUCAAUCAAAACUUGAGCCAAAACAUAAAUAAACCAAUUUAAGGGUUGAAAAUGACACUUAUUUCUAAAUUGGGCUAAAAAUGCAAAGUUUUUGGAAUUUGGCCAAAAAUGUAAAACCCAUGGCAAAUGGACCAAAAAUGUAAACUUUUAACAAAUAAGGGAUGAAAAUGUAAAUUCUUACAAACCAAGGGAUGAAAUGGUCAAAUAAAUAUUUUGAGUCCAAUGUGUCAAUUUUUAAACAAUUGGGACAAAGAUAGAAAUUUUUAUAAGGAUUUAAAAAUGGUAUAUUAUAUAAACUAAUAAUAUCGUUAUAGAUCUAACAUUGAAUAUUUUAAUAUUAUAAGUAAAUGCUUCAUUUAAAAACACUAUACCACAUCAAAUAUACAAAAAUAGAACAAUGGUACAAAUAUUGGGCCUGGUACUUGUAAUACAUGUUUAUUGGGCAUUCCUGAUCCAUUUGCAUGUUUAUUAGGCCCAAUAUAAUCAAUUCAUGUCUACUGGGCCUUAGUGACCUAAUGACAUGCUCAAUGGGUCUAAAUUAAUUUUUUCAUGUUAUUAGGCCUUAAUGGCCCAUUCACAUGUUAAUUUAUACCAGAGAGAUUCAUUGUAUGCUUAAUGGGCUUCAACGUGUCUGUUUGCAUGCCAUCAAGCCUAGAAAUAACCUACGUGUUUAAUGGGUCGCAGCUGUCUUUAUUCAUGUUUAUUGGGCUGUGUUUUUAACAUUCAAGUAUCACCAGAUGUUAGUAAAUCAAACUACGUUUAACAUUAAAUAUAUUCAUGUAGGAAAAUCAUUGGGGUCUAGUGAGAAGUAUCGGUCGACACCAUUGAGUGUUUAGCCGUAGGCUAUAGUUAUAAUCAGAGUCUCAUGGAGGGAGAGGGAGAGUUUGUGUAUAGAUCUAUACGAGGGUGACCCCCCCACACCUGAGCUGUUCACUACAGUUAGACUCGGUCAGUCUAGGGUGACAAAAUCUUGAUCAAAACUGGCGUUUGGAAAAAUGCCAAGAUAGGCGAAUUAGUUAUUUAUCAUGCAUGGUUAUAACGACUCACAUACAGAUCCAUUACCAUCUAUACUUUUCGGGGGAAAUAAAAUUCAUAUAUUGUGGCGAUACAAAACAUUUCAUACGAUAAUACAAAUAUUACAAUACUAUUAUAGAUCGGGAAAUAUCAUAUUUUCCGGGAAAUACCAUCUUUCACUUUCUUUUACAUACAUCAAAUACAAAACAAGGAAAACUUUUGGGAUUCAUUCAUUUACACAUGUUUUGAAAUCACACACACACACACANACAUCAUGUUAUAAACAAAUUUACAGAAAAUAUCAGAUUUUCUGGGUUAUACUAUUGACACAAAGCUUUUUAAUCAAACUUGUUUAUGAACUCACCAACAUUAUAUAUGUUAACCAUUAUCAAAAUAACUUGUAUUCUCAAUUAAUCGUUAGGUAACCGUUAAGCCGAAGAAUCAUCAAGUGUAUUUGGGAAUCUUAUUUUUGUGAAAUGUUAACUCCCGCGCCUCUUAUGAUCUGAAUAUGUAAUAUUAUACAAUGUACUUGAUGUGAACAAUGCUGGUUGUAAUAUGUAUUGUUUGAAAAUGAUCAUGUUAUGAUUCAUGUAUAUUCAUUGUGAUGAUACUUCAAUUGAUAGUCACACGAGCCCUCAAUUGAUAGUCACACGAGCCCUCAGAUGUUUCCGCCGUCCGGUCUGAGGGUGUGAAAAUUGUGGUGUGGUUAAGGUGGAGAGUGGUGAAGUCUAGUGUUUUCCAGUUGAGUCCAACGUUUUCUGUUGAGUCUGCAUUUUUCGGCGACUAAACAACAGGUAGGGAGGGGAGGAGGGUGUAGUGUGGGUCGUUGAAUCAAAUAAUUAUACAUUUUAUUAAUAUUUUUCCACAUUUAAUUAAUAUUUUUUAAUUAAUUGAUAAUUUAAAAAAGAUAAAAUAAAUCAGUAAGCGUAAAUCAAUAUUUUUAGGAUGGACAAGGACCGAACGUGCAACAAAAAUAUAAAAUAAAGACGAUCCAACUUUAAAAAAAAAAUCUUUAGGGACCAAGCAUGCCAAGGUCUUUUUUUUUAAUUUAAUUAUCUAUCUACACUAUUUUAUUAUAUUGCAACAUACUUAUCCAUUUGAUGUUUGUUGUUAGAUUUGUUUGAUUUAACGUCUUAAUCUGAUGUUUUAUUUGGUUUUCUUAGAUUUUUUUUUUCAUAUUUUGCUUAUGUUUUAGGUUUUGGUGAUGAAUCAUUUUAAAGUCCAGAAAAUGAAGAACAAAAUGUUUUUUGUUGUUGAUUUCUAGAAAAGAAGUGAAUGUGUUUGUGUUUCAAGUGCAAAUGGUAAAGAUUUGUAGUUGUGUUGUAUUUUAGCGGGAGAAUGACUCUUGAGGGUAAUUAACUUUUGCAUUUGUAAUCAUUUGGUCCCUUUCCUUUUUUUUGUAUUCAAUAUACCAUCGAACUUGUUGUUGGUGUUCACCAUAACCCUUUUGACCGGCUUUUGACCUGUGAUAGCCGGUCAAAGGAUUAUGGUGAACACAAACAACAAGUUCAAUGGUAUAUUGAGUACAAAAAAAAGGAAAGGGACCAAAUGAGAACAAACUCAACAGUUGGUUACCCUCCUAAGUCAUUUUCUCUUUACUCAUUUACAACAAAUCUCACAUCAUCUCCUACUGAUAUUAAUGACUUUAUGAGAUUCAUUCUUGCUUCUCUUCAAAACAUAACCCACGAAAGAACACUAUUCAUACAUGUAUAACUUUGUAAUGCACUUGAAAAUUUAUUAGGGGAAUCUUGACUAAGCAGGCGCAUUUCAUGACUACAUUUACAUUUCCAAUCAAAUGAUUUAUCGUAUCAUAGAUUUCAGACAAGUCUACAAACGAGUGGAAUCACAUGUGCUGUGAUUUUUGAGUUUACUUAGCUUUAAGAUCGAAUUCAUGGGAUGAGAUAUAACAUCAAUAUGUACAAUAUCAUGCUGCUUUUACAGACACAUCACCAUAAUAUACCUUGAGGUAAACGUUUAUGCUGAUAAAUAUACCUCUCAUACACAAUCAUAUCCUUUUGAAGAGAGGUGUUGACAGCUAACCACAGUAAGCAUAGCAUAGACCAUGUUUUAAACAAAGUUACCCCUCUGAAACACUCUUCAUAUACGUUAUAGCCUAAGAAGGUUGUAGUCUUUGAUAAUUUUGCAACUUUAAUUUCAUUUAACUUUUCGGGGAAAAUGACUCAGGAGGGUAACCAACUGUUGAGCUUGUUCUCAUUUGGUCCCUUUCCUUUUUUUUUGUACUGAAUAUACCAUCGAACUUGUUGUUUAUGUUCACCAUAAUCCUUUGACCGUCUAUCACAGGUCAAAAGCCGGUCAAAAGGGUUAUGGUGAACACAAACAACAAGUUCAAUGGUAUAUUGAAUACAAAAAAAAUGGAAGGGACCAAAUGAGUAUAAACGUAAAAUUUAAUUAACCUCGAGAAUCAUUUUCCCUAUUUUAGCAUGCCAAAUACAUAUUUUAGCAUGCCAAAUGCACUUUGGUUUCUGAAUGUUUUUUUAUAAAUGAACAUGGAUGAAUGUUGUACAAGUUAGAUAUUGAUUAAUUGUAAUGUUUAGAUGUAUAAGGAUAUUUAGAUGUAAAUGCAUUUCGGAUAUUACAUUGAUUCUAUCUCUAAAUGGUUUGAAUACAUGUAAAUGUUUGUAUGGGUUUUGUUCCGUCUUUUGUAUAUCUAAACUCCAAAAAAAAUGUUCAAGACUAAAUGUGAAAACUAAAAAUGUUCAAGACAUUCGUUUAAAGUUUAAACAGAAAACCCAACAACUAAGUAAUAAUUAAUUUUUUAAGUAUUCUAUAAUUAAUUAUAAAAAAACGCCUCCUCAAUAUUGUUGGAUCUCUUUACGACUUCAACAUAUAAUUCAUGAAAGAUAAUUUGUCAAGAUAUCAUAUAAAAUUGUUGUUGUUAUACUUUCUACCAUAAAAAGAGAUUGUCAAUGUAGGUAAUUUGUCAAGGCUGCGUGAUUUGGUGUUGCAAAAUGAGAUUUGGUUGUUAAAAAAUGUAUUUGACAUUAUGCCGCACAGGCCAAAGACACUAAUAAAACUAUUCAAAAAAAUUAAACAUGAAUUAAUAUUUUCAUUAUAGUAUAAUUAUGUUUUUCCAUCACAAGUAUAAUAUUAAAAUAUAUAUUUUAUGAUAAUAUGAUUAUUUAAGAUUUUUUUUAUAAUUAAUUAUACAAUGAUUAGAUAGGAUUUUAUGUUUUCUUUUCAUAUUUAUUUAAAUAUUAAAAAAAAUUAUAGAAGUUUUAUUUUAUUUUAUUUUAUUUUAUUUUUUUAAAUCAACACACACAAACAUUUGAUCUACUAUUAAAAUAUGUGUGUUGUAGUUUAAAAUAAUGAAAUUAAAUAAAAUAAAAGGUAAAUUACACCGUUGGUCCCUCGUGCACAUGCCAGAAAGCAUGUUUAGUCCCUAUUUCCAAAAUUUAACUCGUGCAGUCCCUCGUUGUUAUUUAUCUUGCAUGGUUAGUCCCUAUGCACGUUAACUGUUAAAUUCUUCCGUUNAUGCACGUUAACUGUUAACUCCUUCCGUUUAAGCUACCCACGUGCCUUGCACGCAGGGGCAUUUUCGUCUUUUCAGGGUUUUUAUACAUGAACCAGUAUGGCGCGACUUCGAUAACCGAUCAUUUCUGAUUUCAUCCUCCGUCGACCCUUAGCAUUGCACGAGAAAACCCUAGUUUUCUACGAUGGUGAACUGGAGGAUUAGGCAAGAAUGGGAGGAAUACGACCUCCAAAGCUCAUACGGUAAAAUUUUCUACAUUUUCAGUUGAUCAUCCAUUAUACGUUCCUAAAACGUAAUUUUUUUUUGGGUUCGCAGCUGACAAUCCAUGUAUGUUCUCGAUACGAUUGAACUAUGGUGGAGUCUUUACGAAGUUUCCAGGCCGCAAAUACAUAAAGGGGAAGAUGAAAUAUAUUGAUGGCAUUGAUAGUGACUUGUUCUCGGUGCAUGAUAUGGACGAGAUAAUGGAAUUGCUUGAUUGUGUGGAACCAGGUAAAAGUAUUUAUUAUCAUUUCAAACGACCAACCUGGGAUUUAGAUUUUGGGUUGUAUGCUUUGGGUUGUGACGAAGAUAUAAACCACUUUAGGUCAUACGUGUAUGAACACAAGGUGAUAGAAGUGUAUACAGAGUUUUGGGAAACCAAGCUCCAUACGUAUCAAAUGUCCCCAAACCCUGCAAAGAUAAAGAUACACGAAAUUCCUGAGUCCCUUUGUCGUAAAAGCUUGUUAUUGACAUGGUCAAAUUCAGGGGAUUGUCCUAGUGAAGAAGCCCCUGUUUUUGAGAAUGUAGAAACUAUGGACGAACCCCCUAGUACAUUACUUGAAACAACCUUGGAACAACCCCUUGUUACAUUGAGUGAAACAGUUGAGUCAACCCCUGCCUAUAUACCAAGAAUUGAUAGCCCUUUGACUGAACCAAUGAUAGGAAGCACAUGUCCUAAUGUUGAUGGUUUGGGUGAUACAUUUGAAUGGUGUGAACCUUUUGGUGGGACUCCUAUGGAACAAGAUGAACCAAAUAGUGAAAAAGCAGGUGAAGACAGUCAAGCUAGUAAAGACAGUCAUGAUAGUGAUGACACUGAAGAUAGUGAAUACAGUCAAGAUAGCGAUUACAUAGUUGAUGAAGAUAAUUUGUUAGAUGAUCCAGAGGUUGAUAUGAAGAACUUUCACCUCAACAUUGACAAAGAGGUGGAGUGGGUUGGAAGUUUUCCUGAUGAUCGAGAUGAAGCAGUAGAAGGUGAUGAAGAAUUAGAGGUUAUAAACACUGAAGAAUUUGUAUCUGCAUCUUCAUCAGAUGAGGGUGAAGCUAGUAAAAAAAGGAAGAAGAUAAGAGAUUUACGAAGAGCACAUAAGAAUGAAGCAGCUGCUGUCAAAGAUCCAUUUUACAUCCACCAGACUUUUAGCACAGCCAAGGAAGUUAAACAACAAAUUUAUCUUCAUUCCAUACAGAGUAGAAGGGAGUUAGACUUCGUCAAGAAUGACAAAAAUAGGAUUAGAGUGGUUUGCAAAGGGACAAUACCAAACCUUGGGAUAUUAGAAACAGGUGGGACCAGCAAAAGUAAUGACAAAGUGGGACCAAGUCAAAAGAAAAAGAAAGUGAAAGAUGGUUCUAUUCAUAAAUGCCCAUGGGUCCUACUAGUGAGUAAGUGGAAAAAAGACAUUAACUGGACUGUUAAGACCUAUGAAAAGCAACAUACGUGCCUUCAAACAAGGAAAAUUAGGGCAUGUAACUACAAGUUUCUCUCUGAACAGAUUGUUGACACAGUGGAGGCAAACCCAGAAAUACCACUUAGAGCAUUACGUGAGAUGCUUGAGAAGAAAUACCAACUUGGAUUGUCAGACAUGAAAGUUCAUAGGGCGAAAACGAAAGCCCUGGAAUCAAUUAGGGGAGAUUUUGCUGCUCAGUACUCAUGUCUAAGAGACUACUUACAGGAGGUGCAGAGUAGAAAUCCAAACACCACAGUCAAACUUCAAGUGCAAAGUGAACCAUGUUAUGCAUCUGAGACCAGGGUAUUUGAACGAGUAUACAUUUGUCUUGGUCCACUGAAAAGUGGAUUUGCAGCAGGGAAAAGAGAUUUACUAGGGCUUGAUGGUGCAUUCAUGAAGGGUCCAUACCAUGGUAUGAUCCUGACAGCAGUGGUAUGUGCAUAAUCAUAUUUUAGUAUUUGAUUAAUGUUUGACCAUAGUUAAUUGUUUGCUUAUUACUGUGUUUGACAUGAUAAUUCAGGGUUUAGAUGGGAACAAUUGCACAUACCCUUUGGCAUAUGCAGUUGUUGAAGCAGAGAACUUUAAUUCAUGGACCUGGUUUUUAACUAACUUAGGAGAUGAUCUUGGUUUGUAUGCAAACUCCAACUUCACUUUCAUAUCAGAUAGACAGAAGGUAAAUAAAUUUCUCCAUUCAUUUUCACAUGCAUGUUUUACAAUUCAAUAAGCAACUUCACUCUUUUGAUGAUUUAGGGGUUAUUGCCUGCACUUGAGAAACUUUUCCCAGCAGCAGAGCAUAGAUAUUGCCUAAGGCAUCUUCAUGAGAACAUGAAACGUAAAUGGAGGGGCAAGGAAUUCAAGGAUUGUCUUUGGAAAUGUGCAACAUGUACCACCAUACCACAAUUCAACAGUGCCAUGGAAGAACUAAAGAAACUUAACAGUGAAGCAUAUGACUGGCUUAAUUCUAUUCCACCUAAGCACUGGUCCAGAUCCCACUUCUCAGGUAUAUAAUAUUAUGUUUAUAAGUGUAUAAUUUUUAAAUAUAAUCUAAUACAGUUGUGUUUUAUUAGGGAGGGCACAUUGUGAUGCUGUGUUGAAUAAUAUGUGUGAGAGUUUGAAUAGCAAGAUAGUGAAGGGUCGUGAUAAGCCAAUUAUCAGUUGCUUGGAGUUUAUUAGGGAGUAUAUCAUGAGGAAAAUUGUCAUGGUUCAAAAAGAAAUUGAUAAAGCUAAUGGCCCAUUAACUCCUACAGCCACUAAGACCCUUGAAAAAAUUAAAGAAAGGGCAGCACAGUGUAGGGCAGUGUUCUGUGGCAAUGGGAAGUACCAGGUUACAAGUGAAGGUACUAAUCAGUAUGUGGUUAAUAUGGACCAACAAACUUGUUCAUGUAAUAGGUGGGAACUGACAGGCAUACCCUGCAAACAUAGUAUAGCAGCUAUAUGGGAUAUGAGGCUCAACAAUGAAAAUGUUGGAAUACCUGAGACAUGGGUACACCCAACUUAUUGGCUCAAGACAUGGAAAGAAAUGUAUGUCUUCAAAGUUGAACCUAUUAAUGGGAGGUUAUUGUGGGAAAAAAGCACAUGUCCUACCAAGUUGAUACCACCAAAGUAUCGUGUCCCUAUUGGCAGACCAAAAAAAAAGAGAAGAAGAUCUGCAACAGAAGAUGAUGGAGUGUCCACAAAAUGGAAAUCUGUAACAUGCACAAAAUGUGGAAAUGUGGGCCAUAAUGGAAGGACCUGCAAGGGACAAUCACAGACUGGGAAUGGAACAGGAGAAGGUGCAGCAGGGAAUACAACAGGAGAAGGUGCAGCAGGUAGCAGUGGUGGUGUACAAAAUGGAGUUGGGAACAAAGGAAAAAGCCCCAUGCUUUGAGAAUUUGUAGUUUGGUAUCAUGAUCAUGAAGGAUAACUAUGUUUUUGUUAGGCAUUUAUUGCCAUAUUACUUUGUUGUUAUGUGUUGUAUUUUGAUACUUUGUUGCUGUGUAGGAUAACUAUUUGUAUGCCAUAAGACUAUGUUGUUAUUUUGGAUGUCCCUUUAUGUUAAUGGUCAAUGGUUAUCUUGGAUAUUUUAGAGUUUUUGUCCUUUUUAAUUGUUAUAUUGGAUGCUAGUAUUGAAUGGUAUAUUGCAUAUGUUGCAAAUACCACAUUUUCAUUAAAUUUGAACACCAACUGAUAACACCACAUUAUGAUUACACAAUAUAUUGCAACUAAAAUUGAAAUUUUUUUGUUAAUACAAAUAACAUUACAAAGAGUCUCCAUUACAAUAUACACAUACCAAAAUACUAACAACUUCAUUACUUAACCUACACUUUAUAUAUAAGGACUGAAACAAAAAAAACCCAGCUAAUAACUAGGUAAAGCUUCAAUUUGCGAUUUUGUUCUUCAAGUUUCAUCCUAAACGCCAUACAAUCACAGUCCUGAUCAUAAUCAUUCACCCAUCCUAUGAACUUGCAUAAUGGUCCCUGAACCAAUUAAAGUAGAUGAAGAAUUAGGGCAAAAUUAGAGAAGACGAAGAACGAAANNNNNNNNNNNNNNNNNNNNNNNNNNNNNNNNNNNNNNNNNNNNNNNNNNNNNNNNNNNNNNNNNNNNNNNNNNNNNNNNNNNNNNNNNNNNNNNNNNNNNNNNNNNNNNNNNNNNNNNNNNNNNNNNNNNNNNNNNNNNNNNNNNNNNNNNNNNNNNNNNNNNNNNNNNNNNNNNNNNNNNNNNNNNNNNNNNNNNNNNNNNNNNNNNNNNNNNNNNNNNNNNNNNNNNNNNNNNNNNNNNNNNNNNNNNNNNNNNNNNNNNNNNNNNNNNNNNNNNNNNNNNNNNNNNNNNNNNNNNNNNNNNNNNNNNNNNNNNNNNNNNNNNNNNNNNNNNNNNNNNNNNNNNNNNNNNNNNNNNNNNNNNNNNNNNNNNNNNNNNNNNNNNNNNNNNNNNNNNNNNNNNNNNNNNNNNNNNNNNNNNNNNNNNNNNNNNNNNNNNNNNNNNNNNNNNNNNNNNNNNNNNNNNNNNNNNNNNNNNNNNNNNNNNNNNNNNNNNNNNNNNNNNNNNNNNNNNNNNNNNNNNNNNNNNNNNNNNNNNNNNNNNNNNNNNNNNNNNNNNNNNNNNNNNNNNNNNNNNNNNNNNNNNNNNNNNNNNNNNNNNNNNNNNNNNNNNNNNNNNNNNNNNNNNNNNNNNNNNNNNNNNNNNNNNNNNNNNNNNNNNNNNNNNNNNNNNNNNNNNNNNNNNNNNNNNNNNNNNNNNNNNNNNNNNNNNNNNNNNNNNNNNNNNNNNNNNNNNNNNNNNNNNNNNNNNNNNNNNNNNNNNNNNNNNNNNNNNNNNNNNNNNNNNNNNNNNNNNNNNNNNNNNNNNNNNNNNNNNNNNNNNNNNNNNNNNNNNNNNNNNNNNNNNNNNNNNNNNNNNNNNNNNNNNNNNNNNNNNNNNNNNNNNNNNNNNNNNNNNNNNNNNNNNNNNNNNNNNNNNNNNNNNNNNNNNNNNNNNNNNNNNNNNNNNNNNNNNNNNNNNNNNNNNNNNNNNNNNNNNNNNNNNNNNNNNNNNNNNNNNNNNNNNNNNNNNNNNNNNNNNNNNNNNNNNNNNNNNNNNNNNNNNNNNNNNNNNNNNNNNNNNNNNNNNNNNNNNNNNNNNNNNNNNNNNNNNNNNNNNNNNNNNNNNNNNNNNNNNNNNNNNNNNNNNNNNNNNNNNNNNNNNNNNNNNNNNNNNNNNNNNNNNNNNNNNNNNNNNNNNNNNNNNNNNNNNNNNNNNNNNNNNNNNNNNNNNNNNNNNNNNNNNNNNNNNNNNNNUCACAAAUUGAUAGCCCACUUUUGAGUUUGAAGUUUUUUUUUUCAACUUUGACCUUAUAUAUUUCUAUUUGUGUUAUAUAUUACUUGAUAAAACUUAUAAAAAUGAAAAAAAAAAUUAAAAUACAAUCCAUUCAUAUAUUUUUCAUCAAGUAUUAUCUAUAAAAAACAAAAAUAUUUAAGGUCAAAGUUGAAGAAAAAAAACUUCAAAAAUCAAAACUAGACUAUCAAUUUGGGACGGGUGUAGUAUAUAUCAAAGUAGCCUUUUCAACCUUGGAUUUUAUGAACAUAUGUUCAUAUGUGUUCAGAGGACCCAAUUAGGCAAGGGUAAUAGACUAAUAGUAACGCUUUUCUUUGAAGAUCUGUCUGAUUUCUAUCUUUUUGUAUAUCUAAUUUUGGUUUGACUUGCAGCAUGGAGAUUAUAAAAAAGAAAAAAAACCGAUGUGAUUUCAACACCUAAAGUAAUAAUCGAAUAGGACCAAGACCGAAAUGCGACUAUGGUGGAGAUUACAUUUAGUUAUAUGCAUAUAAGACUACAAACUGAUUACAAGUAUUCGUAUAUUCAGUAACUAUUAAGAAACUAAAGAUGCUAGAGAGUAGUGAUUUGUCGGUGGUGGUGGAGGCUUUGGUGAUUGAGCUGAAGGUAGAAUAAAGAAGAUCGUAUGUAUGUUCAUCUAUGAACAUAUGUUCAUCUUGAACUGUCACAACUGGAAUUUUCCUAGAACAAUUCUAGUCUAAAAACUCCAAACAUGUACCAAUUGAUUUCCAAUGUAAUUGGAUGCAAUAGAAAUAUGACUUUCAUGAGCCAUACUUAUGGUUGUUAUUUAAACAUGUGUGGUAAUAACCCAUGUUAGUUUAAGUUAUUAUAAGCUAAUACAAGUUAACAAGAUAUUAAGGACUCAAAGAAAUCAACACUAAUUCAAGUAUAUGGAUGUGAACAUGCUAUGGUAUAAAAUUUAAUUUAAAAUCAUAAUUUUAUAAUAUGUAUAUAUAGAAUUCGGUUUGGGGAAUCUUUUCCCAAACACAAAACCGAAUUCACUUCUUGGAUUAAAAGCAAUUACCGAAAUCAACCCUUUCUAGAAGGCUAGGACCGAAUUCACUUUUCCCUUUUACCCUAGGACCGAAUUCCUUUCUCACUUUGAUCAUAAGACCGAUUUCCUUUCUUUCUUGGACACUAGGACCGAAUUUCCUUUUCCCUUUUGACAUUAGGAUUGAAUUCACUUCCUUACAGGUGAAUUUAUGGCCGAAAAUACCUAAUAUCUUCAUAUCUUAUCCUUAAUUCAACUUCCCAAUGUGAUUUGGUGCAAUUACCAGCAAACAUAUCACAUCACCUCUCAUUUAGUUUCCUUCAUAUAUAAGUCUCAUAUAAGAUUCAUUCUUUCAUUCUAAACAUCCAGUAAACAAGAACAUUCCCAUUUUCUCUCAAAUAGCAAACCACAUUUCUUUCCUUUCAAGCUUAAAAGUUAACAACUCAUGGACAUAACAUUCUUCCAUAUAGCUACAACUAUAAGUUUUGGUAAGCAUUCUCCAUUGAUUUAGUGUUUACUCAACACAUGAAUUAUUGAUUUUUCAAAUAUUCACACAUUAAUAUGUGUUUAAACUAAUAGGAUACGGCUACCAUUACGUAAUCUAAAUCGAAGAUCACCGUUCCUAACAUGUAAACUAAACCGCUAUCACAUUCGAUGUGAGUUCAUACCUUUCCAUGUUUAUAACUUUUUCUAUGUUUUAUUGGGGGGGGGGGGGGGAAACAGGUAAAACACAAUAAACUUGUGUUAAUAUACAAAUUAUUGUUUUAUAUUUUAUUACAUUAAAAUAUCUUUACAUAAGAAUAUCAAACAUGCGGAACAACAUUAUUACCAAAUUUACAAAUGGUUACAUGCAAAACACGUUCAAACGAAACGAUUAUCAUUUUCAAUGGAAUAAUAUCUUUUAAACUAUAUUAGGUAUAGUUUGAGAAACAUUCACAUCAUUUUACCCUUUCAAGGCAAGGAAACGAUUAUAUAAAAAUACGAUUAUUUUUAUAUAUUAUAAACAUAACGAAUGGAGUAACAAUUUCAUGUACGAACAUUUUCAUUACAAAACACGUAUCUCAUUGGAAAUUUGUGAGCUAUUCGUCUUCAUUGCACCUACCAAAGGUAUCCAUGGAAGUCCUGUUUUAUAACCAGAGUCUCCUCCCGGAGAGCGUGAUACUUGUGUAUAGAUCUAUACGGGACUGAUGAUCACGCACCCUGGCUGUUAGCUACCGCUCGACUGACAUGUUAUGGGUGACAAACGUCAUAUCUUUUCGACGCAUGAAGAACGUUGAGACAGGCAAUUUAUUAAUAGCACGAUUAUGAAAACUCACAUGAUUAACAGAAAUACGUUACGUGAAGUCAAUACUACACUUAUUUUACAUAAUUACACAACUCUUCAAAUGGUUUUAUUUUCGAAUAAAACUAUAUGUUACAAAACUAAGUACGGUAUAUAUACUUGUACUUUUCAGUCUUGGAAUAUAUAAGACUACAGUUCAGCUUUAUGGAUAAUAUAAGAUUUUCAAGGAUAGAUACAAUUACUUUACAAACAAACAGUUUACAAUACAGUUUUAUGGAAAAUAUAUGAUUUUCUGGGAUAGAUACGAUACUUUACAAACAAACAGUUUACAGUUCAGUUUUAUGGAAAAUAUAGGACUUUUCGGGAUAAAUACGAUUACUUCACAAACAAACAGCUUACAACUCAUUUUAUAGAAAAUAUCGGAUUUUCUAGAAACAAACGUGAUUUCAUCUCAUUGAAUGGCAUAUACUUAUUCAUUCAAAUACUUAUGAACUCACCAACAUAAAUGUUGAGAUUUUUUCUCAAAUAACUUGUAUUCUCAGGAAACCAGUAAAACAUGUUAUCAACAGCUUUUGAAGAAUUGAUGCUAAGGCGCUUCUGAAGAAUUGAUGCUAAGGCGUUAAGAAAAUAUUUUGACAUCAUAAUGUAAUUGACAUUUUGGAAACAUGUAAUGCAUACAAUGAUGUAACUUUUCAGUUACGUAUAUGAUGGCUGUGUUUACUUUCUUUACUAUUCAAUUGUUAUGAUACUGCACAUGACGUCUUCCGCACCCGAAUGUUUCCACCAUUCAGGUUUGGGGGUGUGACAGAUUGGUAUCAAAACAUUGUUUAUGGUGAACUAAGUAUAUCGAACCAUAUGAUACACAACUCUAAAUACAAUAGGACUAAAAUACACUGACCAAGAGUUAUAUGUAUAUAUAUAUANNNNNNNNNNNUAUAUAUAUAUAUAUAUAUAUAUAUACUAUUUUUAUAAAAAGUAUACAUGCAUACAUAUAUACUAGUACAGUGUCGUAAUAAAAACAAAACAAAAGUAUUAAAGAUGUGUUGAGCACUACGAGUACGUCUGAGAGUAUGUAAGCAGGUCUGAAAUGAAUAUAGCCCGAUCAACUAUAUUUAUUCGAGAGGUGACUAACAUACGCAUGGUAAUAGUCGUAGUAGGCAAGAAAUCCAAAAACUUACCGACCCCAUAAACUCAAGAACCAAACAUAAAAUUUAAAAUACUAUAGGAGUAUUUUAUAAUCAAUCACUAACUCUUCAUCAAAGUUGACAUUCAACUUGAGGAGGGAAAGCUUAUACGCCAAGUUCUCCACGUGCGAGGUCUGGUUAUGUGAGGUGCAGUUUGAUGGGCAGCUUGUUAACCAGGAUGGGAUUUCGGUUGACCUGGCCAAGGUGGAGGCCAUGAUGAGAUGGGAGGUUCCGAGGUCUCCAUUUGAGAUUCGGAGCUUUCUAGGAUUGGCAGGCUAUUAUCGGAGGUUCAUUCAGGACUUCUCCAAGAUAGUCGUGCCCCUGACCCGGUUGAUGAGGAAAGUCGUGGUCUUUUGUUGGGGGUCUGAGCAGCAGACCGCAUUCGAGACAUUGAGGAAGAGAUUGUGCAAGGCACCAAUCUUAGCCCUGCCGAAGGCCAUGGAGGAUUUUGUAGUAUAUUGUGAUGCGUCCAUCUUGGGUUUGGGCACGGUAUUGAUGCAGAGAGGACAUGUAAUCGCUUAUGCUUCGAGGCAGCUGAAGCCUCGUGAGGCGAGCUAUCCAACGCAUGAUUUGGAGUUGGGGGCUGUUGUUUUCACCCUCAAGAUUUGACGUCAUUACCUCUAUGGGGUUUGUUAUAACAUCUAAACGGACCACAAGAGCCUAAGGCAUCUCAUGGAGCAGCUAAAUCUGAACAUGAGGCAGCAUCGGUGGCUUAACGUGGUAAAGGAUUAUGAUUGUGAAAUCCUCUACCACCGGGGAAGACCAACGUCGUGGCCGAUGCGCUUAUCCGCAAGGCAGUGCCGAUCAAGGACGUCUGUCUAAGGAUGACAGUUGUGACUCCGCUAUUGGAGCAGAUUCAGGAAGCCAUAAAGGAGGAACAUUAGAAGAGUGAGCAAAUUGUAGGUCAGGUUUCCUCCUUUGACUAUGAUAGUCGAGGAUUGUUGACUCUUCACUGUAGUUGUGACAACCUGAAAUUUCCAUUUGGUCAAACCCUCAAAGUCAACCACUUCGUAUCAUCAAUUAAUAUCAAUAUUUCUUAUUUUAAGAAAUAUGAAGUUCGUUUGAUUAUUUUAAUAUUAUUUUUAAACGAACGGGUGAAAGAAAGUGUCGUCUCGGGUUUUAAAUUUUUAAAUACCGCAAACACCUCGCGUCUUACAAACUCUCGGCCAAACUAUUUCGUUUGAGUCGAAAAAUCAUACCAAAAUCCGAAAACUCAUGCUUAUCCAUGAGUUUACUCCUUAAGUCUAGUCAAUAUGAGUUUACUCCCCAUUUAUCCAAAAGAGUAUACUCCCAAAAGAGUAAACUCAAGAAAACCUCUCAAGUAGCAAACUAGAAACAAUUCAAGAUCUUCAAACUUGUAAGUAUUCUAUCCAUUCCAAGUUGAUUAAACACUUAAUCUAGUGUUUGUGCAUCUAUUCAUCCAUUCACUUUUGUGUUUUUGAUUAGAUUUCCAAAAACACCAAGAACACACACUAAGUGUUCUUGGACUUUUAGCAUACUUCAAGCUUCCUUAUUGUAAGCACUUCAUUCCUUGAGUCUUAUUGAGAUAGUAUUACAAGUUAGCAACAAGAAAAUAUGCCAAGAACUCAUGGAACAAGGUGUUCACGGUCCAAGAAGGUUCUUGGGCCGUAAACACCAUAAAUGACACCAAAGUGUGUCUAAGCCUCAAAACUAAGCCCUAGUUGAUGUUUAAACCGUCCUUGACAUGUUUAAACCCUUCCUUAUUGUGUUUAAGUCUAGAAAAACAUCAAAGACCAUCAAAUAUAGGUGUUUACGGUUUGGGGAUAUCCCAAAACCAUAGACACCCUAAAGUGGGUUUAUGUUGGUCAAUUUGCUUCCUUAGGCUUAGAAACUAGCACAUACAUUUACCUAAAACAUGGCUAUACACUUCUCCAUAAGGGUUUACGGUAGUAAACCCAAAGGAAAAUGCCAUUAGGCCAUAAACUCCUCAAAGGAGGUGUUUUGUUGCCCUAGUCCCUUCCAAAGGCCAAACCACUUAGUAGAAUUACUUCAAAAGGAUUGCUAAACCACAAAACAACACUUGGACCUUAAGACUAGAGUUUACUGCCGUAAACUCCCUAGGUAUUGACCAUCAAAAUCGUAAACUCCAAGGGAGUUUACCCUUGAGCCCCAAAAUCAAUAGCAAGGUCCUUUAGCACUUAGAUGCAAUCCUUAUGGCUUGUAGCACUUAUAUAAGGUGUUUUACAUGCCUUAGGAUGUCUUAACUUUGUCAAUUAGUGGUUUAAAGUCUAAUUGAAUACGUAUAUGUGUGGUUAUAUGUUAUCUAGGAUCAUUGAGUGUGAACAAGUCUUCACUUGUCACCUAGCAAUCCUACAUCAUUCAUUUCAUCCAAACCACCAUCUACAGGUGAGUUCAUACCCCUAAUUCAAUGUUUUAAAUGAUUUNNNGGGGGGGGGGAAUACAAGUAGAAAACAACAUGUUAUUAAAUCAUUAUAUGUAUUUUAUAACUAUGUUUUCAUCCAGCAGAUUUCACAUACUAUAAAAUGUGAUGCAUGAAAUGGUUUUACAUCUUAAAAAUACUUAGAUAUCAAAUGUAUUAGUUUUGAAAAGUUUGUUUAAAAAUGACAUCAAGUCACUUUUAUUAUUGUUUCAAAACUCUUAGAUAUCUUGCAAAACCAUUACUUUUACCUUCUUGAACAACCAAUUACCUUUCAGUUAAUUAUCAUAGGGAUAGUUAGAAGAAACAAGACAUUAUUCCUAUUACAAGGAAUCACACAAGAGUCAGUUCAUUCAUGAGUCAAUACCAGUACGUUACUUGAUACAUAAGUACAUAUACAUAUACUUACUUAAUACAUGAGUACAUAUACAUAUACUUACCUGAUACAUGAGUACAUAUACAUAUACUUACCUGAUACAUGAGUACGUUUACAUAUGCUUACAUGAUACAUGAACACGCGUACAUAAAUACUUGUAUCGCGGCUUGCUAGGAUGAUUUAUUUGUACUUUCUAUGUAAAUUGUCUUUCCUAUCCCAAUUCAACGGGAUAUCUCGGUGGGACUAACCAUUCUGAAUUCCAACUGAUUAGCACCAGUGGUUGAUGACCAUCUACGGAGCUCUAAGGUUAUUACUUAUACUAGGUAGAUCGAUUUCGGGACUAACCAUCCCUCCACCCUGCUGCUGCUACAGAGGAUGAGUGGACAAUCUUCAGAUGUUCAUUAGGUUAUACUUUCGCUUAUUUCGAUGUUGUGUUAGUCCUAGUACCCAAUGAUAACACUUACAUUAGUACUUUUCUGGACAAUCUUCGGAUGUUCAUUAGGUUAUACUUUCGCGUAUUGCGAUGUUGUGUUAGUCCUAGUACCCAGUGAUAACACUUACAUUAGUACAUUUUCCUAUUUACUUUAUUUUGUGAUACGUUCACAUAAACGAGGAGUUAGACUAAGUACUUUUAGUACUAGUUAACAGAAAGGAAAAACUAUCAUUUUACUUACAAAAACAUUCAGGUCUUGGUAGAAGACUACAUCUCAAACUAAUAGGAAAUAAGGGAUUUCCUAUGGUUUUUCAUACUUAUAUCAACAUUUUCAUUUAAAGAUUUCCAUGGCAUUCUUAACAACUUUUCAAAACAAGGAAAUGACACUUAAAUACUUAUGAAUUCACCAACUUUAGGCUGAUACUCGCUUUCAAAAUAACUUGUAUUCUCAGGUCACCAGUAGACAGGUAUGAUGGCCAGGUUUUGAGAAGACGGAGCACAGAAAAGUCUUGUCUUUUAUUUGAUUGUAUAUUUUUGGUGUCUUAUUACAAUGAAAGAACACAUAUGUAUUAAAACUUUACUUAUAAUGGAAUGGAUGAUGUUGUUGCUUAUUUACUACUUUACACUGUUGUGAUACUGUACAUGACAUCCUCCACCCCAGAACGUUUCCGCCGUUCGUGGUUUUGGGGUGUGACAGAUUGGUAUCAGAGCAUUAUUUAUAGUGAAUAUAGUAUAUCAACCCAUAAAAGAUAUACUAACUAUAAAUACAUUGGGAUUAAAACACUCUAUCUAAGUGUUAUACUUAUAAAUAAUAAAAUAUUUAAGUAAGUAUACGUGCUUGCAUUCAUACUAAAACCAGUGUCACAAUGACAAGAACAAAAGUAUUACGAUUGUUGAAUAUCACAAGUAAGCCUGGGGAUGUAUGUUCAGUCUUGGGAAUGGCAUAGCCUGAUCAACUAUGCUGGUCCAAGGAGUGAUUAGCAUGUGCCCAAUAAUGGUUGUGAUGUGGCAAUAAGUCUAAAAACUUACCAACACAACCAUAAAGAAAUACCAUAGGGGUAUUUGGUCUUACUGUAAUUAUCUUAGUUAGUUCAUCUAAUUAGCUAUUUCUUAUAUCCAUUUUCUCGCGUAGAUUAAAAUGGCUGGAUUUCACUAUGGCGAUCCGUACUUCCCAAACCAAGGAAACGUUGGAUGGCUAGAAGAAGAACCAGAAGAUGAUCACCCAAUCCCUUUGGAUGAUCACCAUGCUGAGGGUUUUUCCGAUAGUUCUGACUCGGAGCUUGAAGUCAACAACCUACCCCCAGCUGCUCAAAACCCAAACCUGAACCUCCGUCCCGCAUUUCAAGGACCCACACCUCUGUGGGCCACAAACUUGAAUACAUGGAGUCAGGAACAGGGUCAAUCUAUCCCCUACAAUGGAGACAGAAGUUUCUACAAGCUCACUGAAGGAGGUUCUGCUGACAGGGUCCUACCCAUCAUGGUUCAUAGGAUUUCUCGGAACACGAUACUGGGUCAAUCAACUAUCAAUCGAGUCUUGGAGAUUGAUGCCAACUCUGGCGUCCACACAGUCCGCAUUUGCCAACUAGAUUCUGCUCAUGCAAGAACUUUGGUCCGCAAUGCAGCUCUGCAAAGAGAACUUGCUGAAACUCAAGCUGAAGUUAUGGAACUUCGAGCUCAACAAGUGAUACCUGACAGGCGUAUGAGGGAUAUGGAACGUCUACUAUCGGGAUCAAGGACUCAUGCUAGCAGUUCUCAUCGCGAUAGAAUCUCAUCGACUCAUCUUUUGGAUAUAACCUAGUUUAUGUAAAAACUUUGGUUUAAUUUCCUAUCUUUAUAAACCUUAGACCUGUUAGGUCUUGAUCUAGUCAUAGUUCUGUCAAAAUUUUCCUAUCUUGGUUGAUGUAAGGCCUACUUAUAGGUCAUUUUCCUGAACUUGUUACAUCUGUAAUCCCAGUAUUAUUGACAGAUAUCUAAUCAUAUGGAAAUUAUUAUCCAAAUGUUCUCAUCUUCAUUUAGUCAUACUAUUCAUUUUGUUGUUGGACUAUGGGGAGUUAGUCCAUGAGACACAUUUAUUAUUCAUUUAUUCUUAUCCAUGUCGUCAUCUUUUAGAUGUAUACUUAAAGAUGCCACCACGCAGGAAUCCCAGGCGUAACCCUAACUACGAAACACCUCCACCACCACCUCAACCUCUUCAAUCACCUUCUCCCUUCGAUGCCACUAUGUUCCAGACAUCUUUCACAACAGCAGUUGCAGCUGCUGUGUCAGCCAUCAACGCCCCUGUCCCUAGUGAAUCGGGAAUAGGUGCACCUCCCUCAAACCACAGCGAAAGCCAUGGACACCCUCGGGAAUAUACCUAUAAAGACAAUGGAGGAGAAACUUCGGGCAGUGUUAUGGUGUUGAGACAAUGGAUUGAAAAGAUGGAAUCCAUCUUUGAAAUCUGUGCUUGCCAGAAGGGCAACAAGGUCAAGUUUGCAGCUUGUACCUUCUCUGACAGAGCACUAACAUGGUAGAACGACCAUGUUAAAUAUCUAAAUCUGGUGGUGGCAUAUUCCAUCAGCUGGGAACACUUAAAGGACAUGCUGAUGAGAGAGUACUGUCCUCGGGGAGAAAUACAAAAACUCGAGCAGGAACUCUGGAGCCUGCAAAUGGUUGGAUCCGACAUUGAACCUACACAAAUAGGUUCUGUGAUCUAGCAAUCCUGUGCCCACAUAUGGUUACUCUCUAAAGCAAGAAAAUAGAGAGAUAUAUCUGUGGGCUGUCUCCCCAUAUCCAAUCAAGUGUAUUAGCUUCCAAGCCUGUCACUUUUGAUAGUGCCAAGGAGCUGGCACAGUCUCUCAUAGACCACGGUAAACACAGGAACCCAACAAUCCCUGCAUCCGGACCACAAAAGUCCAACCUCGACAACAACAAGAAGGGGCGGAACAAGAGGAAAAGAGGGGCUUCGCAGGAAUCCUCCAAAAGACAACAACUUGUAGCAAUCAAUGCUACCACGGUAACUCCCGUUGUCCCUGCGAACCCCUUACCAGCAAAAACUUGUGCUGGGACUCUCCCAAAGUGCAAUAAAUGCAGUUUCCACCACCGCGGACCUUGCAGGGAGAUGCAGUGCACAAACUGCAACAAGAAGGGGCCCACAGUCCGUUUCUGCCAGACUCCAACAGCUCAGGCCGCCCAGGUUCCUAACACCGGUAUGGGUCAAGCUUGCUAUGGUUGUGGCGAAGUGGGCCACUACAAGAAGAACUACCCUAAAGCAGGGAUGGUUGGAGGAGUAGGAAGAGUUAUGGCCCUAGGCCACGAGGAAGCAGUAGCUGAUCCUACGAUAGUUACUAGUACGUUUCUCCUCGAUAACUCAUAUGCUUGCGUACUUUUCGAUAGUUACUAGUACGUUUCUCCUCGAUAAACAAAAACCCUGUGCAUUAGAUAACACAUUCACGUGGAAAUGGCUAACGGGAAAACGGAGAGUACUAAUUGCAUAUACAUAGGUUGUACUUUAACUUUAGAUGGCCAUACUUUCAAGAUAGACCUCAUGCCGGUCCCAAUUAAAUGUUUCGACGUCAUCAUCGGCAUGAAUUGGUUAAGUCUUCUUCGCGCCGACAUCAUGUGCUUUGAAAAAGCAGUUCGUCUUAACCUUCCUAACAAUGAAACAUUAGUUAUCUAUGACGACAAACCUAGUAUGAGUCUUCGCAUCAUUUCGUGCAUUCAAGCCCAGAAGUGCUUACAAAAGGAAUAUCAUGCAUUCCUCGCACACGUGGUCGAUACGAGUCAAGAGUUGAAAGACAUUCAGAAAAUCCCCGAAGUACGCGACUUUCCCGACAUUUUCCCAGAAGAACUUUCCGGAUUACUACCAGAACGCCAAGUCGAGUUCAGAAUCGACUUAGUGCCAGGAGCUACUCUGGUAGCCAAAUCUCCAUAUCGUCUGGCACCAACCGAGAUGCAAGAACUUUCCAGUCAACUUAACGAACUUCUCAAGAAGGGAUUCAUUAGGCCAAGCUUCUCACCAUGGGGAGCACCGGUCUUGUUCGUCAAGAACAAAGAUGGAUCGUUUCGCAUGCGCAUCGACUAUAGAGAACUCAACAAGCUUACCAUUAAAAAUCAUUAUCCUUUGCCCCGCAUUGACAAUUUAUUUGAUCAAGUUCAAGGAGCCAACUACUUUUCGAAGAUAGAUCUACGAUACGGAUAUCACUAGCUACGAGUGUUAGAGGAGGAUGUUCCCAAGACAGCCUUCCGAACUCGUUAUGGACACUACGAGUUUGUAGUGAUGGCGUUCGGAUUAACUAACGCGCCUGCAGUAUUCAUGGAUCUGAUGAAUAGGGUGUGUCGUCCUUACUUGGAUUAGUUCGUCAUCGUCUUCAUUGAUGACAUACUCAUCUACUCUCGAAGUAAGGAGGAACAUGGUCAACAUCUCCGUAGAGUCCUAGAAACAUUGCGAGCGGAGAAGCUCUAUGCGAAGUUCUCCAAGUGCAGUUUUUGGAUCCGAUGAGUCGAAUUUUUGGGCCAUGUUGUUAGCAAAGAAGGAAUACACGUGGACCCUUCCAAAAUCAAGGCCAUUGAGAACUGGUCAGCACCGAAGACACCUACAGAAAUUCAUCAAUUUCUAGGUCUUGCUGGCUACUAUCGCAGGUUCAUUAAGAACUUCUCCAACAUAGCGAAACCUCUUACCACCCUGACCCAGAAAGGCGUGGCCUUUGACUGGGAGGAAAAACAAGAAAGAGCGCUCCAAACGCUCAAAACAGCCUUGUGCACCGCACCAAUAUUAUCCCUUCCCGAAGGAAUAGAAGACUUCGUAGUCUGUUGCGAUGCAUCAAAUCAAGGACUCAGAUGUGUUUUGAUGCAGCGAGGUAAAGUCAUCGCCUAUGCCUCGAGACUGCUGAAGACACAUGUCACACCCCGCUAAAGCGGAAACGCAAGGUAUGACAGCGAUAACGGUUUCAAUGCAAAAGAUAAAGAUACAUCACCAUAGCAGUAUUUAAAAGUUUACAACCCAUAGCUUCAAAAGAAACAAAAUACAAGUUUUUCAAAAUAACAUUGUUCAAAAUAUAGCUUCAUAAUAGCUUCAACACGAUGCAGCAUGCUCUAUGAUGAUGAAUCUUUACAUCCACUUACUAAUUACUUCCUGAAAAAGCAUGUAAAACGAGCGUCAACUAUGAAAAUAGUUGGUGAGUAUCACAAGUUUAUAAAUCGAGGGUACAAUAAUGCUUUUCGUAAGUACAAGUACAUUGCUUUAAUGAUAAAACAAAGUUGAUUGCUAUUAAGGUAUACAAGUUUAUUGCUAGAAUGAGAAACGCGUUUGUAUGCGUAUGAGCAAACAAUGAGUCUCAACCAAACCUAUGAUUGAAGCCCUAUCGAGAUCUAUGCUUAUCGUUCCAUAGAUGAAUAUGGUAUCAUGCACUCCAGCGAUUCGGGCGAGUGAGGAGUUGUCAAUUCCUAAUAGCGCUAUCCAUAAUGACCAUUGGCUCAAAGAGUUAAUGGUUAGAGAUAAGGGAAGGGCCUUAGUACGAUAAGUUCUCAUGUUCCGUGUUGCAUAGACAUACAUAAAGAAACAUAGCAAUACAAUAGCAAUCAUGUUUGAUACAAAUCAAUUUAAAUACAACAUGCAAAUAAUAGUUUUUCUGGACAUGCUUUUCCACCCCAAAACAUAAAAACCGAAAAUAGGGGAGUGCGUGAAUACUCACGAUGUUUCGUGUAGGCACAAGCAGUACUUCGGGAUGCACCAACGUCUUACUACCGGGAUCCUACGACAUCAAACACACACACUAGUGAGUUUCCAUGUCGAAAUCUAAUGCUAAUAUACUAAACUCUACAUAUAGGGAAAUGCCCAUUUAUGUUUUAAUAUUGGAUUUUUAUAUCAAUUGGUUACACUUUUUCUGAAAUAUUGAAUUUUACAAGUCGUGUGAUUAAUUACAACUUUGGAAUAUUAAUUUUCCAAAUUUUUAAGUCUCUAUAACAACAUAAAUUCACGAAAAAUAGCAUUUGAGGGAUAAAAAUUCUCAAACUUUUUAUUUAACUGAUAUUACACAAUACAAUGCUGGGAAAAAUAUAAAAAUGGAUUGUCAAGCUGUUUAAUUAUAUUUUAUGAUUUAUGGGCAUUUAUUCCAAUAAAAAUUGAAAUAAAUAGAAAAAAGUUUCCAAAAUUAGCCAAACUUUUUAUUUAAUUGUUAUUGUACAAAAUAGACUGNNNNCUGGGAAAAAUAUAAAAGAUAUUUUUCAGUGGGUAUUUCUAUUUUUCCUUGUUUUAUUCCUUUAAAUAGUCAUUAAUUAAAGAAAUAAUAUUAAACAGUUAAAAUAAAUCACCAUAAAUUUUUGUAACAUCAUAUACAGUACCAAUAAACUGGAAAAAAUAUCAAAAGUGGUUUCCAUAAUGUAUAAACCGGUUUUGGGUAUUUAUGUGUAUUUAAGUAUAUUUUAGUGCAAUUAACUUUAGAAAAUAAGAGAAAAAUAGUUUACAGUAGAGAAAAAUUCUCAAACCUUUUAUGUAACCUCCUAAUGUACAAUAUGAUAUGAUGGUAAAUUUUCAUAAAUUUUGGAUAAUCAGAACUAUUUUUCCCAUUUUUAGACCAUUAUAAUUACCAAAAACUGGGAAAAAUAGCUAGACAUGAUGAAAAAUCUUGAAAUUAUUUUCUGGAGUCACCCAACACAGUUAAGGUAUGCGAAAAUUGUUAGAUACAAUUUUCACAUCGUCUAAAGUGGUUUUGUAAUUUAUCAUGCCCUAAACAAAAUAAAAUUAGAAAUCAUAUGAAACAGAAACAAAAAUUGCUGAAAUUUGGUGACGGGUCAUUAUUCCCCAUAAGAAUCAUCCACGAAUUUAUUUAGGAUUUAUUGACCUCCGGAAGUAUUUUAUAUGAUUUAUGUCCUUGGUUUUAGCAAUAAUUCUAAUAAAUCAAAGAAAUAACAAAAGCUCUUGAAAUUUUCCAGAUUAUCUCAUGCAUGCAAGGGCUUUCAAAAGGAAAAAUGUUAAGAAUGUAUUCAGAAGAGAAAUGAGGGUAAUGAUUCCAAACAAUUUAAGAAAAGUUGCAUGCAAUAAUGCAUGAAGUGUAAAUGUGGCUGAAGUUCAUGAAUUUGUGUAGCCCAUUCAGUGAGGUUUUAAGCCACGAAAUUUCAACCAUCAUUCACUAGAUAUGUUAAGUUUCUAAGGUACUUUUCCUCAGAUUUAUGGUUGGGUUUAAGGCCAUUGUUUAAGCAAGAUAAAAAUAGUGAUCACAGAAAAAGAGCUGUAUGCGCAACCUUUUUGUAAAAUCUGCUAAAAAUCGGAUAUUUAAUAUUUUACAGUGAGACCAGUUGGGUUUGAAAGUUAACUCGUGGAACUAACCAAUACAAAAAGAAUAUCAUGAUUUGGUUAAGAAAUGACUGAGUUAUGACUGUUCAAAGUCGAACAAAGUAAUCUGGCAGAUUGCAUGUUUGCUUGUGUGCAUUAUUAGGGUAUUUCAACAAGAACAUCAUGCAUGUCUUUGGUAAGGCCCGAUUUCUAACACAUGCAUGGAAUGAAUGAGCAUCCAAGAUGUACUAGAAAUGGUUUAAAUGCUUUUGUUCAUGCAUGAACACAAAAGAAAUGGAGAAGAACAUGAAAUAUUAGGUUUUGAUGUCACAUGAUCAUAUGUGCAUCUUUUCCACUCCUUGCAUGGGUUUGAUCCCGGAUUUUCACCAUCUCUAACACAUGCAUUGUGUUAUGGUGAGAAUCUACAAACCACAAGGGGAGAAUAAAGAUUUCUAGCCAUGGAAAGGCAUAGAAUCCGAAAAGUAGAGAAGACUAAGAAGAAAAAGAGGUUUAACCAUGAAACUAUGGAAGAAGAUGUUGUUGUUUACCUUGGUUUUGACCUUGAGAGAAGUAAGAACACUUCAAGGGCUUCACAAUCUCGAAAUUUUGCAGAGAAAUGAGAGGAUUUUCGUGAGUUUAGAGAGAGGGAAGAAGAGAGUGAAGUGUGUGAAGAGAGUGAAGUGAGAGAGUGAAGAGGGAAGAGGUGGAGUAAGGGUUUAAGCUUCAUGAUUGUGUUUUGGGGAAGAGAGAAUGCAUGGGGAGAGGGGAUGGUCGGCUCUUGCAUGCAUUUAGGCCUCCUCUCUCCUAAAUUUUAAACUUUAUAAACUUCCCUCCUAUAUUUUAUAUAAAAACAUUCAUUUUUAUAAAAUGUUUAUUAAGCAAUUUGAUUUAUUUAAAAAUCUUGUUUUCAACAAAUAAUUUAUGAUUAAUACUUGUAAUUUAUAUUUCUAGUUCAUUGGUAUAAUCCAUAAUUUGAUUAAUAUAAUUUGAUAUUAGGAAGUUUAUAGCCAAAUUUUAUAAAGUUUUUAAGCUUUAUAAUUUAUAACUUUGGAUUUUUGGCUCUUUAGGGUUUUUGGAAUAUUGUUUGAUAUUCAACAACAUGUUGAAGUAUAAUUAGAAUGUUUUAAUUUAUUUUUAGAGUUUUAUACCCUAUUUCAAUUAUAACAAAGCUUGAAGCUUUAUUCUAAUUAUAGUAUUGGCAUUUCCUAUUGUAGCUAAGCAACUUACUAGAAUUGUAAGUAUCAAGUAUAUUAGUCCUAGACCUUAGUUGGAUCCUAGUUUAUGCAAGAUUUUUGACCUAAUUUAUACUACUAGGUCAUGGCAUGUUGUGCAUGAAUGGUUAUUAUAAAGAUGCAUGAGUCCAAGAAUGACCUGAAUUGGCAGUUGUCACAGUAUCCCCCACUUAAAAAGAAUUUCGUCCCGAAAUUCAUUCUAUGUCAUCGCUUGUCAUCGCAAGGGAAUAGUUGCGGAUACUUUUCCUUUAUGUAGUCCUCGCGCUCCCAGGUGUACUCCGGACCGCGUUUUGAGUUCCAUCGAACUUUCACAAUCGGGAUCUUACUCCGCUUAAGUUGUUUUACCUCCCUGUCAAGGAUUUCUAUCGGUUCCUCAACGAAGCUCAGCUUAUCAUUGAUCUUAAUUUCCUCCAGGGGUACUAUCAAUGUUUCGUCGGCNUGGUACAAAAAGCACGAUCUUUACAGACCAUAAGAGUCUACAACACAUUUUCGACCAGAAAGAGCUCAACAUGAGACAACGACGGUGGGUCGAGCUACUCAGUGAUUACGAGUGCGGAAUUAGUUAUCAUCCGGGUAAAGCCAAUGUAGUAGCCGACGCCCUGAGUCAGAAAGAAUACACUGGUCGUAGAUUCAAAUCUUUGAAUCUAACUAUCCAUUCACAUUUGUCCACGCAAAUUAAGGAGGCUCAGCUCAACGCUUUGAAACCUGAAAACGUGGCAGGUAAAUCCCUUAGAGGAAUCGAUAAGAACUUGGAAGUUAAGGGUGGCGGAGCCUUAUAUCUCAUGGAUCGGAUCUGGACACCGAAACACGGUGGCUUCAGAGACUUGGUCAUGACCGAAGCUCACAACACUCGUUAUUCCUUCCACCCAGGUUCAGAUAAGAUGUAUCUGGAUCUUAAAAAGUUAUACUGGUGGCCUAACAUGAAAGCAGAUAUUGCUACCUUCGUGAGUAAAUGCCUUACUUGCGCAAAGGUCAAGGUCGAAUACCAGAAACCCUCCAGCCUUCUACAACAGCCGAAGAUACCAGAAUGGAGGUGGGAGCGGAUUAAUAUGGACUUCAUAACCAAGUUGCCCAAGACGACGGGUGGACUUGAUUCCAUAUGGGUCAUCGUCGAUAGACUGACCAAGUCUGCACAUUUUUUGCCAAUCAAAGAAACAGACAAGAUGGAGAAACUUACAAGAACUUACAUUAGGGAGAUUGUAAGACUGCACGGUGUUCCCUUAUCUAUUAUCUCGGAUAGAGAUAGUAGAUUCACUUCGAGGUUCUGGCAGUCAAAAGUUCCAUAGGAACUAGGCAGGACAUGAGUACGGCCUACCAUCCACAAACCGACGGGCAAAGUGAGAGAACUAUCCAAACCUUAGAAGAUAUGUUGCGCGCCUGUGUGAUUGACUUUGGGAAAGCUUGGGAUACCCAUUUACCCCUCGUCGAAUUUUCCUACAACAACAGUUAUCACACAAGCAUAAAGGCAGCUCCAUUCGAGGCCCUUUAUGGCCGAAAGUGCAGAUCCCCUCUAUGCUGGGCUGAGGUGGGUGAUACCCAGUUAGCUAAGGGACGAGUUCCCGAAAGCACUCUCACGGGUCCGGAGAUCAUUCGGGAAACGACAGAGAAGAUCGUUCAAAUUCGUGAACGAUUGAAAGCCUCUAGAGACCGACAGAAAAGCUACGCUGACAAACGAAGGAAACCAUUGGAAUUCCAGGUGGGCGACCGAGUUCUACUGAAGGUCUCACCCUGGAAGGGCUUGAUACGCUUUGGAAAGCGUGGGAAGCUCAAUCCAAGAUACAUUGGGCCUUUCGAGAUUCUCGCGAGAAUCGGCCCUGUAGCUUACAAACUCAAUCUACCGCGUGAACUCAGUAACGUACAUCCUACCUUCCACGUGUCGAACUUGAAAAAGUGUCUAUCCGACGAGACUCUUGUUAUUCCACUAGACGAGAUCGAGAUCAACGAGAGCCUCAACUUCGUGGAGGAACCAGUAUAGAUCAUGGAACGAGAAGUCAAGCAAACGAAACAAAGCCGUAUCCCAAUAGUGAAGGUUCGCUGGAACGCAAAACGGAGACCUGAAUUCACUUGGGAACGAGAGGAUUAGAUGAAAUGGAAAUAUCCUCAUCUUUUUCCUUAUUUGCCUGUAAAUACUUUAUGUACUUAGACUUUAAUUUCGGGACGAAAUUCCCUUUAACAGGGGGAUGAUGUGACAACCCAAAAUUUCCAAUCGGUCAAACCCUAAAAGUCAACCACUUCGUAUCAUAAAUUAAUAUCAUUAUUUCUUAUUUAAAGAAAUAUAAAGUUCGUUUGAUUAUUUUAAUAUUAUUUUUAAACGAACGGGUGAAAGAAAGUGUCGUCUCGGGUUUUAAAUUUUUAAAUACCGCAAACACCUCGCGAAUUAGAAACUCUCGGCCAAACUAUUUCGAUUGAGUCGAAAAAUCAUACCAAAAUCUGAAAACUCAUGCUUAUCCAUGAGUUUACUCCUUAAGUGUAGUCAAUAUGAGUUUACUCCCCAUUUAUCCAAAAGAGUAAUCUCCCAAAAGAGUAAACUCAAGAAAACCUCCCAAGUAGAAAACUAGAAACAAUUCAAGAUCUUCAAACUUGUAAGUGUUCUAUCCAUUCCAAGUUGAUUGAACACUUAAUCUAGUGUUUGUGCAUCUAUUCAUCCAUUCACUUUUGUGUUUUUGAUUAAAUUUCCAAAAACACCAAGAACACACACUAAGUGUUCUUGGAAUUUUAGCAUAUUUCAAGCUUCCUUAUUGUAAGUACUUCACUCCUUGAGUCUUAUUGAGAUAGUAUUACAAGUUAGCAUCAAUAAAUUAUGCCAAGAACUCAUGGAACAAGGUGUUCACGGUCCAAGAAGGUUCUUGGGACGUAAACACCAUAAAUGACACCAAAGUGUGUCUAAGCCUCAAAACUAAGCCCUAGUUGAUGUUUAAAUCCUCCUUGACAUGUUUAAACCCUUCCUUAUUGUGUUUAAGCCUAUAAAAACAUCAAAGACCAUCAAAGAUAGGUGUUUACGGUUUGGGGAUCUCCCAAAACGGUAAACACCCUAAAGUGGGUUUAAGUUGGUCAAUUUUCUUCCUUAGGCUUAGAAACUAGCACAUACUUUUACCUACUUGUGUUAGGGACUUGAAAACAUGGCAAUACACUUCUCCAUAAGGUUUUAUGGUAGUAAACCCAAAGGAAAAUGCCAUUAGGCCGUAAAAUCCUCAAAGGAGGUGUUUUGUUGCCCUAGUCCCUUCCAAAGGCCAAACCACUUAGUAGAAUUACUUCAAAAGGCUUGCUAAACCACAAAACAACACUUGGACCUUAAGAUUAGAGUUUACUGCCGUAAACUCCCUAGGUCUUGACCAUCAAAACCGUAAACUCCAAGGGAGUUUACCCUUGAGCCCCAAAAUCAUUAGCAAGGUCCUUUAGCACUUAGAUGCAAUCCUUAUGGCUUAUAGCACUUAUAUAAGGUGUUUUACAUGCGUUAGGAUGUCUUAACUUUGUCAAUUAGUGGUUUAAAGUCUAAUUGAAUACGUAUAUGUGUGAUUAUAUGUUAUCUAGGAUCAUUGAGUGUGAACAAGUCUUCACUUGUCACCUAGCAAUUCUACAUCAUUCAGUUCAUCCAAACCACCAUCUACAGGUGAGUUCAUACCCCUAAUUUAAUGUUUUAAAUGAUUUUAAAUGCUUUAAUAGGGGGGGGGGGAUACAAGUAGAAAACAACAUGUUAUUAAAUCAUUAUAUGUAUUUUAUAACUAUGUUUUCAUCCAGCAGAUUUCACAUACUACAAAAUGUGAUGCAUGAAAUGGUUUUACAUCUUAAAAAUACUUGGAUAUCAAAUGUAUUACUUUUGAAAAGUUUGUUUAAAAAUGACAUCAAGUCACUUUUAUUAUUGUUUCAAAACUCUUAGAUAUCUUGCAAAACCAUUACUUUUACCUUCCUGAACAACCAAUUACCUUUCAGUUAAUUAUCAUAGGGAUAGUUAGAAGAAACAAGACAUUAUUCCUAUUACAAGGAAUCACACAAGAGUCAGUUCAUUCAUGAGUCAAUACCAGUACGUUACUUGAUACAUAAGUACAUAUACAUAUACUUACUUAAUACAUGAGUACAUAUACAUAUACUUACCUGAUACAUGAGUACAUAUACAUAUACUUACCUGAUACAUGAGUACGUUUACAUAUGCUUACAUGAUACAUGAACACGCGUACAUAAAUACUUGUAUCGCGGCUUGCUAGGAUGAUUUAUUUGUACUUUCUAUGUAAAUUGUCUUUCCUAUCCCAAUUCAACGGGAUAUCUCGGUGGGACUAACCAUUCUGAAUUCCAACUGAUUAGCACCAGUGGUUGAUGACCAUCUACGGAGCUCUAAGGUUAUUACUUAUACUAGGUAGAUCGAUUUCGGGACUAACCAUCCCUCCACCCUGCUGCUGCUACAGAGGAUGAGUGGACAAUCUUCAGAUGUUCAUUAGGUUAUACUUUCGCUUAUUUCGAUGUUGUGUUAGUCCUAGUACCCAAUGAUAACACUUACAUUAGUACUUUUCUGGACAAUCUUCGGACGUUCAUUAGGUUAUAGUUUCUCUUAUUGUGAUGUUGUGUUAGUCCUAGUACCCAGUGAUAACACUUACAUUAGUACAUUUUCCUAUUUACUUUAUUUACGUUCACAUAAACGAGGAGUUAGACUAAGUACUUUUAGUACUAGUUAACAGAAAGGAAAAACUAUCAUUUUACUUACAAAAACAUUCAGGUCUUGGUAGAAUACUACAUCUCAAUCUAAUAGGAAAUAAGGGAUUUCCUAGGGUUUUUCAUACUUAUAUCAACAUUUUCAUUUAAAGAUUUCCAUGUCAUUCUUAACAACUUUUCAAAACAAGGCAAUGACACUUAAAUACUUAUGAAUUCACCAGCUUUAGGCUGAUACUCGCUUUCUAAAUAACUUGUAUUCUCAGGUCACCAGUAGACAGGUAUGAUGGCCAGGUUUUGAGAAGACGGAGCAAAGACAAGUCUCGUCUUUUAUUUUGGUUGUAUAUUUUUGGUGUCUUAUUACAAUGAAAGAACACAUAUGUAUUAAAACUUUACUUAUAAUGCAAUGGAUGAUGUUGUUGCUUAUUUACUACUUUACACUGUUGUGAUACUGUACAUGACGUCCUCCACCCCAGAACGUUUCCGUCGUUCUUUGUUUUGGGGUGUGACAGUAGGGUGUAGGUCCCAUAUCAUGGAGGUGUACGCCAGGUAUUGAUGGAGGAGGCGCACAAAUCCAGGUUUUCUAUCCAUCCCGGUGCGACGAAGAUGUACAUGGAUCUUCAUCUGGAUUAUUAGUGGCCCUGUAUGAAGAGGGAUGUAGCUUGGUUUGUGGAGAGGUGCCUGACAUGUAGGAAGGUCAGGGCUGAGCACGAGAGACCUCACGACAAGGUGCAACCAUUAGAUGUCCCGCUAUGGAAAUGGAAGGAUAUAACUAUGGAUCUUAUCACGAAGCUUACUAGGACCGUGCGGGGAGUAGAUUCGAUUUGGGUCAUCCUUGCAUAGUUGACCAAGAGUGCACAUUUUAUUCCUAUUCAGGAGAGCAUUUCGGUCGAAAAGUUGGCCGAAAUCUAUAUCAGGGAGGUAGUGGCACGACACGGGGUGCCAUUUUUAGUGAUUUCGAAUAGCGGUGUACGGUUCACUUCACGGUUCUAGAAGAGGUUUCAUGAAAAGUUGGGUACUUGUCUACACUUUAGCACCGCCUUUCACACACAUACGGAUGGUCAGAGUGAGCGGACCAUCUAUACUUUACAGGAUAUGUUACGGGCAUGUGUUUUGGACUUUGGAGGUAGUUGGGAUACUUACCUUCCACUGGCAGAGUUCUCUUAUAAUAAUAGCUAUCAUGUGAGUAUCGACCAUCCUCAUUUCGAGAUGUUGUAUGUUUGGGUGAGGUGGGUCAGAGGGUUAUAGGGAGUACCGAAGUGGUACUCAAGACUAUAGAGAAGAUCCACCAGGUUCGAAGCAGGCUUUAAAUUGCCCAAAGUCGGCAGAAAAGCUAUGUCGACAAGCUUCGGUCGGACCUGGAAUUCUGGGUCGGGGAUAUGGUGCUCCUAAAGGUGUCGCCUUGGAAGGGCUUCAUUCGAUUCAGGAAGUGGGGCAAGUUGGGCCCCCAGUAUAAUGUACCCUUCAGGGUUGUAGCACGGGUGGGCAAGGUGGCAUAUAGGUUGGAUCUGUCGGCCGAACUCAGUCAGAUUCAUAGCACUUUUCACGUUUCCCAGUUACGAAAGUAUCUGGUGGAUAACUCGGCAAUGGUGUCAUUGGAGGAUAUUCAGGUUGAUGAUAGCCUAAAUUACAUCGAGCGGCCAGUGGCGAUCCUUGACAGGAAAAAAAAGAAUCUGAGAAACAAGAAAGUGAAACUGUUAAAGGUGUAGUGACAGCACUGCAAAGGCUCGGAAUGGACCUGGGAGCCGGAGGACGAGAUGAGGGAGCAUUACCUUGAGCUUUUGCAGGACCCAGCAACAGACUUCGAGGAUGAAGUCUAAAAUAAGUGGGGGAGAUUUGUAACACCUGAUUCCUGGUAUGUAGUUAAUUCUAGAGAUAUUUAUAUUUUCAUUGGGGCUCGACGAGUUGGUGGCCUAACUCAUCGAGUAGAGUCGUGACCCACAAGAAGUUUAAGUGACCUACUCGAUGAGUCGGGAGACUAACUCGGUGAGUAAGUGAUGUUUGAGUGAAACCCUAAAUUUGAGGGUUUGCACCCUAUUUCCAGAAAGCAUUAUCUUGAAACCCUAGCCUUUUUUGAGUUUUCUAAGGCCAUUUUGUGCAUUUUGGUGGAUUGUGAAGCUUGAAAAGAGGAAAUGAGCUUGGGAGUUCAAGUUGGAGCUUGGAGAUCCAUAGAUUGUGUUCCAUUUCCAGCUCAUUUAAGCUAAAAUCUCCUGUCUUGAUCUUCCAUGUAAUUAAUCAUCUUUAGGGCUUGGAUCUUGGUAUAUUUGGGGCUUUCUAAGCCAUUUUCGGGUUGUGAAGUGCAUUAUGGAGUUAUGACUUCAGAUUUGGGGCCAUUAGGGAUCUUUAUGGCAUAAAGAUGCCAACUUUGUUGCCAUAAACACCCCAUGCACCUUGUAGACCAUCGUUUAUGGAUUUUUGAGCCAAAGAACCCAUGCAUGUGCAUCAAGCUUGCACUACUACAAAAAAGCUUAUAGGACUCGGUUAUUUCAAUUAAAUAACCCGGUUUUGAACCGGUUCCUAAAGCCAGCGAGACCUAUGUGAAAAAGCGAAUAGAACCCGGUUUUAAAACCGGCUCCUAUCCAACACAAAAGAAACCGGUUGUUCAUAAAACCGGGACAUAUAAGUGGAACAUAACGCCCAAUCUUUGGUCAAAUAUGAAGAUUAGGACACGGUCUAAGCAUACGAAACCGGGUCAUAUAUGGCUAAAAGAGCCCGGUUCCAGUCCUCAAACCGGGUCAUAUAAAGAUUAUAUAUGGACCGGUUCCAUGAAUAUAACCGGGUCUUUUUUCAGCCUUGCAAAAACCCCUACCCACAGCCCCACCAGAAAGCAUGGUUAUAAGGAUUAAAUUGUUGACAAAUUUAUUCAAAUAACCAUAUAAAAAACACAAAUUGAUACUUGCAUUCAAAGCACACAUUCAAAACAAAACAAAAAUUAUGAAUUGAUGAACAAAUUAUAUUAAUAUAAACAUGCUAAAUAACCAAUCAUUAUGGUCAUCGAUAAAAACAUGCUUAAGUGUUUCUAAAAACUCCAUGAUUUGGUCAUUUCGAAGUACAUCAAACUUACAUAAAUAAAUUCAAAAAUAAAAUUGUUUUCCCAUGCAGAGGUAUUGUCUAAUAAUCAAAUGUUGCAGCUAUCCUCCAACCUCACUUAAAAGCAAAACACAACAACUACCCUUCAUCCUCACUAAAAAAACAAAACACAACAAAUUAUUAGUUUUUUUGUCUAUCAUUUUAACGGAGUUGAAUUUAGCAAACAAUCAUUAAACUAAAAGUAGGAUGUUAUAAAGAUUAACAACUAACGUUAUAUGCACUUUUAGACAACCACAUCAUUCAUAAAAUUUUUCAGAAAUUCUCUGGCCUGUAGCAACANACAGUUGUAACCAACGCCUUUUCCUCAAAUGCAAUUUUGUCAUUCCAAAGGGUACCAAACUAUAUGAAAAUAAAAUUAAAACUACUAAAUAAUGAAACACUUUGUUUCUUGCUUUAAAAGAAAAGAUUAUUUUAGAAUUACUUACUCUACUCGGAAAUCCAUGUUGUCUGUUCAACACGAAAUCAAAGAUCCAAUUCAUUACAUAAUGUCCACUUAGCUCACGUUCCAAUACACCAGCUUGGUUGCACUAAAAUUGUGAUAAAAGGUAAACAUAAAUCACAAACGAAACUACAUCUAACUAGUGGAUACGUAAUAAGAUAAAUUACCUCAGUGAGCUUCCAUACAAUUGGAAUUGAUGUGUUCUUUUCAUACCUCUCAAAAGCCCUAAAAAUAAACAAGCAGCAGAGUUGUAUUCAAGCUUAUAGAAAGAAUGUUAUUUUCAUGUCAUAUAAAAAAAUUUCUUACUUUUCCAAAAGUUUGAGAAGGUAGUAGUUGUCAACCGGAUUUUUCAUAGGCUUCAUCAGAGAAUCCAAAAUGUAGACAAUAUGAUUUGAAGGGCAAAUCACCAAGAGGACCCAAUGCAUACUAGUAAUGUUUUGAAAUUUUAGUAUAAAAACACACAAAAAAAAUAAGUAUGAAUAUAGAUAGCAACAUAUGAUACUUUUGCAGGUAUGGUGCGAUAAGAAACGAUUUUCCAUGAUGAAGUUGCAUCGCAUCAACGAGAUAAUUGACGACAUCAAUCGGAGUUUCCUGACAGGCUUUCCCAAGAAUCUUAUACGGGUUUAAGAAAGCACACUUUCCCAUACGUUUUUGAAGCAUUAAUUGUAAAAGGCUACAAACAAUAUUACAAAAAAUUUCCAAUCAAGUCAUAUCUUAUAAGCAGCCUAAAAAGAAAAUAUCAUGGAAACAAAUAAUAGUAAAAUUUGAAUGCACUUACAUCUGCCAAGUUGUUAUGAUGGACAAAUCAGCUGUUUGUUUUUUCAACAAACGAUAAUAAUCUUCAUAUGUAACUGAAAAAUCAAACGCCCCAGCUUCUAGAUGUCCAGCAUCGGCUACUACAUGAACCACUAGGUUGGUCUUCAAAAGGUCGCGAAGUGAUUCUAUUGGCCUUGGUUUGUUGAUCUUUUGGUUAGGCAUGUUUUUUUCCAUAACAACCUUUGCGGUUGAUGGUCGCGCACUUGUGGUUUGAAUUUGUUGUUGUGAUGACGCCUUGCUUUGUUGUUCCUAUUAAUAACUCAUUUUAAUUAGCGAGUAUGUCGUAUAUGCCACUCUUAAACAUCAAAAUAUUUUAUUUGUCGGCCUAAAUAUAAUAAUUUGAUGUUUAAUAGGAGCAUAUAGGGAAUUCUCUCAUUUUCAGAAAAUGUAUAUAUGGUAGAUAAAAAUUUAAAGGAUAAUGAAGAUGUACCUUACUAAGAACAAUUGCGAUCCGCGGCCAUUGAAUUANGAAAAUUUAUAUAUGGUAGAUAAAAAAUUAAAGGAUAAUGAAGAUGUACCUUACUAAGAACAAUUGCGAUCCGCGACCAUUGAAUUACAGUGCCAACUGCAUCUUCUAGGGUACCAACUUCAUUUGUCAUCACAGGAACAGGAAUACCUUUAUAUCUUUCAUCUAUGUUGUCUAUCAUAACCUUCAAGUGAUUUUCGCGUAAAGGAAGUGAGUGAAUUAACCCAUCAUUAUAAGGAAAGACCAUCCCUCUGGCACAUUUUUGGUUCAUAUCACCAUAAGGUAACACCAAAUCACAACAAGUAAUAGUCUGCAAUCAUAUAACAUGUAGUGUAUUUCAUGUGUCAACAUGUUAGAAAAUUUGAUAUAAAAUAUAAUUUGACAUCAAAGAUCAAAGUAAAAUGAUAUCAAGAAAUUCAAAAAACAUAAGCCGAACACAUUAAAAUAGUAAAAUAUUCUAAAUACAAAAGUUUGGAACUAUUUUAGUAUAUUUUCUAUCACACAUGGACCAUAAUUGUACAUUUGUAUAACAUAGUGACCAAUUCUGCAUUUCUAUACACUUUUGGUUCAUAUCACCAUAAGAUAACACCAAAUCACAAUGAGUAAUAGUCUGCAAUCAUAUAGCAUGUAGUGUAUUUCAUGUGUCAAUAUGUUAGAAAAUACGAUGUAAAACAUAAUUUGACAGCAAAGUUCAAAGUAAUAUGAUAUCAAGAAAUUCAAAAAACAUAAACCUUUAUCGUAUUUAAAGCAUCCAAUGUCGACAUUGAGCAAGAACUAUUGUUUUGAACAGCGAAGCAUACAUUCGGGACUUGNAGACUCUUGUUUCGCAAGCAUUGCUCUUAACUCUGCCAAUUGGGUUUUUGUUUCAUCUAACUGCGCCUGCAUCUUACUAACAACAUCUUUGUCCACGACUUUCCUCUUUUUUUUGUCAAGUCCUUGCAUCCCCUUUCUUAAGCCAAUAUCAUGCCCCACCGCCCUGGUACGACCAGGGUGCUCCGGUCCUAUUGCCUUAGUCAACAAAUCCUCUCCGGGACCCAGCAACAGAUCACCUUCGAAUAUUUCUUUUUGGACAUCUAUCUGUUAAUGCAAACAACAUUACAAUCAUACAAUUACUUGGACAAAAAAAUUAAAAACAAAAUCUUAAAAAACAAAAUUAAGAGCAAUCUUACAAGCUUUUUUACUAUGGGUUCCAUGUUAGGUGGUAUUAUUUUUGACCCUGACUCAUUUUUAAAUCUUCUCCCCAACACAUAAUCUAAUGAACGCUCGCUUUUUAUCUCAUACAACUGUGACGGCAACUGACCCGAUGCCUUCUCUUGUUCCCACUUAGCUUUGUUGCCCCGAUAACCAUGUGGGCCUACUCGGGCUGGAUUCGUAUUACACAUUGAACUCAUCCUUGCUUUCUCACUUAUAUCCUGCCGAAAAAAAACAACCACCACAAUUAUAAAACUGGAACAUAAUGAUUAAUAUUAUCAAGAGACAUUAUAUCCUACUAACUUGGAAUUCCGUUGAUGAUAUUCUUUCCUUAAACUUUUGCAACGCAGUCUUUUCCAGAUAUGAGUAGCUUUCAAGUGGAUUUCUCUCAUUCUCAUUGACCAAGAAAUUCUUUUUAAGCCUCUUUUUGUAUGAUCUCCACUUGUGGUUGCAAGUCAUAAGCACAUAUGAUUUGCGGUUUUCAUCAUGGAUUUUCCAACGUUUCUGUUUUUGUAUUUUUUUAUAUAUAAAAUUAAAAAAAAAAACUAUUAGUAACAUAUAUUAAUUAAAUGAAAGCACAUGUAAUGUGUAUUAGAUUAAAAACCUUGAUGGUCAACCAUAAGUUCUCCUUUUCAUUUGCUGGCACUUUCUUCCAAGUCGGAUAUUCGAUAGAAAUUAACUUUCUCGUAACAACCCCGCAGUCAUUGGCGAACUUAUUUUGAUUAUCGCCACAAUGCUGACCAAGACUGUUAAAUUCAACUUCUUGUGGCUCUGUUAUAUCCCUUAGACGUGUGGCUGUUCUUUUUUUCCUCGGUUGUGGUUGUGGCACCGAUUGUUGAUGUGGCACCGGUUGUUGUUGUGGCUGAUCAUUCAUCAUCUUUAUUGUAGAUGAUUUGCAAAUAGCUCAACCACCUACCUGAACAGAUUACAAAAACAAUUCACAUGAUAUCACAAUGCUUACUUUGCCGUUUGAUUGAUAUCUAUAUGUAGUUACGCUAGUAACUGUAUGGCUGUGUAACUAACCCAUGAGUUACAUAAUAACAAAUUCGUUUGAUUGAUAUCUAUUAAGCUCUUCUAGAGCCAAUUAGAUGACAAGUUUUUUUAAUUACUUUAAAAAUAGCAUCAAAUCAAAUCAAUAUAUACAACAUAAUCAACCAUUUAAUGUUGUAUUCUUAUAACACUAUUAGUUGCCAAAAUAUAAACAUAUCUAGUAAGUAAGACAAGAGAAUAAAAGAAUAGCAUAAACUGGUACAGAUGUUAUAUAUAGUUACAAGGCAGAAUUUCGUAUAUACCCUUGCUAAACAUCUAAAUAUCAUAUUUGUCCGAUCUAAACACUAAAUAUCGUAUUUACCCUUCUUAAUUUUUUUUAAUAUCAUAUAUACCCAAAUCUAUUUUUUAAAUAAUUUUACUGAUUUAUAAUCUUUUUUUUAUCUUUUUAAAAUCAUUAAAAGUAAAAACAACAACUAAAUUGACAAUAUUGCCCUUCCUUUACAAAUCACAGGUUUAAUUCAUUAAAUUCAGACAAGGUUAUACUCCGGUCAUCAUCUUCCUCACGAUUGCCUUGUGUCUCCUCACGUUCGUCGGCGUCUCAUCUUCUUCUUUCAUUGCUGAUGGUGCUAUGUUGUCACAUCAAGGGUAAUAAGCACUAGGUAUUUAUGCCAUUUACCCCCUAUUCUUUUUUAUCGAGGGUCAAAAGUCAGGUAUUUGCAUUUCCAAUAUAUAUUUGGUUUCAAGAUAUGAUGGGUUUAUUCUUACAACUGCAUAUAUGAUAUAUGAUUAAACAUACAACAAGUCAUAAGUUUAUUUUCUAAACAAUCUUCCAGGCAUCAUUUUGAAGGUGAAUUCCACUGUCUGUGACCCUAAUUGGGAUUCUAUACAAGAGCUUAUUAAAUUUCUGGAUGAGCAGUAUAAGGAAAAUGGGCAAUUGAUCUUGAGUGAGUCCUUUCUCUGUAAGCCAAUAAUUGGGUUCAAAUCUAUUCCAUGACAUUUUUGCUUGAUUGAUUCACAGCUCAUAUGAAUUAUUUGAAGAAAUUACCUAUUGAGGGGAUUGUGAUUCUAUUUCUAUAUCUAAUAGAGACUUUCAGCUGUGACAUCUAGAGAAGUUUAUCAAUGAUACCAUUGUUGACUUUUAUAUCGAGUUGNNNNNNNNNNNNNNNNNNNNNNNNNNNNNNNNNNNNNNNNNNNNNNNNNNNNNNNNNNNNNNNNNNNNNNNNNNNNNNNNNNNNNNNNNNNNNNNNNNNNUAUAUAUAUAUAUAUAUAUAUAUAUGGUAAUGAUCUUUUGCGAACUCAGGUGAAUUCUGUGAACUUUUCAUGUGAAGUUUUUUAGAGUGACUUAAGGCAUUGAUUUGGUCAUAUAGAAGUGCAUUUGCAAUAAUAAUAAUAAUAACAAUAUAAAAUAAAAAAAAUCUUGAAAAGAAUGUGCACAUGUGAAAAGUGCAUAGCAUUAACGUCCGAAGUGCAUAUGUUCGUCAAAAAUAACUCUUAUAUGGGCACUUUUUUUUUCGAGAUGUUUUUUGUGAAGGCAAUUCUAUAUGAUCGACUUAAUAUCGUAAGUCACUUUUUUUUAAAAAAAAUAACACAAAAAAAGUUCGUGGAGUUCUCGGGAAACUAGAAUGCACGUGCAAUGCGGCGGUACGAGAUAGUUUCUUUCGGCAAAUAGUUUUAAUACGCCGAUUAGUUUGAUUUUCGUGUCAUGUAGUUCCUUUCAGACUUUUUCUCGAAUUCUUUUGUGUCGGGUAUUUCCUUCGGACGAAUAGUUUCAAGCUAUGUAAGUACUUGUGGGGGCGGAAUAGUUUCCUAUACGGUGUUAUUUAUUACUCUAGUUUUUAUUUUAUGAUUAUAUUAAAUUCAAAAGCAUAUGUAGCGGUCUUCGAUGCGGGAUAAAUGAAUGGGUUCGAUCACAAGUAGAUUUUCCUUUACGUGAAGAAUAGUUUACUUUUCAGUAUUAGUUUCUUUCUAUAACUCUUUUUGGUUAUUAGUUUUUCUUAAUGGCAAGUAGCAUUCUUUAAUGAUUUGUUUCGAUUGGGCCGAUGGUUAAAAUUUUUUCUUUCGCGAAAUGUCUUAUUCAAAAGACAUAAAAUGGAUCAAUAAAUAUGUUUUACCAUAUGACAUACAUUGUUUUAUAAGUUUUAUUUCGGAGAUUAAAAAGUUUAUUUUAGGGUAAAUUACACCGUUGGUCCCUCGUGCACAUGCCAGAAAGCAUGUGUAGUCCCUAUUUCCAAAAUUUAACUCGUGCAGUCCCUCGUUGUUAUUUAUCUUGCAUGGUUAGUCCCUAUGCACGUUAACUGUUAAAUCCUUCCGUUUAAGCUACCCACGUGCCUUGCACGCAGGGGCAUUUUCGUCUUUUUAGGGUUUGUGUCCAUAUUUAAUGCCGUUACACCUUAAAUCUUAUAAAGAACACUGCAACCCUCUUUUCCUCUGUAUCCUCUCGUUCGUCUCUUCCCCUCGUUCGAUCGAUUUCUUCCAAAUACAUAACAAUGAUCGAUAUUAAAUGCAAUUGUGGAGCCACUGCAGUGAUUCGCACAUCUUAUAGCAAAAGAAACCCUGGGAAACUCUAUUAUGCUUGUACAAUAAAGGUAAGGUUAAUGAUUUUAAUUUUCGUUCUUCGUCUUUUCUAAUUUUNAUCGAUUUCUUCCAAAUACAUAACAAUGAUCGAUAUUAAAUGCAAUUGUGGAGCCACUGCAGUGAUUCGCACAUCUUAUAGCAAAAGAAACCCUGGGAAACUCUAUUAUGCUUGUACAGUAAAGGUAAGGUUAAUGAUUUCAAUUUUGUUCUUCGUCUUCUCUAAUUUUGCCCUAAUUCUCCAUCUACUUUAAUUGGUUCAGGGACCAUUAUGCAAGUUCAUAGGAUGGGUGAAUGAUUAUGAUCAGGACUGUGAUUGUAUGGCGUUUAGGAUGAAACUUGAAGAACAAAAUCGCAAAUUGAAGCUUUACCUAGUUAUUAGCUGGGGUUUUUUUGUUUCAGUCCUUAUAUAUAAAGUGUAGGUUAAGUAAUGAAGUUGUUAGUAUUUUGGUAUGUGUAUAUUGUAAUGGAGACUCUUUGUAAUGUUAUUUGUAUUAACAAAAAAAUUUCAAUUUUAGUUGCAAUAUAUUGUGUAAUCAUAAUGUGGUGUUAUCAGUUGGUGUUCAAAUUUAAUGAAAAUGUGGUAUUUGCAACAUAUGCAAUAUACCAUUCAAUACUAGCAUCCAAUAUAACAAUUAAAAAGGACAAAAACUCUAAAAUAUCCAAGAUAACCAUUGACCAUUAACAUAAAGGGACAUCCAAAAUAACAACAUAGUCUUAUGGCAUACAAAUAGUUAUCCUACACAGCAACAAAGUAUCAAAAUACAAAACAUAACAACAAAAUAAUAUGGCAAUAAAUGCCUAACAAAAACAUAGUUAUCCUUCAUGNNNNNNNNNNNNNNNNNNNNNNNNNNNNNNNNNNNNNNNNNNNNNNNNNNNNNNNNNNNNNNNNNNNNNNNNNNNNNNNNNNNNNNNNNNNNNNNNNNNNUUUAAGCUAUUUAACCGGGUCUUUUAGCGCUUUUUGUAGUGGUGGUUGUUCAUACAUAAAUUGGAUAACAAAAGAGAAUAGAUUUAGAAUAAGUUAAAUGACAAAGUUUAACUCGAUACUCAAAUCCCACUACAAAUUUAGAAGCUUUCUUGUGGGAACUCAUCAUCACUUUUAAGCAAAACAGAUUAUCGAAUUAAAAAGGAAGCGUGUGAUUCAUACAACCUUAUUAGAGAUGGCAAAUCUCCAUCAGGAGGUGUUCGUAUCAAUGAUUAAGCAACAAAUUACCAUUCAAAUCAGUUUAAUCUAAAGCAAAAAAUGAUAAAUUACCAAUAAAAAGUAAACAUAACCAACGAGGAAGAUGAUACAACUGAUAUCUAUAAUUGUUCAUCAACAAAAAGUGAUUCAAAUAGCAUACAUCUUUCGUGACAAGAAUUCACGAUACUGUAGGAGACGGUGGGAAAGAUUAAAUGAUCGGGAAGUAUACUUACGAGAGGAGAGAUGCUGUGAAGAAUUUUGUCCUGUUGUUUUGGGGAAGAGGACCAAUCGAGAUGUAGAGUCGUGUAUACGAGUAAUGUUGCCUUCGCAAUGACUUGCCGACCUCCUGAUAUGAGGUAGGGGAUAGGGAAAAUCGAGGAAAAGAUAAGGGUUUUAGGCACCAGAUUAUAGUCAGGACGAUGAGGAGGAAUCCCCUGUUAAGGCACAGCCUGAUGGUGUGGUAGGUAGUCAAAUCGCCGGCCCAUUGAGUAAAAAACUUGGUUUGAUCUGACGUCGGUACGGUAUAGGGUUGGUUCGAUGGAUCCAAAUCUUCAUUUCUAAUAUAUAAUAAAUAUGAAAUUCAGCUUGAUUAGCUGUAAACGAGUCAGGUUUCAAUUUAGGACUUUUUUUGUAUAAAAUGGACGUUGAAAAUAUUAAGAUUUUUUUUAAACAUCAUUAAAAGUAGGUUGUGCAAUCGAGUCAUGUUCGGGUUGGCAUGUCAAAAUAUACCAACCCGAUCAAACCCAGUUAAUUAUACAUAGGUCACGGAUUGAUGAUAUCCUUUCCUUAAAUUUUUAUAGUGACAUGCGAAACAACCCUAGAUAAGAUCAUGUAAAUUAAAAUUAUGAAUAAGUAUCCUAGUACCAUCUUCAUUACCACCACUGCUACCACUGCCACCAGUCGCCACUACCACCAGCAACACCAUCAUCAAUGUCAUCACCGCCACCAUCACCACUACCACCACCGUCACUACCACCCAACAUUGUUGUCGCUACCACCGCCACCGUCCCCCACCACCACUGCCACGACUGCCAAAUUUCUAUUGUUUUUAUAAUUUAUAUAGUGUAUCUUUACAUAUAAGUUAUAAAACAAUGUAAAUUUUUGCAGAAUAGACCAAAAAAAUGUAAUUUUGUCAUUUUACAUGAAUUCCAAUUGUAUUUCCUACAAACCAAACAAAAUUUGGAAUUAAGUCAAAUUCCAUGUCAUGCCAACCAAACAACAUAUGGAAUUGGAUUCAAAUUCCUGACAGAUUCCUUUUCCAAUUCCAGUUCAAAUUCCAUUAGCAACAUUUUAUGAACCAAACAGCGCCUAAGUUUUCUUUUCCUAAACAACAUUAUAUGAUUAAAAGUAGACCUGACAAUCGUGUCGUGAUCGAGUUGAUGGGUUGCGGGUUAGCGAGUCAAAAUAUAUCAACCCGAACACGACCCAUUUAACUAUAAAGGUCAUGGUUUGGCAGGUUUAGAAUAUAAACCCAUAUAUGACCUGUCAACCCACAUAUUUAUAUAAGUUCACGGGUUGGCAAGUUCCUGUGUCAGAUUUGGGUUCAUAAGUUAUUGGGUCAGAUUUGGGUUCAUAGGUUCGUGGGCCAUAUUUGGGUUCGUGGGUCAGAUUCCGUAAAUAAAUUUGAUAAUUAAACAUGAAUAAAUUCUUGAUGCAAACAUAUCCGAACUUUAGAUACUUAAGUCUUAAACAUCCAAAUGAAAAUAAAAAAACAUUCAUGGAAACAUGUUCAAACUAAAACAUUAAUACAAACAUAAAUAAUUAAAAUUCAAACGACGCUAAAACAUAUUAUAUAAUGACACGUCUCAUCGUCAAUCAUAUCUUUGUCUGAGACCUCACUCAAAUCCUCUUCAUUUUUUCCCCAGGUGUGGGUUAUGAUAUCCAUAUUCCUUCAUUGUGAUCUGACCGUAAGUAAGUGGUGUCGUCAACAUCAUCAUUUGAAGAUGGAAUGUCGAUAGAAAAUGGGGGUAGUUCAUCAAACUGGUCGUACUCUUCCUCGUCCACAACAUCAUCAACACCAAGUAUAUGUCGUUUGCUAUGCAUAACGAUGUGCUUUCCCGAUUCCUUUGGGUCCUCAACAUAGAAUACCUGAGUAGCUUGUUUAGCUAGGAUGAAUGGUUCUGAUACAUAUCCGUUUGUGGAAAGGUCAACAACUGUAAAACCAUCAUUGUCAACUUUAACACCUCGUUGGUUGUCAACCCAUUUGCAUUUUAACAUAGGUAUAAUGAUGGAAUCAUAUUUCAAUUCCCAUAUUUCCUGAAUGACGCCAUAGUAUGAUUCUUUGGCGAUCCUCACCCUUGUAUCAUGACUAUCUCCAUAUACUUCAGUUGACGCUAUUACUAUUACACCACUAUUUUGAAGUGUACUUUUUCCAUCUUGUUUAUUAGUGUAAAAUGUAUAACCAUUAAUGUCAUAUCCUUGGUAAGUUGCCACAAAAUCUUCAGGACCAUUCCCUAGAUGUACUACAGCUUGAUCCACACUGUCGAUGCCAUAACUUGCUCUCACUUUGUCUUUUAACCAUUGUGAGAACGUUUUGUUAUGUUCCUUAACCAACCAUCUAUUGCUCCUACCGCGAUUUGACAAUUCCAGUGUUCUUUUGUGCUCAUUUAUAAAUGGAGCAAUGAUUGUCAUAUGUUGUAGGACUGUAAAAUGUGCAAGUUGUAAGUCUUCUCGAUUUGGAAUGAUCUUUUUCAAUCCAAUAGUCCCACUCCCUACAAGUCUACCCUCAUGUCGAGAUUUUGGAAUGCCAAUGCUAUCAACACCUUGUAAAUAGUCAGUACAAUAUUCAAUUACCUCCUCUGUUGCAUAUCCUUCAACAAUACUACCCUCUGGUCGAUGUCUAUUCCUUACAUACCCUUUUAAGACGCCCAUAUAUCUCUCAAAUGGAUACAUGUAUCGUAAGUAUACUGGCCCACACAUAUGAGAUGUUAGAUGAACCAUGACAUCAAAAAAUGAAGGUGGGAAAUACAUCUCGAGUUGGCAUAAUGUCAAGAUAAUAUCACUUCCCCAUGAAUCUAAUACCUCGGGAUCAAUAACUUUAGAAUGAAUCAUGUUGAAAAACAAGCAUAGCUUUGUGAUUGUGUGUCGAAUUCGGUCCGGUAGUAUUCCACGAAUUGCAAUGGGAAUCAUAUGUGCCAUUAAAACAUGACAAUCAUGGGACUUCAUACCAAAUAGUUUUAGUUCUUUCAUUGACACUAACUUCUUAAUGUUAGCAGAAUAGCCUGAUGGAACCUUUACACCAUGUAAGCACUUACAAAAUUUUGUUUUCUCAUCCUUUGACAUGGUAUAACAAGCUACUGGCAGAUACGUACGCUUUCUAGGAUUCCUAAUAGGAGCAAGCUCGGGGCGAAUUCCCAUUUCAACCAUGUCUUCUCGAACAUUAAUCCCGUCUUUUGACUUUCCUUUAAUGUUCAACAAUAAGGCUAUCAGGCUUUCACAAACAUUUUUUUCAAUAUGCAUAACGUCAAGACAAUGGCGAACCUGCAAGUGCUUCCAAUAUGGUAACUCCCAAAAUAUAGAUCUUUUCUUCCAAAUAACUUUAGGAGGAAUUGUACCUGUACGUUUACGUUUACGUUUUCCUUUACCAUUACCUUUGAAUUUUCCAAAUGUCACGUUUAGAUUUUCAACACGAGAAAAUACAGUUUCUCCUCGUAAUGGUUUCCUUGCUGUCCUCUCCUCAGUUUUACCAUUGAACACCUUUUUUUUCUUGCGAUAUGGGUGAUUUUUUGGAAGAUAUCUUCGAUGAUCCAUAUAUACAUUUUUCUUGCAAUUUGUCAACCAUAACGAUUGUGUAUCAUCUUCACAAAUUGGACAUGCAUUUGCUCCUUUUGUGCUGUAUCCAGACAAAUUCCCAUAUGCUGGAAAAUCAUUUAUGGUGCAAUAAAUCAUGGCCCGAAGUUGGAAAUUUUCCCCACUAUAUGCAUCAUACACUUCGACACCCGGACUCCAUAAUUUUUUCAUGUCCUCAAUUAAUGGAGCUAAAUAAACAUCGAUAUCAUUUCCCGGCUGUUUUGGACCUUGAAUUAGUAAUGACAUCAUGAUGUAUCUUCUUUUCAUGCAUAACCAAGGUGGGAGAUUGUAGAUACAAAGAAGAACCGGCCAUGUACUAUGACGACUGCUUAGGCUUCCAAAUGGAUUAAUUCCAUCAGAACUAAGUCCGAACCUAAUAUUUCUAAUUUCUCGACCAAAUUCUUUAAAAUUGGAAUUAAUAUUUCUCCAUUGAGGGGAAUCAGCCACAUGUCUUAUUUUUUCGUCUAUUUUACGAUCAGCAUGCCAUCGUAUUAAUUUUGCAUCUUUGGCGUUUGCAAAUAACCGCUUCAAUCUAGGCACAAUAGGCAAAUACCACAAUACUUUAGCAGGUGGACCUUUCUUUUUCACAUCAUUGGUUUCUUCUGUAUGAUUAUUCUUCUUAUACCGUGAUGUACCGCAUGUGAUACACUUAUCUAGAUCUGCAUACUGGUUUCUGUAUAACAUACAGUCAUUUGGACAUGCAUGUAUUCUUUCGAUUUCCAUUCCCAUUGGGCACAUUAGUUUUUUUGCUUGAUAUGUUGAAAUAGGUAACUCGUUAUCUUCAGGAAGCAUAUCAUUCAAAAGCUUUAGAAGAUUUGUGAAACUUGUAUCACUCCAACUAUUGUUUGCUUUUAGGUUAAAUAGUUUCAAAAUAGCAGAUAAUUUGGUAUACUUCAUACACCCGGUAUACAACGGUUUUUCUGAGUCAUCAAAUAAUUGUUGAAAAUUUUCAUAAUCCUUUUCAGCGACAUUGUCCUCCCAAUCAUGUAACAUUCCAGAUAAGUCAUCGUACUUGUCAUUGUUUGAAUCAUUAUUAUCAUUAUUAAACUUUGAAACAACCUCAUUAUCAUUAACCAAUGUCUCUCCAUGUCGUGACCAACAUAUAUAAUCUCUCAUAAACCCACGAAUUAUUAAAUGUUCCUGUACUUUAGCAGAAUCAGUGUACAUAUGACAGUUCUGACAAUCUACACAAGGACACCAUAUGUAGCUUUCUCCUUUAUUCACCCGAUGUUCCUCUGCAGCUUUAAGAAAACCACCCAGACAUGCCAAAUAUUCAUCACAUGAACGUUUAAUUCUAUACAUCCAAUAACUACGAUCCAUCUGUUAUCACAUCAACCAUAUAUUAAUAACAUGCAUGUAGGACUAAGAAUACAUCUAAAGGCAUUUGUAAUUUACCUAAUACAAAUUUAAUCUUACGAAAAUAUGACCGAGUGUUUGAAAGUAAUAAAAAUACCUUAUCCUCACUCGAUAGACAAGAUGAGUAAUGUAUUAUUUGAUGAUUCAAUAAGCUUCAACAAAUAUUCCUGCAAUAUUCAAACACACAGAAAAUCAAGUCAUAUAACGAAUUACGUAAUAAAAUAAUUUAUUGUUAUUAUUAUUAUUAAUCCAUUGUUAUUUUGAUUGGGUUUUAAUACUAAAACAAAUCAUAUUAUUUGUUAUAUGAGUAAUUAAAAAUAGUUUAUCUAAUUGAUAUAUAUUAAACAGAAACGUAUAUAAAUAACUUUUUUAUAACAUCAAAUAUUAUAGAAAAAACUAAUUUAGUGGAAGGCGGGACUUUCUUUAUUUUUCCCGCCAAAGGCCUCUUUCACCUUCUACUUCUACCCUAUCAAUGACUGCAUCGUGUCUUUCAUACUCUACCACAUCCACAUAUCAAAACCUCCGAAACAUAAUCUCAUAAGGCGAUCUUUUACCAAUCAGUUGAUUCCUUCUUUCAAUCUGCCAUAUUCUGUAUCUUGUGCCCCCAAAAGCCCAACUAGAUAUCUAUGUUUCAUAACCAUUACUAUCCCUGAAUGUGAGUCGCCCCUGCAACCUUUCACCAUAUAACCCCAAAAGGCUCUAGAGAUAGGUUUGACAGCUUGCUGCUCUCUUGUUAUUUUUCAGAUUAGCAUUUGAAUACAAGUAUUAAAUUUCACUUAUAUUUGUUUCUUUAUGUCUUAUUUUUCGUACAGGGUUAUUCCAGGUUUCAUAGAAGAAACAGGAAAAAAAGAAGAAAUCGAUGUCACCACUUAAGGUUUAAGGUGUUUCUAUUGUCUUUACUAGUUACCAUUUGCUAUGACUUUUAAAUUUACAUUAUCUGUUUAAAAGUACCAAAUACAUUUUAAUUUUACAAUAAAAUAUAAUAAAAAAGAAUCGAAAAAGGAAACUAAAUUCUAAAGUGUUUUAUUACUGAAGGACCAUAACUCUUAUCUUUGAACCCAUUUAUUUAGAUUGCCAAAAUAGAUACUGGUGUGAUGCACUGCAAUUUGUAGUUUAUAAAAGCUAAACCAGAGUAAACACUAUGGUCAGAUUAGAGGUACAUACUUGGACUUAAUAAAGAAGAACACAUGUGCUGUAGCUAAUAGUUUCCAUCCCAGUCGUAUGUGAUCUUUUGAUUUUCUGCAUGUAUAAGAAAAAAAUAAACUUAUGAAAAUAUUUUCUCGUUUAACCUAUUGGAAUAGUAAAGAAUUGUAAAUCAAUUAAAACUACAUUUGAUUAGCAUUGGAGAUACAUACCAAGCAGCUUCUAGCUUCCUUCUCUUGAUUUUUUUCCCGUGUAUGCUUUGUGUGUGUUAUGGGAGGAAUAAAUAGGAAUGAACAACAUAAUCUUAGGAAUUAGUGGUAAUUAUCCUCCCAAAUAGUUGCAUCAAUAUCUGUUAAGUUUUAAAAUUAAAAGUUUGUUUAUGAUUGGUUAUGUUUUUAGUUUUAUAUAUAAUUUAUUUUAGUGAUAGUCUUCUGUGUUUUUGGUAGAACAGCUUAUUCUAUGAUAUGCUAAAACUGUAAUAUAUUUUUUCUUGAUAAUCUUCCGAUCUGUUUUUUUAUUUUGUUAUAAUUUUUUUGUGUGUGUGUGUAUCUUCAUGAGAUUUAUCAGCUUUAUAAUUUAAAUAUAUGAUUUUUAUUAUAAUAUUAGUUGUCCUUUUAAAAAGUGAAGGCUAAUUGAUAACGUUAAGAUUAAUUUUGCUUUAUCAUUUUCCCUCACACAUCGGUACCCAUAUCAUGCUAUGAUAAAUGCUAUUAACCCUCUUAUAUUCUUCUCCAACUUGAUAGUAACAUCACAACUUUUUUUACCUCUGUUAAUUAUAAGCAUCAUAUCUAACUGUUUCAAUAAAAUGUUUGUAUGCAUAUCUGUGAGUGAACAAUAGAGCUUGUCAGACAAGGAGUUCCUUUGCCAGUGUGGUGUAAUUCGUGAUUCUGGUGCUGUAUAUUGUGAAUUAAAUCUUGAUUUUGCUUUAUUAGCAUAUUCCAUUUUGGUAGGACAUAAAAGGUUAACAAGUAUUGAUGAUGUAUUUUUUAAGUAAGAACUAAGGAGUGUUUACUGAUCCAAAUCUACAUCAAUGUUACCUCUGAUUUUAACAACAUAAAAGGUCACCAAUUUGUUUUGACUUUUAAAGUUCAUAUGAUUUAUAAUUUUACUUCAUAUUCCUAUAAAGUUUCAAAUUCAUAAUCUUUAAUCAAUUGAUGACAACUAAAUUAGUGCAAAUUUACAAUCACUUUCACAUUUCAUAUUGAAUAACUUGUUUUACUUUACAAAGUAUGUGGAAGAUAGCUAUGAUAUUCGGUCCUUAGGCCUGUUUCAAGAACAUGUAAUCUCCAAAAUAGUCUUUGAUUAGCUUUAUUAAUUGUUUAAAAAAUAGGAAUCAAUGGUGCACCAUAUCUAUAAUGACCUACUAGACAAUCUUAAACAAGAUCCUAUAAAUUAGAAAUAAGUAUCUUAGUUUAAACAAAUAACUAAACAACCGGAUAAUAAUCCUUAUUCAAAUAAAAGGCUCGUUAGAUAGACCUGGCCAAACAGUCCAAGCUUAUCAUUGGGUUAAUAUAAUCAUAGUCCUUCAGCAUGAUCUGACUGUAAGUGAGUGGUGUCGUCAACAUCAUCUUCUCGAAGACUAAAUCCGUCUUUUGACUUUCCCUUGAUGUUCAACAUUAAGGCUAUCAAGGUUUCACAAACACUUUUUUCGAUAUGCAUAACGUCCACACAAUGGUGAGCCUGCAAGUUUUUAUAGUCUGAACGUUUAUUUCCAUGUUUCCAGUAACUAAGAUCCAUCUGUAAUUACAUAAAAAAAUAUUAUGAUUCAAUAAGUCUCAACAAAUAUUCCUGUGAUAUUCAUUGUCUGGAACACUGUCUUAGAUUUUCAAUUCUACUUAAAUAUAACGAAAUUUUAUGUUCUUAUCUGGAAGUUACCUUUGAAUGUGUGUGCCAAAGAUUAAAGGGAAAGGAUUAAUGUUAUCUAUAAUUCCAGGGGAUAUUUGGAAGGCUGCAGCAAGACUAGAGAUAGCUUUGGUUGUUGAGGAAGCUGAACCUUUGCAAUGGUCUAUGCCGUUCACAGCUUCUGACUCUGCUCAACUUUUAUGUAAGUUUUCAAAUGUGAAAAUCUGAGGCUGACCACACACCUCAACUGUUAAAAAAAAUUCUAAAUUAAACAUAUGAUUAAAUUAACACACUACAAGUCUACAAUAAGAUUAAAGAUACAUACUCAAACUUAAUGAAGAAGAAUAGAAGAAUACAUGUGCUGUAUCAUACGAUUUUCAUCUCCUUUAUACAAGAUUUAUGGAUUCUCUGCACGUGUAAUUUUACUUGACUUUCUCUCUAUGCUAAUGGAUGAAUAACUUCAACUUUUUUCAUAUGGUUUCUCUGUUUUUAUGUGUGCGUCAAUGGAAGAAAAUAUAGCAAUUAAGUAGAUAAUCAUUGGAAUCAAUGGUCAUUAUCUUUCAGUCCAUGCUUUUAUCAAUAUCUUUUGAACUUUAAAAUUUAAAGUUUUAUCCAUGAACGGUUAAGUAUUUGAGUAAUAUAUAUCUUAUCAGUUUUUUUUUUCAGAGUCCAUGAAUUUUAACGUGAUAAGGAUAUUAAAUAGUGAAAUAUGCAGGCAUCAUCUAUCCGGUGUUCUUUGGAGCUGCUGGCAUACUUUUUUGAUCUUCUCUGGUUCUAUUUGUGCUCCUUGUUAUUUGCUUUCUACAUGUUGGUGGGGUUUUUUUUGGUUUAUUGACCAUUUUGCCCCUGAUUGGCAUUUUUUGGUGUGGUGCUUGUUGACUGAAGUUUUCUGCCUCUAUUCAUCCGUUUGCUUUUGUCCUGGUUUGCAGUGCUCUCUAUUGGUUGCUAGUGGGAUAAAUCUUUGCUAUUUGGACCUUUUUACCCUUGUGGGGUGUUUUCAUAUUGCUUUUAGUUCUCUGUUUGUUUGUUUAGCUUAGCUUUUGUUUCUUUGGCUCUUCUUGUUGCUUAAUACUGGACUUUGUUCCAACUUCCUCUUGUGUGUGCUUAAUAAAGUCAUAGUUGUUCAAAACAAAAAAAGUCAUUAAGCCACAUUUGCAUUUGCUAGAUGAAGUAAAAAGGCCUUGCUAAAUGAAGUAAAAACACGUGCCUGUUGAAAACGGGUCAUAUGACUUCCUAGUGUGACUUGUUUUGAAAGUAUGUUUAAGACUCAUCCUAUUUAAAGAACUAAAGGUGAAAGUUUGUCUUUGAUUUUACCUGAUGGUUUUCUUGACGAGUUAAACAUUUUAACUAAGCAAUAUAUAAUCUUACAUCCGAUUUCAACUGCAUACAAAUUUCUAAUUUGAUUAUUGAAUUUCUGCCAAUUACUGCACAUAUUUGACUUGAUUCUUGAAGUACAAAUUGAAGAGUAGUUUCAAGAAUCAAAUUUCAAGUGCCAACUCAAGAAUGAACUGAAGAUGGAUGCUGCGAAGAAUCCUAAUAAGCUGUUAGGAAAUAAAAGAAUUGAUUAAAAACCGUUAUUGCAAAUCUGGUUAUUAUUGAUGUAAUUACUUGUUAUAAUUUUAUUGCAUGUUAUCUGUUUUAUAGGUACUGUUAAGUAAAUAAUUGAAACUUUAAGAAUGAGAUUUUUGGAUCCCAAGAGUCUUGUUGUUUACCUGUUAAUAUUAUUGACUAUUGUAUAUUGUUUGUAAUUUUUAUUUAAAUGAUUUUAAAUGUAAGUCUUCCCACUAUUGUUUUGUUGAAAUAAAUUUUAAUAGUAAUCUUGUAUACUUUAAUGUAAAAAACUUUAUUGUGUUGGAAACUAAUAAUGGUUUAGGUUAAGUGGCAGUGUACUAUUGUGUAUUUUAAAUCGGUUUAUGUAUAUACAAUACUUACAGAGUUUGUUGAAAAAAUGAGAAUGUUAUUUUCAAUUUGUAAUUACAUAGAGAUUAUUAAAUAUGGCGCCAUGUCCCCAGUGCUAUGAUUUGGAAAUAAACACAUCAAAAAAAUGGGGGUUGGCGAAAUAGAGUUUGGUUUUAGAAAAAUUGGAUCCUUUAGUCAUCUUAUAAACCACUUUUUGUACCCAUAAAACACGUUUGUAUUAGAAAACCGGGUUAUACAACCUUAUAGCUAAAAGACCCGGUUAUGUCAAUAUAAACCGGGUUUUUUAAAUCUAGCAUAAAGCCCGCUUGUUCGCUUUAAGCCGGGUCAUAUUACACUUCCCACUAUAAAACCCGGUUUUUAUAUAAUAUAACCCGGUUUUUUAUAAAACCGGGUCCUGUAAAGUGGGUUCUAUGUGGCUUUUUGUAGUAGUGUUGAGGCUUUACGUGUAAAAUGGACAUUAGGAGGCCAGAUCUAUGGUUUUGAUGUGUUAAGACCCAUUUAAAUCAACUAUAUAGUAAUGGUCAAGGAUGGACUCGACGAGUCAUUCUUAGGACUCGGUGAGUCGGGGUGUAAUGACCGCUAAGUCCCUUCUGUCGAAGGACCAGAUGAUACUAUGGAAGGUCCCUCAGUUGUUUAAGCUCUUAAGGGACUUGGGAAUCAUGGGACUCGACGAGUGUUAGAACAAACUCGACGAUUCCAAGGCAAUCUCCCAAUCUUUGAAGAUGGACUCGACGAGUUCAAGGAAGAACUCGGCGAGUUAGAUGAAGAUUGAUUGAAGUGUUGUUGAAGGUGAACUCAUCAUGCUCUUGCUAAACUCGACGAGUGGGGACAUGUUUGUAGUAUUUUGUGGACGAAGGGACUCGAUGAGGUGGCAGACCAACUCGGCGAGUCUGGUCGACCAAAAGAUGACUUGACCAGGGUUUUACUUUGACUUUGCCUUUGACCUAGAUUCAAUUUGAACCUUAUAGGGGUUGUGAGUACAAGUUGAUAACUUAGAGGGAUUGUUGUGUAGAGAUUGAGGAGUCGAGAAGAGCCGACUUUCACACUGAGGAUAGUGCCGACACUACACAACAUGGAGGUGAGUUUCCUUCUAGUAGGGAUGGGUUUACGGCCACAAUGCCGACCCACUAGCAAGGGUGCAGUGUAGAUGGUUGUCUUUGUGAUAAUCAUCUAGGAUUGAUGUGUGAUAUGAUUACUAUGCUUGAUAUGAUCAUUGUAUUUGAUAUGCUUGUUGUAAUUGAUAUGUAUUAGUAAUACCAGGGGUGGAAUAGUCCCCAGAUACCGGUUGAAAGAUACCGAAUGGGAGGGUAGCUCCCGGUUAUCGUAUGAAAGAUACCGAAGGGGAGGGUAGUUCCCAAUUACCGGCUGAAAGAUACAGAAUGGGAGGGUAGUUCCCAUUGAAAGAUACCGACGAUUAUGUAUUAUUUGGUAUGGGUAUGAUGGGGGAACUCACUAAGCUUUGUGCUUACAGUUUCAGUUUUUGUUUCAGGUACUUCUUCGUCUAAGGGAAAGGAGCCGGCGGUGUAGCAGCGCAUCACACACACUAAUGUGGAUUCCGCGUGGAGAUUUCUGGCAUUGUACUCUGAUUUUUAUUACUUUUGAUGAUAUGAUUUUCAGACACGUUUUUAUGAUUUUUAUAAAUUGAUAUGACAUUGGCAAUGUUUGGUAAACUAUGUUAUGAAUCUCGUAAUUAAAAAAAAAAAAUGAAAUUUUUGGCAUUGAAAAUUGAGAUGUUAUAGUAGAAGUCAUAAAAUUAUUUAUGUAGCUUUCUAGAGAUCAUAAGUUUAAUUUUGCAUAUUGUUUCUAUUUUUAGGUCAUCAUUAAGAAGUCGGUGUUGGAAGAAGAAACGGGAAUUCUAGCAUGAAUAAAUUAUUGAAUGGGCUUUUGAAUACUUUUGAACAAUUGUACUUUAUAUGAAUGUUUUUAUAUUUUCAAUUUUAUUUGGAUGUUAACGACUUUAUGACUCUGUUAAAAAGCUCUUUUGGAUGUUAAUGAUUUUAAUCAUUUUAUGACUUUCUGUUGAAAACAAACUUUAUUUUUUUAAAAUGUGUUGCUUAUUUAUUAAACGGAUUAUACGUGUUAGGUUCGACUCAUUGACCUGUGAACCCACAAACUCAUAUACUUAAACAAGUUACCCGCCAACCCGCCAACCCAUAUAUUAUAUGGGUGGGGUUGAGUUAAUGUUUUCUAACCCGCCAACCCGAAUCUGAUUGCUAGGCCUAAACCCGAUAACCUCAAAUCCGUCGGUAACGGCCAUCUUCGACGGAAUACUGACAUCUUUGUCCAUCAGAAGUUAUCCCUUUUUCUAGUUGUGCGCCGUACGAGAAAAUUAGUGGUCAGAAUCCUAGGUUUAUUUGUGUUAUUUACUCAACCGAAACCAAAGUGAGUUCAUGUAUCUUAGCAUUGAGUAGAUUUCAAUAAUUUAUAUUCAGCACAUGUGAAAGACCAUGAUGUUGCAGUUUUUUUUUGUUCCAAGUGGAUAUACAAAAACAAGACAAGCUAGAAGAGAAUGUAAUGAAAACAAUAAAGCAAGGCUAGUUAGGAACCGGUUAUGAAAGAUUCUUUGCUUUGUUGUGAAAUCAGCCUAAAAUUAAGAGUAAAUUACUGAAAUCGUCCCUGUGGUUUGGUUAGAAUUGCACGUUUGAUCCCUAACUUUUUUUUUUCCACUCGGAUCGUCCCUAUGGUUUGAUUUUGUUGCGUUUUUCGUCCCUGUGGUUUAUUCUGUUGCAUUUUUCGUCCCUUAUAUACAUAAAGUUAGGGACCAAACAUGCAACUUUUACCAAACCAUAGGGACGAAAAACGCAACAAAAGCAAACCACAUGGACGAUCCGAGUGCAAAAAAAAAAAGUUAGGGACCAAACGUAUAAUUUUGACCGAACCACAGGGACGAUUUCAGUAAUUUACUCUAAAAUUUCUGAUUCAAUACCCAACACAUUUUUCUUUUUCCAUUCAAGGCAGGAUCUCCGAAUCAAAACCAAGUCAUAAACUGCAAGAAAAUUUUUAAUGUGAUACUGAUGUUUAACGAACUACCAAGUGGUUCUUUGAGAAGUAAUGUAAAGCUUCAGCUCUUACUUUUUUCAUAUAGAAUAUACAUAUGUCGGUUUUGAAACACCAGCCAAGCACAAAAUCAUAUGCUUUCUGUCUAUGCUAGGGUGCUUUCAUUUUUUAUAUAUUGAUUGAUUUCAAAUACUGAUGUAUCUCAUGAUGCUGGUGUUCUAACUGGAUAACUUCUUGUAUUAUAUAUGUCUUCUCUUUACCGAAUCAUUGUUUUACAGCUUCAGCUGAAUCAACCCAUUCCCUACUGAGACAAAUUGGACUUAUGCGUUUAGAUGUUCUUCAAAAGCUACUUCUUCCCUCCUAAAAGUCAUCCAUUUCCAAACUCCCACCUGUUAGUAUCAGUCUCUGAUAUUUCACAAAUCAAACUACAUGCACCACUAAAAAAGAAUGUGCAAGCAAUUAUUCAUUCAACAUAUUGUCAUUAUUCAUUCAACAUCAAUCUUACACGGACAUACACAAACCAAACUGAGCUAACCAAAAUAUGCAUUGAUACAUUGCCAAAGAGCAUACACCCAAUUGAAAUCAAGGAAACCAGUACAAUGAUACAAGUAAAUAAGCGGAUUACAAUAAAGAUAGAACAUCUGGAUUGAAAAUUGGAAGACAAAUAAGAAAAAUAGAAACAUACAAAAAAACAAAAGAUGAGAUUUUACAUUUAAACAACAUUUAUAUUACAAAUGUCAUACAAUGAUACAAAUAUAACAUUCAAAUACUAGUUGAUAAUUACUUGCAUCCAAAGGAUCUACGCAGCUUCUCUUCUUCUCUUUAUCUUGGAAACUCUUACCACAACUGCAACAUAUAUCUUCUCUAUGGUCUCCUCAGCAAACAUAAAAAGCUUCCUUCUCCACUGCUUCUUGAACAACAAAACUCCAAUAAUACCCCAGAAUCCUGUCACAAAACCACUCAUUAUGUCCGCAUAAAACCACACCUUCAUCCGCUCAUCACCUUCUUCAUAUCUCUUCUUGAUUGAUGUCAUCGAAUCUUCAUGAUUAGAGCAAUUGUUUGGCAAUGGAGCUCCACAUAGAUCUUUGUUCCCAGCAUAUAUUGAUGGAUCCGUAAAGGUCUGCAACUGAUUUCCUGUUGGAAUUGGUCCCGACAAGUUGUUGUGUGACAAAUUCAAAUGGCUCAAAAAGUUCAAAGCUGCCAUGCUUGGAGGGAUCGUUCCAAUCAACUUGUUGUUUGAGAAAUCGAGAGAUUCUAAUUUCCUCAUGUUUCCAAUGCUGUCUGGAAUACGCCCACUGAGAUGAUUAUUAGACAAAUUGAGACCCAUCAACAUAGAAAGUGCAGUUAGCUCCAACGGUAUUUCUCCAACAAGUUUAUUGCUUGAGAGGUCCAUGUUAAAAACUAUAGUCCAACUCCUUCCAUAUUCAAGGUCAACACCUUUCAUGACCUGAAUCACCUUCUCAUCAUAACGGAGUUCAUUAUCAGGUGGUUGCAUACUGCUGACCAUUGCAUUCAACUGUCUAAAACAAUGAGGGAUGGUUCCCAUUAAGUUGUUUUGUGCAACGUCCAAAAUUUGAAGAUUUGAAUUUCUACACAAAGAACUAGAAAUUCUUCCUGUAAAAUUAUUGUUGUGUAGCCUAAGGACCAUCAAAAACCUAAGUUCUCCAAUACAUUCAGGUAUGUAUCCAGAAAGCUUAUUAUCACCCAAAUCUAAGACCCUUAAUUCUCGUAAAUUCCCCAAUUCUCGAGGAAGUUCACCAAUAAAGUUAUUGUUGUUCAAACCUAACCACAUUAAUGAUGAAGAAAUGAGAGCUAUAGAACCUGGGAUGACGCCAGACAACUCAUUUGAACUAAAUCUCAUGAAAUACAAGUUUUUCAGAUUCCCGAGACACUUGGGAAUUUUGCCCGAUAAUCUAUUCCCUGAAAGAUCAAGAAGUUGUAAAUAUGUCCAUCUGCACAAUGACCUUGGAAUUGACUCGUUGAAAAGGUUAUAUUCCAUAUAUAAUGCUUUCAAAGGUCCAUCAUACCCUAACUCAUUAAAAUCCCCCCCAUUAGGAAGGUUUGUCAAAGGUCCGUUGAGUUUGUUGUGAGAGAGAUCUAAGAAAGAAAUGAUGGGCAUCCUCCGCAACCAUGUGGGUAGAGGUCCCGAAAUUGUAGCAUUGGAGAGCACUAACCAGUUGAGAUUCCUUUGAUUUCGAAGCCACUGUGGAAAUCCAUUUGCAAUAUUGCAAGAACUAAGAUUAAGAUAUAUUAAUCCGAAUGGAGGUAUCCACUCAUGUGAAACAUUGAAUAUCAACAUAGUGUUAAAAGAAGUAUCCAGGUGCUUCAGCUUCGAAAGAUUGGAAAAAUGGGCUUCAAAAACUACUCCUUCUAAACAAUUGUUGGAGAUAUCUAGAAAAUUGAGUUUGGCAAGUUGUCCAACAGAAACUGGAAUGGUUCCAUUUAGCAAAUUUGAAGACAAUGAAAUAAAUUGUAAUGAUAGAAGCCUUCCUAUAGAUGUUGGGAUGGGACCUGUUAACCGAUUGAAUUUCAUAUUCAAAUCUGUUAAAGCUGUUAAUUUUCCAAGUGACUCUGGAAUCGAACCAUUCAAUUGAUUAAAAGAAAUGUCAAUUUUGGAAAGUUUCACAGGGAAUGUAGGAAUGGGGCCCGUUAACUGAUUGAAUGCUAGAUUCAUUUGUGUUAAAAAUGUUAAUUUUCCAAAAGAAUCUGGAAUUGAACCAUUCAAUUUAUUGAAAGAAAGGGCAAGUUUUACAAGUUUCCCACAGAAUCUUGGAAUGGAGCCUGUUAACUGAUUGGAUUCUAGAUUUAAAUCUGUUAACGCAGUUAAUUUUUCAAAGGAUUCUGGAAUCGAAUCAUUCAAUUGGUUAAAAGAAAGGUCAAGUUUGGAAAGUUUACCAAGGAAUAUCGGAAUGGAGCCGGUUAAAUGGUUAUCAGAUAGAUCUAACACUUCUAAAAAUCUUAAUCCUCCAAGAGAUUCAGGGAUUGAACCUGUUAAUUCACUGACUGAAAGAUCUAUGUCUCUUAAAUUGGCAAAUCUUCCAAGUGGUUCUGGAAUUGUACCAUUUAAACUCCCAUGUAAAUCCAACCUCUCCAAAGCAUAUUGGGCACAUUCUGAUAUGUUCAUUAGUGAUUCGAUCAUUUCUAUUUCAAAAUGAUUGAAUGAUGCACUCAAUUGUUUCAGGUGACACCAUCUCCAGAUUCCAAGAUGCUCAAUCUUCUUAAAACUGUUAGCAGAAAGAUCAAGCUCUAGAAGACUAGGCAUAAUUGGAACCGAUGAAUAUAUAAUGUUCCCCGAAAGGUCAAGGACUCUUAGGGAACUCAUGUUUGUUAAAACAGACGGAGAUAUGCUGUCAAUUCGAUUCAUGCUAAGAUCCAGGUGUUGGAUAUUAGAAUGUGUACUGGAAUUAAGAUGAGGUGAAGAAAGAAACGUCUUAUCGAGCCUACACUGUGACAAUAACAGCACUGAUAAAGAAGGGUUUGUGUUUAGCAAGUUUCCAAAGUUCCACGCCAAACUUGGAUAAAAGUGAGAAAGAUCCAGGAAUGUUAGAGAUGUCAAAUUUUGCAAAAAGCCAGGGAGUGGACCUAUGAAAUAAUUGAAGCCAAGAUCCAAGUAUUUGAUGCUAGGAAGUAUUCCAGUCGAAUUAAGAAAGGGUCCAAGAUCAGUGUUGGAAAGUUUACAUCCCCACAAGUUUAACUCUUUUAGCAAAGGGUUAGUGUAAAGAAUGUCCCAGUUUUGUGCUCCCCCAAGAUCGACUAAACUCAAAACGAGAUGCUCGAGUGACAAAAGGCCAAGAGUCCAUGCCAUGUCAUCUGCCAUCAGCUCUUCAUUUACACUGAGAUCAAGAACUUUCAAAUUAGAAAGAUUCCCAAGGUGAGAAGGAAUAAUACCUUGAAAACCAGAAUGAGAGAGAUUGAGGUAGCUCAGCAGUUUGAAGGAUCCAAUGAACUUUGGGAUCCGGCUUCCUCUAAAAUCAUUCCCACUCAAGUCCAAAUAUUUUAGAUUCCUCAGUUGUGCCAAAGAAGAGUUCACCUCAUUACCAACUAAAAAGCCUCCUCUGAGAUGAAGGCUUUCAACGGUUCUAGUAAGAUUGUCACACUGGAUUCCUUCCCACAAGCAACAGUCAUUGCCAACCCAUGAUGACAACAUUCCAGAAGGGUCUUUGACAUGGUGUUUGAAGUUGAGAAGAGCAAGUUUCUCUUGCUGGGAGCAAAAGACACUCAUAUCCCCAACACCAAAACAAGUAUAUGUGGUUGCAACCAAAAAAACAUAUAUGAAAAUGAGAAGCAGCCCGAAAUUCAUUGGAUUCCCCAUUAUCAACCCCAACUAAGCUUAAUCUAUAAAAAGAUUGAGAUGGAUAGAUGAGUUGUUAUAAUGAAGCAACUAGUUUAUUUACAAAUUAAUAAAUCAGGAGCAAUUUAUUGCCAUGGAAGAGUUGGAAGUCAAUGGUGGAAGGGAUGAAAGUUAGUGGAUAUGUAUAAGUUGAUGGGUUUUCAUAUUUGGUGAUGUACUAUUCAUUGCACUAAAAUCACUUUUUUUAUUUUAUUAAAAGAAUAUUAUUUUAAGUGGUUUGUUUAUUUUUAUAAUUAUUAUAUUAUAACUUAUAAUAUUAAAAUACGUUUUUAGAGAGUAGUUGGAGAUAAAAAGAGUUUAGUAUAAAUUUUACAUAGAAAUGGUGCAAUGUUUUAGUGUUAGGGUGGUUAUAGUUAUAAUUCCAUUCUGAAUCCUCCCACUAAAAUACAAUGAUAGUUAGUGGAUAUGUAUAGUUGGUGAGUUUUCAUGAUAAUGUUUUGAGAAUUUCAAAAACCAAGAAAUCAAAAGAACAUCAAGUAUAGAGUUGGUGGGUAUAAUGGGUAAUCAUUAUCAGAAAAUAAAGAAGGGCACUUAAGACAUUUAACAUAUAUACAUUAUAUAACCUUUGACGUAUUUUAUAAAUAAAAGGAUGGAUUAUACCAUUCCAUAUCCUAACAAUCAAACAGAUGAUUAAGGAGUAUUUUUGAAAAAGAAAAUAUGCUUCCAAUAUUUUUUUGUUGUAAAAAAUGGUGUUCAAUUGGAGAUGAAUCACUAUUUGCAUCACCUUUUUGGUGUGAAAAAUGAUUUUAGGGUUGGAGAUGUUAUAAAUUACAUGCAAUAUUCAUUUCCUUAUUUGUUAAUUUUUAUUUUAUUAAACUGUGGUACAUACAAGACAUUGUGUUUCUUAAGUCACAAGGUUUACACAAAGCGUAGUAUCCACUUGAGAUAGUGAAAAUUAGACAAAGCUCACCCGUCAUAUGGUUAGGAGGAUAACGUUGGUUGACUUGGAUAGUUUGUCUUAUAAAUCUGGAACUCAUGCAUACGAAAUGACCUAAAGAAAAAAAGUAAUAAAGUAAAGAGCCAGGUUAGUCAUGACAUAAUAUAAUAUGAAAAAUCUUAAAACACAUAAUAAAAAAGGGGAUGAACAAGAAAAAAACUUAAAACUAAAAAACAGAGAAAGCGUCAUAACCUAAGUAAUAAUGAAUAUAGGAAUGUUUUUUGAUGUUGCCUAGUUGAGCCAAUCUUAAUAUAAUUAUAAACAAGAACCUACAAAAUGAGAAUGUUUUGGAUAGCUAAAAAUUUGCGUAUUACCAACAGUCACAUCUUUUCUUUAACCUAGUACUAAAUCUUUCACAUUAAGAGAUAGCCAUUUACAAGUUAUUAAUUUAAAUAAAACUAUCGCUGCAUCUUCAAACUCACAUCAGUAGUUUUGUUAUUCGGUUUAGGUGAAACUAGGGGGCGAUCUAAUGCAUGCCUACAAGAUGCAACAUCUGUGUUGAUACUUGAUAUUUACAGAAAGUAGAUUGAAUGAGAGACUGCUUUUCGUCAUUUUCCAUGAAAAUUGCACUUUAUAUAAUGAAACUUUUUUGUCUAAUACACACAGCUAUAAUGACAUUUACGUAUAGAAAAUUAUUUUAAAGGCAAUGCUUUUCCAAAAUGAAAAUAAACGUUAACCUACAAAUUUAUGAAAGGGGUCAAGUUAUAAAAACCAGAUUACCUUUGAUAAAGCUUUAUUGACUCAAAGAUGUUCUUGAAGAUUCUCAAAUGACACAAACAUCAUGUGUGUUAUGAUAACAAAUCCUACUACACAAACUGGAACAUGUUUUAUUUCUUACAAGUAUGAUGGUAUGCCUUGGAUAGGAUUUUGUGAAAAAAACUAGAAAUCUGGAAAUGGAACCUUGCUUUUGAUAGUGAGUUUAAGCCUCAAUUUCUACAAGGCAAAAUGAAUUAUAAGCCCAACGAAGUUUUCAAACCGUUCAAAAAACCCCAAUUAUGUUUUGUCUGUUCAAGAAAACCAACGAACUUAAUCUUUUUUCUAAAAAAGCCCAACUAACUUACAUUUCUCAUUUAAGGUCAACCGACUAAUGAAAGUCAACGAAUGACAUGGCUGACGACGUGUAAUUAAAUAUUGGAAAAUGAUGUAAGACCAACGAAGUUUCAAAAACGUUCAAAAAACCUCAAUCAUGUUUUGUUUGUUGAAAAAAAUCCAACGAACUUGCGCUUUUGUUCAAUUUUCAUCAGAGGCAACCAGAUUCAGUAGGUAUACAACUAGUUGGCAAAUGACAUGACAUUAUAUUUAAUGACAUGGAAUAAACAAAUUAAAAUUGCCCUUUAUAUAUCGAUUUAGGGCUUGGAGAAGAGAAAAGCGAACGGCGUCUGUGUUCGAUCUCUUGUAAUACCUGCUUCUUAUUCUUCCUCUCAAUCGUUGAUGUCCAACUCAAGAUCUACAAAGAAGAUAUUUGAUGAUGCAAAAUCUAGCUUGUGGAUAAAGACGCCCUUUUUGGAUUUGGACAUCUAGAAUAGAGGAUCAUCCAAAGAUAAUGUUUAGGGUUUGUUCGAACAAAUGGGUAAGUAUAAUUGCAAGUUUUAUCAUGUCCAUUUUAAUAAGUUUUUGUUUUUGAAAGAAACCAAACAAAUAGAUAGAAUAUGGACAUGAUAAAGCUUUCAGUUACACUUACAUAUCUAUCCGAACAAGCCCUAAACUUUGUUCGAAAAAGCCCAAAACACUUUUUCACUUGAUGAUCCUCCGUUCUAGAAUUGAGGUUUUUUGAACGGUUUUGAAACUUCUUUGGUCUUACAAGUCAUUUUCCGAUAUUUAAUUACACGUCAUAAGCCAUGUCAUCAUUGACUUUCAUUAGCCGGUUGACCCUAAAUGAGAAGUGAACGAAAGUGUAAGUUUGUUAGGCUUUUUAGAAAAAAUGUUAAGUUCGUUGGUUUUCCUGAACAGACAAAACAUAAUUGGGUUUUUUGAACGGUUUGAAAACUUUGUUGGGCUUAUAAGUCAUUUUCCCUUUCUACAAAGCGAAUACAAAAUCAGGAAAUGCGUACAAGUAACCAAUGAUAUAGUAAAACCCUAUUCUAUAAAUAUAUAUAUCUAACAGAUUUCAUCACAUAAAAGACACAAUAUCUAUCAGAUAUGGUAUGCUUAGGAACUAGCAUGGAAAGCUCUUGGUGCAUAUGUUUACAUAACAUGUGUGUUUCAAGGAUAGGAGAGUGAGGGUGCAACACAAUAUCAUGGCUCAUUUUAUUCAAAGACAAGUUGAAGAUCUUCCACCAAUUGUUGCAGUGAAAAAUACCAUAAGAGAAUAAACAAGUUUCACAUGAAAUGAGGCAUACUUAUGAUAUCUUCAAAGAAGGCAAAACAGCCGGGCAGCACUAGAUAUAAUAAAUUUGACAACAAAUUCUCAGAAAUGGAUUUUCACAAAAUAGCACACUUAGGUUCCAGAAUGACACCUUUCCUCAUGAACAAUUCAAGCAAAGUAUGUUUUUGUACAAAUAAAAGCUUUCUAGGUGUCUCAGCAUGAAUGCAACAUCGGUAUCAAAAUUAUGAAAACAAGCAAAAAUAUCAUCAAAUAUGUAAAUGGAAGCUUAUGCUAAUCAUCAAACUGAUCAUCAAGCUCAGUAGAUUGCUUUUUUCGUUCUUUUCUUUGUGAUCCCAUUCAUCUAACCAAACCAGAGCAACAUCUUGUUUGGUUAGAAGAAAGUGAUGAUCCACAAAGAAAUACAUUAUAAAAUAAUAAAUGAAGAGAAACCUUGUAAGCCAAGUAGUGAAAUAGAAAAUUUGUAGACACAAGCUUUUGUUCCUUUUGGUUUUCAUAGGACUUAUAAUGUCUUCGACCGCAAAUUUUCAUUCAACGACUUUGAAGUCUACACAAAACUAUAAACUUGACUUUGACAUUUGAUGACUUAUGAACUAACUUGCAAAAAAGAAGUUUAUGAUAAUUUGACUUUAACAAGGUUAAUGAUGUUUUAAGCCCAGUACAUGUUCAGUAACGUUAGAUCUUUCAUAUUCUAUUAAAGGGCUAAAAGGACCAACUAGAAACUUACAUUAGUUCAUUUCUCACUAGCUAGAGGCAAUAUGUACUUUUUAUGCACAAUAUUAGCAUAUGUUUAUUUAUGUUUUACAAGUUCCAUUAUGUUAAGCAUGAUAUGAACAGUCAAUUCAUUGAAAAAAUAGAAAUAAUCCCCAAUGUUAUAAUCAUGUCAUUUGGCUGUAUCAUAACUCACAUUCCUUAUGAAAAGAUUGAAAGCCCCCAGCACUGAGAUUUCUAUCUAUCAACCUGUAACAAUGUAAUGUAAAAUACUUUACACUUCAUUAAUUAACAUUAUCUAAGUCACUUUAAUCUCCAUUACUCAAUUGAAUGGAGAGAUUCCAGGAAGUUGCUAAAAUUAGGUCGCCAAACACAAUCUCAACUCAACUUUAUUUUAAGUUAAUUACAUGCUCUGAUUUAGCUUACAUUCCAACAAAUAAUCAUCUUAAAAAACCCAUCAAUUUAACACAACUUCUAACAAUUUUACAGAUAUAAUCAACAUACCUUCACUAAUGCGGCUCUGAGUUCAACCCAGAAUGAUUACUCUUCAGUAUUAGAAGUUGAACAUAUUAAUUGAUAUACAGUGAUCAAUUCACGAGCAGGGGUGGAUCCAAGGGGAUCCCGGGGUAGCCCGGGAUACCCCUCAAAAUUUUUUCGGUAGUGUAAUUUUUGUUUACGUAUCCCUCAAAAAAAAAAUCGGUAUAAUGUAUAUAUACGCAUCCCUCCACUUAUAAACACAAACAAACAGUUGGUUUGCUAGUUAAGGCGUUGGCUUAUUCAAGCAAAGGUCUUGAGUUCUAUUCUUGCUUCAUACAUAUUCUUUGUUUAUUUUUGUUUUAUUUUUCCAGCUAUUCUAUCCCACAUCGUUAAACACAUGUAAACUCAUCCAUUUUUUUCUAUUAUAUAAACCUGUUAUGCUCAUGCUUUAUUUGAUAUCUACUUUGAGUCCCACAUCGAUUCAAGUAUCAAAAUAUACUUCAACUUCAUAUUUAUAUAACAAGACUUGAGGUUAGCUAAGGAUUCGAUUAAGAUUUGGAUUUAAAACCGAAACCGAACCCGGGAAAAAAAUUAGGUUACCCUAAAAAAAAUUGGGAUACCCCUUUACUUUGAUCUUGGCUCCGCCACUGUUCACGAGUUCUCCUUCUUUCUUCCUCUUCUUCUUUCUUUCGGCCGAGAUUGAAAUAGCCACAACAUCGCGGUUUAUUGCGUCCCUAUUUGCCGAAACGCUAUUGCGGACCGCUAUUUGGCACCGCAAUAUUUUUUUAAACCGCUUUAUCAGCGCCAUACAACACCGCUGUAAGUUAUGCACUGCUUUCGUCCGACUGACAUACGAGUAUGUUACAAGAAAUUGGUCAUCACGUUCCUUUUUAUUUCUUUACAAAUAAAUUACUGAAGUCAUGGUUUAUCUCAAAGUUACAAAAUUACCUAUUUUGUCUCUAUCUUUUUUUUAAAACCAUUCUUAUUUCUUACUAUUUAUUUUCAUUUAGGUUUUGUUGUAUGCUAGACAUAAGGACAUCUCCAACUCACCCCAAACUCCAUUUUUUUUCCCCAAUUUCUUCCUCCAUUCUUCUCCAACCCUACCCCAUUUUCACCUUCAUUUUUUGAGAUAUGAAUAAUAUUCCCGCAUAUAUGAGGGAAUACUAUUCAUAUCUCCAAAAAUGGAGGUGAAGUUUGGUUGUCAAUUCUAAUCUCUCUCACUUUUAUUUUAUACAUUUCUAGUUUAUUUUAUCUACUAAUUAUAAUUUAAAUGCAAUAUUUAAUAUUUAUAAUAUCAUGUUAUAUACUAAUUUAUAUUAAUUAAUCAUAAAUAUAGAGUUUAAUCGGUAGAGGGGUGUAUUUGAUAAUAUAUAUAAGUUAUACAAAUAGAAUAUAUUCUAGGAAUAUAAUUUUUGGGGUAAAAAAUUGGUUAGAAAAUGGAGUAAGGUUGGAGAUGAAAUACUAUUUACUCCAUUUUUACUCCAUUUAUAGGGAAAAAAUAGAGAUGGGUUGGAGAUGGUCUAAAAGAAUGUAUUGUCUUCUCUUUUUUUUAUUUAAAUAAAAUUUUAAGUAUUAUUUAUAUUAUCAAUUAAUAAUUGGCCUCACAAUAAAUAAACAAUUAUACUUAAAAUAAUAUGGACCCGCCACCCCACUUCGACUCAGCCCACAUGAUUCCCUUCCUUGCCACCUUCGUCUUCUCCGACUAGACCUUCAUUCAAUGUCUCUGGAAUCCUAUCAAUAAACACCUUAAAUCCAAACCUGCAAAUCAAAACCAAAUUUUGAAAUUUAAAUUUCAAAAUUCAAAACCUACACUAAACUAAAAAUCUAAUCUAAAAUCUAAAACUCAAAAGUCGAUCAACAUCGGAUAGAAAUCUAAAACUCAAAACCACAUCAAUUUCAUAAAGUAAAAACAAAAAAUUGAUCGGUAACAUGUCAUAAUGUCCAUUUUCAUCUUCAAAAUCAAUAAACCCACCCAAUAUUUGAAAUCUUAACAUCCUUGUUUCAAGGAACAAAAUUUGAAAUCUAGUUUUUUAUCUCUUCAUGACACCUAAACAUACUAUUUUUAUAGGAUGCCAAUCACUUUUUGCCAUCCGAUAUAAACUUUUUGCCAUCCGAUAUAAAGACAAGAGCAAAGUUAGAAUGAUUUUGAUAUGGUGGUUGGCAAUGAGGAAAUAUAUUUUUGGAGAUGUUUAAUCUAUUAUUUUUGAUGAUGACAAGAUUAUAAAAGACUUAAUAAAAAAAAGGAGAUUGUGGAGUUUAGUAUUUCUUGUGACAAGUCUGAUGCUUCUGAAAAUAUAUUUUUUGUGUAUCGUAUAUUUGUAAUAGAUGAUUUGUGUUCCGGAUAAUGUAUUUAUGAGUGAUGCUUAUGACUACUAUUAUGCCCCUAACUCAUGGUGUAUGUUAGUGUGACUUGUUUGUUGGUAUGUCACGUACCUUAAGUUUAUUCUUCUUAUAAAUAGGUGUGUGUCACACCCCCAGCCGUUGCGACUUGGCAUGUUGGGCUGUGCGACUUAGUUCAUAGAUCACAGGUAAACUGAAUAUAUAGCACAAAUACAACAAUAAACAAAACAAUAAUUGUAUUUUAUCUUGAAAUUUUAAUACAAUGUUCUUACAGAUAAUAGUAUAGUACGUAAAUUGCCUUAAAUAGGUACCCAAACAUAACAAAAACUAAAUUGCCUGAAAUUCAUGACUAUUUCAUCGUCUGAUAUGUUUGAUUAUUGAUUUCCUGAGAAUACAUGUAUUUUUGAGGGUCAACACAAGGUUGGUGAGAGUUACAGGUUUUUUGUUGAUAACAGUAAUGAUACUUUUAAAGGCAUUCCAAAAUUAUUUUCUUUGUAAGUAAACCAUAUUUAAAAUUGUGUUUGUAAAGAGUCUUUGAAAAAACAAAAGGUGUCUUUGUAUAACUAAAUCCAUACUUAAAACUGUUUUGAAAGAAUCAAGUGUAUAAGUUGUAGUGAGAGGGAAAGAUUAAUUCAAGUUAAUGUUUACAGUGAGUUCUAUAACCGAGCUAUGUGACUGAAUGUACCAUGCUACAACGUUUCAUUGGGAGUUGUAGUAAACAUUGUAGACACUUAUCACCUGCUUCGGUUGAUCGAUUGAGGUUGUAGCUAACAACCAUAGGUGGGGAUGUUAACCUUGUAUAGAUAUAUACAUAUGUGUCUCGUUCCAAAGAUUAAUGGUCAUAGUAGUGUGGGUAUGCUAAGUAUUUAGACAUUAGCUAACGAAUAGUAUCUCACUAUAAAACCCUUAUCUAAGUUAUGAAUAGCUCUCAGCCCUAACUUAAAUGUGGAUAAGUUACUAGGCAUAAUGAUUUGUAUAAAGUUUAUAAAAGUCGGGCAUGUUUGAUGUAUACAUAAAAGCGUAAUGUAUUCGCUUUUAUAAGGAGGUAUGUUUCAAAGUAAUGAUCAUAAGUACACAUAUAAACUUUAUGUAUUUAAACAUAUAAAUAUACAUGCAUGGUAAUAGCUCGAAUGUUUGAAAUACUACAAAGUUUUACGACAUGCUUUUUAUGAUAUGCAUUGUCACAUAAAAUCAUGGGGUUUUGUAGUAAAAUGGCAGGUGUUAUUUUUACUAAUUGUUUCCUUUUUAAAAGAACAUAAUAUAUGUUCAUUGAAUGUUUGGCUAGUUUAUGUGUAUAUAAUAUGUAUUUGUCAGAAUAAUAUUUCAUAAACUAGUUAAGGUUUGUAAGUAUUUUUCACAUAAAAUUAUAAUGUUUUUUGUUGUAUGUUUUGCAUAAAACAAGUAUAUAAGCACAUGUGUUCUCCCUCAUAGCAUAUAAAACUUAAAAGAGGGGUCGUAACACUCACCUUAAUAUGUGAAUGUUAUUUAGAUUCGUUGGUGUGAUGCUUAUCGUGAGAAACCGCAACUUAAUGCCCUUUUGAGUUUAAAAUAACCACCAAAACUAUUUUUGUUACCUAAUUAACUAAAGGGAAAGUUUCGGUAUUAUUUAACAAGUGUGGGGCUGUUUUGUAAUUUAACUAAAAUAGAGGGGCUGAUUUGUUAAAUCAUUAAUUGACCGAGACUGACUCCGUAAGGCUAUACCAAAGAAGGGUUUGUUUUGAUAUAAAAUAAAUCAAUAUUUGAGGUGGAGACUUAAUUUGUCAACAAAUUCCUCGGAGGGGACUGUUUUAAAUUAAAAGAAUAGGAGUUUGAGUAUGGGAUUGAUUUUGUUAGAAAAUAAUUAAAAGAGGGGUUGUUGUAUUUAUUUGGAAUUGAAAUUUGGAGAUUGGACUAAAUUUAUUAAGAAAUUCCAUGGGAGGGGUCUUUUAACCCCACCCCCCCCCCUUUCACCUUACAUUACCUACCCCACCAUUUUUCCUAUUUAAAUAGUAGUCUUUUUAGGUAAGAUAGGGACCAAGCGCAUAACAAAAACAAACAGUAGGGAUCAAGCAUGUAACAAAAAUAAAUAGUAGGGACCUCCCGAGUUAAAAUAAAUAAGUUAGGGACCAAGCGCAUAAAUUACCACAAACCAUAGGGACCAUUCAUGUAAUUUACUCUAACUUUUAUUAUAUGUCAGUUUGAUAUUUAUAUUUCAUAUGUUUUGUUUUAGAAUCGUUCCAUGUGAAUGGUAUCCCAAUGUUGGUAUUAUUCGACUCGGGGGCUACCCGAUCUUUCGUAUCUCUGGCACUCAGCAAGAGGUUUGAUGAGUCUACGAGUAUGAUAAAUUGUCCUUUAGAGGUCUAGAUUACGGACAAACGAUCCAUUCGGGCGUCGGAGGUUUGUAGAGAUUGUGUCCUGAGGAUGUGUGGCGAGCAUUAUCUCGUGGAUUUGGUUCCCAUUCCUUUGCGAGGGAACAAGUUCAUCAUAGGCAUGGAUUGGUUGAGCCCUAACGGUUCAGUGAUCGACUGCGAGUAGCAGUUGGUUCGGGUUAGGACCCCAAGUGGGGGAGAGCUGGUGAUCUAAGGGGACAGACCACAGAAAGGGACGGUCAUGUGUUCUACAGUGAGAGUCAGACGCUACCUUCAGCAGGGAUGUGCAUGUUACGUCACCUAUGUUAUGGAUACCCGGGAAGAGGGUAAGGAAACCGUGGAGGACAUGCCGGUUGUACGGGAGUAUCUGGAUGUGUUCCUAGAGGAUUUACCUGGGAUACCUCCAGAGAGACAAGUAGAGUUCAGGAUUGACCUAGUUCCAGGUGCAACUCCGAUAGCCAAGGCACCAUAUCGGUUGGCUCCUCCCGAGAUGCAAGAGUUGUCUACACAGCUGUAGGAGAUAUUACACACAGGAUUUAUCAGGUCGAGCACUUCGCCUAGGGGAGCCCCAAUUCUGUUUGUGAAGAAGAAGGAUGGGUCUCACUAGAUAUGUAUAAACUACCCGAAGCUGAAUAAGGUAACGGUGAAGAACCGUUACCCACUCCUGAGGAGCGAUGAUCUUUUCGACCAGCUUCAAGGAGCAUCUUGGUUUUCCAAGAUUGAUUUGCGAUCGGGCAACCAUCAGAUGAGAGUCGGAGAUGGGGAUGUACAAAAUACAACAUUUUGGACUCGCUAUGGUCAUUAUGAGUUCGUGGUGAUGUCAUUUGGGCUUACUAACACUCCUGCCGCGUUCAUGGAUCUCAUGAACCGCGUAUGCAGACCGAUGUUGGAUCGGUCUUUGAUAGUCUUUAUUAAUGAUAUCUUGUUUUAUUCCAAGACGCAGGAGCAGCACGAGGAGCACUUGCGGGAGGUGUUGGAGACCUUGGUGAGGGAGAGACUUUUUAAAAAGUUCUCCAAGUGAGAGCUUUGGUUGCGGGAGGUGCAGUGUCUAGGGCACCUUGUCAACUAGAACGAUAUACUAGUCGAUUCGGCCAAGGUAGAGGCCGUGAUGAGAUGGGAGGUUCCGAAGUCUCCAUUUGAGAUUUGGAGUUUUUUUUGUUCUGGCAAGUUAUUAUCGGAGAUUCAUCCAGGAUUUCUCCAAGAUUGUUGUUCCACUGACCUGAGUGACCAAGAAGUCGGUAACAUUCCGCUGGGGACCUGAGCAGCAGGCAGCUUUUUAGACCCUCAAACAGCGGUUAUGCGAGGCAUUGAUUCUGACUAUGCCGGAGGGCAUACAGGAUUUUGUUGUUUACAGUGAUGCUUCGAUCACGGGUUUGGGUGCAGUAUUGAUGCAGCGGGGUCACGUGAUAGCGUACGCUUUGAGGCAGUUGGAGCCUCAUGAAGCGAAUUACCCAACACACGACUUAGAGUUGGGGUUCUUUAUACCAUUUACAUGGACCAAAAGAGCUUGAGGUAUCUGAUACACCAGCCAAACCUAAACAUGAGGCAUCAACGUUGGUUGGAUAUGGUGAAGGAUUAUGAUUGUGAGGUCCUUUAUCACUCGGGGAAGGCCAAUUUGGUGGUUGAUGCUCUCAGCCGCAACACGGUCACGGCUUCGAUGCAGGAUAUAUGUAUGAAGAUGACAAUGAUUACUCCGUUGUUGGAAUGGAUUUGGGAGGCUAGGGUCAAGGGUAUGAAGGAAGAGUGCCGAAAGUAUGAGUGAAUCAUAGGUUAGGUGGCCUUAAUUGAUUAUGACAGUCGUGGGUUGUUGACCCUGCAUCGUAAGGUCUAGGUUCCUUAUUGGGGUGAGGUAUGGCAAGUUCUGAUGGAGGAGACCCACAAGUCGAGGUUCUCCAUUCAUGAAGCUGGAUAUGUAUCGGGAUUUUCUCCCUGAUUAUUGGUGGCCCUGCAUGAAGCAGGAUAUAGCAUGGUAUGUGGAGCGGUGCUUGACUUGCAGGAAAGUCACGGUCGAGCACCAACGACCUCAAGACAAGACGCAGUCGUUGGAUAUUCCUAUGUGGAAAUGGGAAGAUAUCACUAUGGAUUUCAUCACAAAGCUUCCCAAUACCGCACGUGAAGUGGAUUCUAUCUUGGUCAUCGUGGAUCGGUUGACCAAGAGUACACAUUUCAUUCCGAUCCAGGAGAGUAUAUCAGCUGAGAAGGUAGCCGAGAUUUACAUCCGCGAGGUGGUGGCACGUCAUGGAGUGCCCGUUCCGGUUAUGUCAAACCAAGAUGUUCGCUUCACUUCCAGAUUUUGGAAGCAGUUUCACAACGAGAUAGGUACUCAUCUCCAUUUCAGUACAGCUUUCCAUCCACAAACCGAUGGGCAAAGUGAGCGGACAACUCAGACCCUAGAGGAUAUGAUGCAUGCGUGGGUGCUUGAUUUUGGUGGGAUUUAGGGUACAUAUCUUUCGUUAGUGGAAUUUACGUAUAACAACAGCUAUCACGCUAGCAUUGAUCGACCUCCUUUUGAGAUACUCUAUGGGAGGAAGUGUAGGAACUCGAUCUGUUGGGGCAAGGUCAGUCAACGAGUCAUAAGGAGUACCGAGGUGAUACUCAAGACUAUUGAGAUAAUCCAGCAGGUCCGGAGCAGGCUGCAGACUGCUCAGAGUCGGCAGAAAAGCUAUGCUGACAAGCGUCGGUCAGACCUGGAGUUUUAGGUGAGGGAUAUGAAUCUCCUGAAGGUGUCAACGUGGAAUGGUUUCAUCCAGUUCAACAAGUAGGGCAAGCUAGGUCCCAUGUAAAUUGGUUCGUUUAGGAUGUUGGCUCAGGUGGGUCGGGUUGCUUAUCGAUUGGACCUUCCAGCAGAGCUCAGUCAGAUUCACAACACCUUUCAUGUCUCUCAGUUGCGAUAGUGUUUAGUGGAUGAUUCCACACUUGUACCUUUGGAGGAGAUUUGAGAGAACCCCUACUUCUCUAAUACCUUUACAAUAAUAUUACUCCAAACAUGCUAGAUGCAUAUUCAUAAUAUAAUUUACAGAAGUCUGGAUACAAACCAACUAUUAAGAGUUUUUACAAAGUUUUAUAUAUUACAUAACUUCCAAGGAAUUUAUACACUAAAUACAAAAGUUAUAAUAUUAUCUAUUCUACAUCUUCUAAAAGUAUAUGACUAUAUUGGAUGUUUAUCACCUGCAAUAGUUCAACACUGAGAGGGAUAAGCGGGUGACGCUUAAUGAGUUCAAUAACAGUUAUAAUAUAACGUUAUGGCAUAUAUAUAUAUAUAUAUAUCAAUAUGACAGAAACAAAGAGGGACAAAGAACAACAAAGGCAUAUGUGUACCAUAUGUCAGGCUUUCCAAAUCAAUCAAUAAAUUGAUUCAAAGAUUUACAAUUAGUGAGACAUAACAAUUUCAACUUGAUAUACAUCAAUAAAACUUCAGCCCAUGUGGCACAAAAAAUACAAUUUUGGAUUAUCAUUUGCUAGAAUAUAUAGGCUUUCAGCCCUAAAUAGCCCUAUGCCAAUACCAGAAGAUAUACGAGUCAUGCUCUACAUGGCCAAAGGCACAAAGCCAAUACCAGAAGUGAUACGAGACACGCUCUACAUGGCCAAAGGCAUAAAUUCGAUAUGUCACACCCCCAAAUAGGAACGGUGGAAACGUUCGGGGGUGGAGGACGUCAUAUACAGUAUCACAACAAUUGAAUAAUAGCAUUUAAAUCAACAACAACCAUUGUAUUAAUAGUAUAAUUUUUACAUUACAUUUGAUUCAUAUAAUACGGAAUUCAAAAGUAAAUACAAGUAAAGACUCGAAGCUACUAUGCUCCAUCUUCUUGAAUCCGGUGCGUGUACCUGUCUACUAAUGUCCUAAGAAUACAAGUAGGUUUUGAAAGAGUAUCAUCAUUAAGCUAGUGAUUUCAUAAUCGUUUUGUUUUAGAAAAACUGUUUUGUGUUCUUUCAAAAAGUGUGUUGUGUUUCUCCAGAAAUCCUUAUAUUUUCUUAUGUAAUGAAUGUUAAGUAAAAACAAACGAUUCUUACUAGUUCCUCCUGUGAGUACUUAGUGUAUACAAAUCAUAUACAAUCCAGAUAGGACAAACAUUCGAUUGUGUGGUUCUGCCUCAAGCCCACAACCAAAGAAGGAACAGGAAAUGAGGCGGAGUCACACAUCCCACUGCAAGUCGGAUCUUCAAGUAUAUAAUCCUGAAGUAUUCACUAGAUACUUACAGAUUUAACUAUGUUGGUCCUUUGAUAUCUGUUGAUAUUGUUCCUAAAGAAAAUCCAAUAUUUUCUUAUGAAAAGCUUGAUUAAACUCAUUCCUCUUAUGACUACUUAGUUCAUACUAGUUAUGUAUAAACCAACAACGAACAGACAGUUAAUUGUGUGGAUCUACCCUAAGCCCACAACCAAGCAAGGAACAGGGAAUAAGGUGGAAACCACACAUUCCACAAUCUGUCGGAUAUUCUUCAUACAUAAUCUGACUGCAUAAACUAAGGAAUUAUAGAAUUAAUAAUGAAUAUUUGUUAUGUGAAUAAUAAUCCCAUUAUUUGUGAAGUAUUGAUGUUUAUCCUGGAAAAUCCUAUAUUUUCCCUAAAUGUAUGUUAUUGAAUUAUCUGGUCUGAAUCGAAAAGUACGAGUAUCUACCAUACUUAUGUUGUUUAAGUAGUGUUCUAUUUGAAAACCCUGGCUACCACUAGUGACGUAUAGUAGUUUCAUUACAUAAAUAAAACUAGUUGAAAAUGUAUUGUUAUGUAUACUGAAAGUGUUGUUAAUACCCUCCGGUGAUCACUUAGUACAUACGAGUUAUAGAAAUCCAGAUCGAACAGACAGUCAAUUGGUUGAUUCUGCCCUAAACCUACAACCAAACAAGGAACAGGGAAUGAGGCAGAAAUCUCACAUCCUACUGCAUGUCGGAGGUUAAUUUCAUAUCGCCCUGAUGUAUAUACUAAGUAAUCCCCUAGUUAUUAACCCCAAUGACUGAUUGUUAAGUACAUUAUUACGUGAACAAGUUGUUGUUUCCCCAGUAAGUUCUUAUAACCAUACUAUGGACGACAAACAUUACGACGUACUUUGGACGUUGUGAACUGAAUGACGUUUGUCACCAUAGGUUGACUGUAGCUAAUAGUCAGGGUGCGGGAUUGUCACUCUCGUAUAGAUCUAUACACAAACUCACGCUCUCCCUCAGGAGACUCUGGUUACAAGGAGUAGACUUCUCAGAAGACGUGUCUCACAUUGUAGUUCUCUCAACGAAUUCAUGAAUAAUUCAUAGGUUUGUUUCCUAGUUUGAAUACUGUACUUAUAACGUUUGUAUCUUAACAUGUUUUGUAAAACUGAUUUCAUGUCUAGUAGUAACAUUGUUUAUCAUGUUUAUUAAGUUCUACGUUCAAUGUGUGCUAAUGAUAGGAAAAUAUGAUAAACCAAAUUAUAAUUUUAAACACAAGAUUACUUGUGCUUUUACUUGUAUUCCCCCCCCCCCCCCGAAAACAUUUAAAAAGCUCGGAAAAUAUAGGGGUGUGAACUCACCUGAUUGUGAAUGACUCGGAUGAAUGACAAAGAUAGGAUGCUUGGUAUGCUAAGUGAAGUCCGGAGCACAAUACGGUCCUAUUAAACACAUAUUAACAUGUACAUGCCUAAAAUUAGUGUCUAAAACCACUAACAAUCAUGGGAAACACCCUUACGAUGUAGGAAACACUUGCAAUGAAGUGUUAGAACCAAGAAUGAGGGAUCAAAUGGAGUUCACGGCCAAACCACCAUGGGUUUACGGCCCAAGAUGUGUUCACGGCCCAUGAACACAUGAAGGGUUCAUGGACCAAGAACACAUGAACAUUUGAUGGGUUUACAGCCCAUCUAUGAAGGGUUCACGGCCGUGAAAAGAUAGCUUUUGUUUGAGGGGUGAAAAGAGAGCUUUUGUUUGAUGAGUACGAAGCUCUUCACAUGAAUAAGAUGAUUAAGAAGUAAAGAGGGACGAAUUACUUACGUUUCAGGGGUGAAAAAAGAGCUUUUGUUUGAUGAGUCUUGAGGAGUUUUCGGCCAAGGAGAGAAGAAUGAGGGGGUAAAUGAAGGAAGAACAUAUAUACAGACCCGGGGAGGGGGGGGGGGUCACGGCUCAACAUGGGUUCACGCCCGUGAACCUAGUUUGAGGCUGUGAACAUCCCUAGAUGAUGUUUUCGGCACGAAUGCAUUCCUCUAAUCCCGAAAUGACACUUCUCAACCUUCAAUCCAUAAGUAUACUAGGCUUAGAAACUCUCAAACUGAUCCUAAACCCAGGAAGACCGAAGCAACAGCAAGUCUGACUUCAUAUUGAUUGCGUUGACUUACAGGUAGAGAUUUCUGGUUGUCACACGAUACCAGAAUAAUACGAGACAAGCUCUACAUGGCCAAACGCUCAAAGCCAAUAUAAGAAGUUGUACUAGUCAUGCUCUACAUGAUCAAUGGUAUAAAAUCAGAAUAACUCAGGAAAGCACAUUGAACAUAUAACACAUAACAUAGAAUUGUCCCUAUAUUUAACUCACCAUGAAUUAUUUGAAUGAUAAAAUGAUAAUUUGGGAAGCACUACGUGUCUAAAAAUGACUUCCUUUGACGAAAUCGGGGAUUUUUGUUAAAACCAGGCCUUGCGCUGGCAAAGUUUCAACUUGAAAAUAUUAUUUUCUUGGGUCUUCGGUGCGUCGGGACUUGCUUCGGGUGUCCGGGAUGUUUCCUAGGCUUUGGGGGUGUUAGGGUAAUUUGAGAGAAAUUUUAGGGUGAAAGAGAGUAAAAUUUGUAAACAAAAUCGGAGAACAUCGCUUUCUAUUUAUAGUACCCAAAGUCCAGAAUUAUGUUGGGCGUAAUUUUCAGUAUGCGGGGCGUACUGCGUAGCAACACUCUACAUUGAGCGUAAGCCUAGUAAACGGGGCGUUCCAAGCGACGUGGCAUUGGUUCGGUUCUUGUGCCUCGGACGUGUCGCACCUAUAUGAUACGUGUCCAUCGAUUCUAGUAUGCUGGAUAUAUAUAUCUUUACGCUAAGCGUACCAGUUGGUAUGCUGGGCGUUCUUCCAACCUCGAAGUUUGUGCCUACAACUUUAAAAAUUCAUAUAUUGCAUACGAGCUCCGUUUUUUAUGAUCUUUAUAUCCACGUGUAGGUGAAAUUAUUUUCUACAACUUUCAUUUAGACUCAUUGGGCUAAUUUUGAAUUCAUUUUAAAUAUUAUAUUUUUAACAGGCCGGGACAAAAAAGUCCGUUAAAAAUUCAUAACUUCUUCAUUCGACGUACGUUUUUGUCUGUCUUUUUACCGUUGAAAUACUAUUGACAAGAUCUUCGAUUCUCGUUUAGGUUGUAUCAGCUAAAAAUUGCUCGAUCUAUAAUUCAAAUUUCGAGUUGUACACUGCUAUGCUGAAUCUUAGAAAAAUCAUAACUUCCUCAUACGAAGUCAGAUUUGGAUGUUCUUUUUAUGAAAGUUCCCGGUUUAAUGAACACUACAACUUUCAUUUAGAUCACUAAAGCUAAAAAGUAGUUUAUCGUAAUCUCACUUUUUACGUCAUACGACAUCGUGUGGGUUCUAUCGCGAAACUUCAAUAAGCCAUAACUUCUUCGUUAUAACUCAGAUUUUUAUGAGGUUUUUGCCUAAAAGUUUCUAACGAGAUAAUUUACAACUUUCAAUUUUACAUGUUCGUUAAUUUCGAUAAUUGACUUUUUGAUAGGAAUCUCAUAAGACUUCUCAUCACUUUCUGAAUGAUUCUAAACAUAGUUUUACUUCAAAUCUCAUAAAACUAUAUUGUUAGAACGUAACACUCAAAAUCAUAUAUUAUAUAUUAAUAUUCACUUUUAAGCUAUCAAGCUUAACAAAACAUGAUAAUUAUACAUGGUUAUUAACGUGUAUGUUAUAAAUACCUCCUCCUUUUGAGGAUUUCGUCCCCGAAAUUACAACGAUUUAAACUAAUGGGGAUAUUUCGCUCUUAUAUCAUUCUUAUUCCCCCAAGUAUAAUUUGGGCCUCGAUGGUGCUUCCACUUGAAAAGCACCAACCCCACUUCUUUAUUACGUAAUUCAGUCGUUCUUUCGUUUACGAUCUCUUCAGGCUCUUCUACAUAUCUUAAUUUAUUAUCUAGUUUCACCUCGGAUAACGGGACCAUUUCAUCAUAUAUGCUUAAACAUUUACCCAGAUAACUCACAUGAAACACAUCAUGAAUACCUGCCAAAUCUUCUGGUAAUUCCAAAGGGUAUGCUUGCUUACCAAUUCUCUAGAUAAUUUUGAAAGGUCCAACAAAUCUAGGACUCAAUUUUCCUUUCUUCCCAAAUCGCAUAAUGCCUUUCCAUGGGGAUACCUUCAGCAAUACAAAAUCACCCAACUAGAAUUCUAUGGGCCGUCUUCUCUUUUCUGCAUAGGACUUCUUUCGAUCCUGGGCCGCUUUCAUUCUUUCUCGUACAAUUUGAAUAUUGUCAGUGUUGUCUUGAAUCAUUUCAGGGCCUCCAAGGAUUUUUUGUCCUACAUCACGCCAACAUAAUGGAGUACGGCAUUUACGACCAUAUAAUGCUUCAUAUGGUGACAUUUUGAUUGAAGUGUGGUAGCUGUUGUUAUAUGAAAAUUCGAUAAGAGGUAAGUACUUUUCCUAGUUACCACUAAAUUCCAAGACACAUGCACGAAGCAUAUCUUCCACUGUUUGGAUUGUUCUCUUCGUCCGACCAUCUGUAUGGGGAUGAUAAGUUGUGCUGAGAGCAAUCCGAGAUCCUAAUUCAUGUAGCACACUCACCCAAAAAUGAGAAGUGAAGCAAGUAUGACGAUCGAAAAUAAUCUUUAAUGGCACACCAUGUCUCGCAACAAUUUAAUAAAAGUAUACUUGUGCAUAUUUCUCCAUUGGAACUAUCUCACGCAUGGCAAGAAAAUGUGCACUCUUAGUCAGUCGGUCGACAAUUACCCAAAUGCUAUCAUUUUGUCUCACAAUCUAUGGCAAUUUGGUAAUAAAAUCCAUGGACAGCUCCUCCCAUUUCCACAUGGGAACAUUAAUACUUUCUAUACUCCUGUAUGACUUUUGGUAUUCCGCUUUGACUUGUAAGCAUACUAAGCAUUCUUGUACAUAUCUCCCAAUGUCUCUCUUUAAUCUAGGCCACCAAUAACCAGCUCGUACAUCAAAGUACAUUUUACUUGUACCAGGAUGUAUUGACAGCUUAGACUUAUGGGCUUCAUCCAAAAUCUUCUAUCUUAAUCUACCAAUAUUUAGAAUCUAUAGCCGAUUCUUAAAUACUUUCAGUCCAUGUGGAUCAUCAAGUAAAAUAUCAACAUAAUGUACCAUCCCUUCCUUCUUUACAUUUUAUGGCUUUAAGGCCUCUACUUGCCAUUUCUUUUGUUCAUCAAGAAUAGUGAACUUUACUAUAGUGUGAGUAAUAACAUAACACACACUAUUAUGAUAAACCUUACUUCUAAGUGCAUCGGCAACUACAUUGGCCUUUGUAGGAUGAUACAUGAUUUCACAGUCAUAGUCUUUGAUCAGCUCCAUGGCUCGUUGUUGUCUCAUAUUCAAAGUUUGAUGACUGAAUAUAUACUUGAGACUUUUAUGGUCAGUAAACAAUUGGCAUUUUGUACCAAAAAGAUAAUUCCUCCAGAGUUUUAGAGCAAAAACUAUUGCAGCGAGUUCGAGGUCAUGUGUGGGAUAAUUCUUUUCAUACUCUUUCAGUUGUGUUGAGGCAUAGGUUAUUACUCUACCAUGUUGCAUCAACACACAACUGAGUCCCAACCUUUAAGCAUCGCUACACACAGAAAAAUCAUCAUCACCUUCUGGGAGUGAUAAGAUUGGAGCAUGAUUCAAAAGAUCUUUUAGAGUUGAGAAAGCUUUUUCUUGGGCUUCACCCCAUUCGAACCUUGAUUCCUUUCUUUUAAGGCUCGUGAGAGGUACAACUAUACGCGGAAAAUCUUUAAUGAAUAUCCGGUAAUAUCCCGUGAGACCUACGAAACUGAGAAUUUUAGAUGCAUGAUGGGGCGCUUCCCAAUUCUAAAUGGCUUCAAUUUUGGUAGGAUCUACUGAUAUACCGUCACCAGUAAUUACAUGGCCGGGAAAUUGAAUUUGGCGAACCCAAAUUUCAUAUUUGGAGAAUUUAGCAUAUAGUUUCUCCUUUCGAAGAAGUUCUAAUAAUUCACGAAUGUGAAUGGUAGGAUCAGCUUCAGACUUGGAAUAGAUUAGAAUAUCAUCAAUGAAUACAAUGACAGAUUUAUCGAGCAUUGGGCGGCAUCCCCGAUUCAUCAUAUCCAUGAAUAUAGUAGGAGCAUUUGUCAAUUCAAAUGGCAUGACAAGGAAUUCAUAAUGCCCAUAACGAGUAUGGAAAACAGUCUUCAGUACAUCAUGCUCGUGUACUUUCAACUGAUGAUAUCCAGACCUCAAAUCAAUCUUCAAGAAAUAGCUAACACCCUGAAGUUGAUCAAACAAGUCAUAUAUGCGAGGUAGUGAAUACUUAUUCUUGAUAGUUAACUUAUUUAGCUCGCGAUAAUCAAUACACAUUUGCAUCGAUCCAUCUUUCAUCUUGACAAAUAAUAUCGGAGCACCCCAGGGAGAGGUACUUGGUCAAAUAAAGCCUUUGUUAAGUAAUUCCUGCAAUUGGUUCAUCAUUUCCUUCAUCUCAGCUGGUGCAAGAUGAUAAGGAGUCUUUGCAAUUAGAGAAACACAAGGUACAAGAUCAAUUCAGAAUUUUAGUUGCCUAUCUAGAGGUAGUCCAGGCAAUUCAUUGGGGAAAACAUCAGGAUAUUCAUUAACAAUGGGAAUAUCAUUUACAGUUUUCUUCCCCUCUUUUGAGAUAUCAAUUGUAUAGGCCAGAUAAGUGGAACACCCCUUCGAUAUAAAUUUAUGAGCUUUUAGGAAAGAUAUUAUUUUACAGAUCUGAAGUCUUUGUUCACUGUAGACAUAAAUAGGAUUCUCUCCUUCAAAGGAAUGUGUACUAUCUUUUCAUAAAACAAGAGUUCUACAUGGUUCUUUGACAACCAAUCCAUGCCGAGAAUAAUAUCAAAGUUAGGCAAGGAGAUAGGAAUCAGGUUAGCAAGAAAAUUAUAACCUUUAAUUUCUAUGACACAAUCCCUAUAGACUUUAUCAACAAGUACUGAUAUACUUACUGCAGUAUCUACAUGAAAUGGUUGUGCAAGUGCAUAGCAAGCAAUUUGAAAGGAAUGCACAAAUUCAUGAGACACAAAAGAGUCUGAGGCACCAGAAUCAAAUAAUAUAUGAGCUAGUCUAGAGUUGACUAGAAAUGUGACGAUCAUAACAUUCGGGUCUUCACGUGCCUCCUCCGUGGUAAUUUGGAAUGCACGGCCUUUAUCUUUUGGCACCUCCUCCUUUUUAGUUAGACUACUCUUUGGUUGUUGGAUGGAAGCUUGACUCCCUGCCAUUUGACUAGUAAGAGUAGCGCAUAAACGCUUCUUGUGGCCAGUAACACCACAAGAAAAGCAUGUAACAUUCUUCAUCGGCCAAACGGGCUUCAUGCGGCCUAUUUCUCCACAUCCAUAAUAGACCAUUGAUCCUUUUCCUAAUCUACAUUCGCCCUAAUGAUUCUUUCCACAAUUUUGACAUGAGGGUGCUAAAGAGAAAAAUAUUGUGACCUACCGUGGCCACGAGAGGUAUUAUGAGAUUGCACUUGUUUGUCAGGAUCAGAUCAAAUAGAUGAAGCUGAUGGAAUAGAGGAAACAAGAACAAUUCGAUCAAUACGUGGAUGCUUCGGGACAGAAAGAGUGGCACCACGUAUUUCUAAGCCAUGCUCGUGCUUUCGGGCAUACUCAACAACUUUAUGAAAUGACAAAGCAUCCCGAUUAACCACGAAAUCACGGAUUUCGUACCGUAGUCCUUCCAUGAAUAACUGAAUUUUAUCGUCUUCAGUUGGGAUAUGCUUUGCAGCAAACCGUGCUUUUUGAUUGAAUUGAGUUUCACAAUCAUUCACAGACGUUCCUCCCUGUUUAAGCUCGAGGAAUUCUUUCUCCAAUCUUAUCCACAUGUCUAGAGGACAGUACUUUCCUAGCAAGCGAUUUUUUAACAUUUCCCAAGAUAAAUUGUGCUGGUCAUACUUUUUGAGAGCUUCGAAUGUUGCUUCCCACUAGACCAAGGCUUCUUCAAUGAGCAUUGCAGAAGUAUAAUUAGCCUUGUCUUCAUUAACCACAUGAGAGACACAAAAUACUUUUUCUGUGUUAUGGAUCCAUGUAAGAACAACAAUGGGAUUAAGAACACACGAAAACUCCAUAACACCAUUACUCUUGAAAGUUUUGAAAGAGGGACGUUUCACCUCCCCUUUUGAAGAUUUUUGGUGGCUUUUUCUUUACCUUUAUCACUAACCUUUUUGUGUUCUUCGAGAAACUGCCGAAUAACACCAGUAAGUUUAUCCAAGAGUCACUCCUCACGAGGGGAUACCGGAGUGUUUACUUCAUUAGGAUAAGGUUCUCCACCCACAUCUGGUGUAUCGCUACUCACUUGUUUAGCCAUUGCUCUUAAAUUUUGGAGUAAUAUAGUGUUUUAGAAUAUUAGGAUUUAUUAUUACCUAAUACAUCAAUUAAGUCUUUAAUAUGGUUUGUAUCCAUAUUCUUACAAUGAAUCUGUUCAUAUAUUGAACUUCCAGUAGUUUAAGUCUAAAUACCAAUCUGUGGGAUUUAGUUAACUUAACCUACUGCUCUAAUACCAUGACUGAGAGAACCCCUACUUCUCUGCUUAUACCUUUACAAUAAUAUUACUCCAAACAUGCUGCAUGCAUAUUCAUAAUAUAAUUUACAAAAGUCUGGAUACAACCAACUAUUAAGAAUUUUUACAAAGUUUUAUAUAUUACAUAACUUCCUAGGAAUUUCUACACUAAAUACAAAAGUUAUAAUAUUAUCUAUUCUACAUCUUCCAAAAGUAUAUGACUAUAUUGGAUGUUUAUCACCUGCAGUAGUUCAACACUGAGAGGGAUAAGCGGGUGAUGCUUAGUGAGUUCAAUAACAGUUACAAUAUUUAGUUAUGCCAUACACACACACACACAUAUAUAUACAUAUAUAUAUAUAUAUAUAUAUAUAUGUAUAUAUCAAUAUGACAGAAACAAAGAGGUACAAAGAACAACAAAAGCAUAUGUGUAUCAUAUGCCAGGCUUUCCAAAUCAACCAAUAAUUUGAUUCAAAGAUUUACAAUCAAUGAGACAUAACAAUUUCAACUUGAUAUACAUCAAUAAAACUUCAGACCAAGUGGCACAGAAAACACAAUUUUGAAUGUCAUUUUGCUAGAAUAUACAGGCUUUCAGCCCUACAUAGCCCUAUGCCAAUACUAGAAGAUAUACAAGUCAUGCUCUACAUCGCCAAAGGCACAAAGCCAAUACCAUAAGUGAUACGAGACAUGCUCUACAUAGCUAAAGGCAUAAAUUCGAUACCAGAAUAAUAUAAGACAUGCUCUACAUGGCCAAAGGCUCAAAGCUAUUGACGAGAUCUUCGAUUCUCAUUUAGGUUGUAUCAGCUAAAAAUUUCUCGAUCUAUAAUUUGAAUUUUGAGUUGUACACUGUUAUGUCGAAUCUUAGAAAAAAUCAUAACUUCCUCAUACGAAGUCAGAUUUGGAUGUUCUUUUUAUGAAAGUUCUCGGUUUAAUGAAUACUACAACUUUCAUUUAGAUCACUAAAGCUAAAAAGUAGUUUAUCAUAAUCUCACUUUUUACGGCUUACGGUAUCUGUUGGUUCUAUCGCGAAACUUCAAUAAAUCAUAACCUCUUUGUUAUAACUCGAAUUUCGAUGAGGUUUUCGCCUAAACGUUUUUAAUGAAAUAAUUUACAACUUCCUAUUUUACAUGCUCAUUAAUUUCGAUAAUUGACUUUUUGAUCGGAAUCUCACACGACUUCCCAUCACUUUCUGAAUGAUUCUAAACAUAGUUUUACUUCAAAUCUCAUAAAACUAUCUUGUUAGAAUGUAACGCUCAAAAUCAUACAUUAUAUAUUAAUAUUCACCUUUAAGCUAUCAAUAUUACCAUAACAUGAUAAUUAUACAUGGUUAUUAAUGUGUAUGUUACAAUAUCCAGGUGGACGACCACCUGAACUACCUUGAGAGGCCAGUGUCGAUCUUAGAUCGGAAGGCAAAAACCUUGAGAAACAAGGUUGUGCAACUAAUGAAGGUGCAGUGGCUGCACCGCAAGGGGUUAGAGUGGACAUGGAGCCCGAGGAGGAGAUGGGGGACAAUUAUCCAGAAUUAUUUGGGGCAACAGACUUCGAGGACGAAGUCUGGGAUAAGUAAGCGAGAGUUGUAACGUAUGGUUCCCGGUAUGUAUUUAAACCUAUAAUUUGUUCAUUUUUAUAAAGUAACUUGACGACUUGGAGGCCCCUGACUCGUUGAGUAGAUAUUUUGUGGACCGUGGAUUUUAAGUGACCAACUCAACGAGUUGGGAGGCCUCAAAUUGAUGAGUUAGUUGGGUGAAAUGAAACCCUAAUUUUGGGGUUUUGCACCCUAUUUAAACACCUUAACCUAAAUGUGUUGGCCUCAUUUCCCGCCUCCAUCGUCCAAGACCCUAACCUCGAAACCCUAAGGCCAUCUUUGAGUGUUGUGCGUUUAAAGAGUAUUUGUUGGUAAUUCUUGAAGGAGACUUGAAGAGGGAAGCAUCUAGGUUAGGAGGAGUGACUCUAGAUUCAGAAACCCUUCAUCAAAAGUUGCACCUUUGAGGCAUAAAGUAGCCACCUUGGCAUGUAUCUUACUAGAUCUCUUUUCUUGAAUUUUUAGCUUGAGUAUUGUGACUUUGAUUGAGUGGUCCAAUGAAGAGAUUUCCAGGGGUUAUUAGAGCAGAUCUUACCCCUAUAUGACCUCUUGAGGUUUAAAGUUGCAAAAUUUAAUGGCAUCUAUGUCCCAUUCAUGCAAUAUGUCCAUUAUAAAGCCCAAAUGAACAUUUGAGAGUGUUUCUAGCAUGCAUGGACGUAAAGUUGGAAACUUUACACGAUUUUUCCACCUUGAGACAUCACAUCAGCAUGUCGGAGUGUUGUAGUAGGAUUUUAGGGGCUUCAUGGGUCAAGACCAUCUUUAAAGAAACUAGGGUUUGAGUUUUAAGCUUAGUAGAUGGUUCUUAAGGGUAAAGUUGGAAACUUUACCCUUCUAGACAACAUAAUGGAAGGGAUCUGAGGAUUGGAUUCCUUAGAUUGUAACACCCCGAUUCUCAGGUAUGGUUUAAAUAUGAGUUAUUGGGUUAAUCCAUACUCGACGAGUCGGUUGAUCUACUCGUCGAGUAGCAGCAGGAAGGAUCGCAGGUUAAGUAACGUACUCGACGAGUCCAUAUUAGGACUCGGCGAGUAGGAGCUGGCAACUAAAACCCUAAAUCCCAGGGUUGUGCACCCUAUUUAAGGGAACAUAAACCUCUUUCAGCUUCUUUGCAGUCUCUUAGCAAACCCUAAUACGUGUAUGUGCCCAUUGUGUGUGUUUGAAGCCUUGGAAGAGGAUUUUUGGUGAAAAGAGCUAAGGAAGCAAGUGGUUUGAAGCAAGGAGCUUGGGGAAAAUCCGGAUCUACUCCAGUUGUCAUCUCUUAGGAAGGUAUCAAGCUGUUAUCUUCCUUUCUACUUCAUUCUAGACCUCCUUGGUUGGAGAUUAGGGUUCUUGGUUGGGUUAUAAAGUUAUUUCCUGGAGUAUGAGCCAAGAUCUGAAGUUGUAACUUCAGAUAUGAACUCUUUAUGGAUUGAAGGACCAUAAAGUUCUUAGCUUUGGCAAGUUUGAUCCCCUCCCUAAGUGUAAAACCCCAUUUCAAGCAUAGUUUGCACUUUUUGAGUCAUUGGAGCCUUGCUUGCAUGUAAAGUUUGCAAUUUUACGUGAUAAGCAGGCCUAAGGAAGUUGGAUCUACAAUUUAGGGCCUUUCCAUGGCUUAAAAGUUGUCUGCAUGAUAAAAGGACUGAAUGGACUUGGUAGGUCGCAAGGUUGACUCGCCGAGUCACAUGAAGAUGGCCGUGAACUCGACAAGUUGGAUGAACAACUCGGCGAGUCCGAUGAAGAUCACCAUAAGACUCGGCGAGUUAAAGAACAACUCGGCGGUUCGGAUGGGUUUCCUCUUGGAUAUUUAUGAGUGUGUAUCCGUCGAGUUGCAAGGAGGGAACUCGACAGGUGGCCUUAAAGUUCGAACGAGAAUCAAAGGAACUCAAUGACUCAACGAGUUGGAUUGUACUUCAAGGAACUCAGCGAGUAGCCAAUGGUGCUCGACAAGUUGGGGUCAACAUGGACUGUUGACCUUGAUUGAGGGCUUUGACUUUGACCAGGAGUUGACUAGCGGGUUAUGGGGUACCUUAUAAGGUUAAUGACUUAUGAGUAUGGCGUACUGAUGAUAGGUGGUGGACUCGGUGUCAAGUGGUCCGAGAGUUGGAGUUUACCUUUCGUAUCGACAUCUGCGACGUGAGUUAUCCUCACUAUAUCGAUAGGGUCUACGGCACCAAGGCCGAACCUUUUAGUUGUUAUUGUUAUGGUAUGUUGCAUGUGGUUAUGAUCUGUUAGUUCGGAAUCGAGGUAGACAGUAUGUUAUGCUCUUAUGAUACAUAAGGAUUGGUAUGUUAGUGACCGGCUAGGUCGGUACUCUAGUUACAGAAGAUUUUUAUGAUUGAUAAUCAGUGAGACAGUUGUGUUUGAUGUUUGUAUAUGCCAGUAUAUGAUAGUAUACGCACAUGGUUAUUUGCUUGUGGUUGGAUUGAGGGGGUCCUGCUUUGUGCUGAAGGCUAAUAUACCCUAUGAGCGGUCCGGGGAGACUAUAGGCCCACAUGGCGAACCAAUCAUGUCAAAGGCUUGGGAUAGAUUCAGACAGACUGUAGGCCCGGUAGGGCGGUCCAGUCAGGUCGAUGGCCCAAAAUGCAUGUUGAUUGAAUUGAUUAUCACUGUUGUGGUAUUGUCAGUGUGGUAUUGGUAUUUUGGGGGUAGCUCACUAAGGGCUCGGGCUUACAGUUUCAGUUUAUUGUUUCAGGUACUUCAGGAGAUUGUAGAAAGGCGAAGGUGUGACCGUAUCGCUCCUCAUCCUUAUGUUAUGAUUUUUGGGAGACUCUGAUGGAAAAUGAUUUGAAAAAAAUGUUAUGUGUUUUUAUUUAUGAUUGAAAAAGUUUAAAUUUGAUGUAAAAUUUAUGGUUGUUACAUGGAUCCAAGAAAAAUGUCUUAACACAUUAAGUAGGUUGGCAGACUGGAGAACUUGACGAGUUCAUAGGAGAACUCGGCGAGUUGGCUUGGAAUUGUCCCGACUCUAUUGGAAAAUUUGGACUCGACGAUUUGUAGGGGAAACUCAACGAGUUGGAUCAUGAUAUCACGAUUAUGUGAUUUUUGGGAACUCACAGAGUUGAAGGGAAAAUCGACGAGUUGAGUCAACUCGGAGCGUUGACUUUGAAUUUGACCUGAGUAUUGGCUUUGACUUUGAUAUGGGCGUUGACUUUGACUUUGACAUUGACCAAGUUGACCCUGAAGGGGGUUAUGAGUAUGAAUUGGUAACUAAAGAGAUAUUUCAUGUUCAGGGAUUAAGUUGGGUUGAUUUCGGAGUUGGGGACUAUUCAGCUACUUUCAUGUGAUUGAAGUGAUUUACCUUCCCGGUAACAAUGGGUCUAAGGUACCAAGGCCGACCCACUAGUAGUGUUUAUAUUAGAGAUUAUUGUCUUUAUGAUAAUUGUCGGGUAUGCCAGUAUCUGAUGAGCUUUAUGUACUUGUAUGCUAUGUUAUUAUGUGAUAGUGGUAGAGGGUGAAAUAGACCUCGUAACUGGUUGAAAUAAAUUGGAGGGUAGGUCGGGCACCCAAAUAUGCCUGGCAGGGUAGGUUGGGCACCCAGAUAUUUAUGACAGUAUGUUCAUGCUAUGUUGUUAUAUGGUAGUGGUAAGGGUGAAAUAAACCUCAUAACCGGUUGAAAUAAACCAGAGGGUAGGUCGGGUACCCAGAUAUGUCUGGUAGGGUAGGUCGGGCACCCAGAUAUGCCUGACAGGGUGGGUUGGGCACCCAUAUAUUCCUAAGAGGGUAGGUCGGGCACCCAAAUAUGCCUGGUAGUAUGUUGUUAUGUAGUAUGAUGGGGAAACUCACUAAGCUUCGUGCUUACGGUUUUCAAUUUUAGUUUCAGGUACUUCUUCUUCUAGAGGAAAGAAGUCGACAUGAUCGUAACACAUCACACUAUGAUUUUCCACAUUAUGAGAUCCUUGGGGAUUGUACUCCUGUCAUUAUGUUUUUAUGAAUGAUUUGAUGAUUGACAUAAUGAUUUUAUUAUGUUAUGGGAUGACACUGAUGAUGUAUUCAGACUACUGGUUUUUAUAAUUACUCAAUUAAAAAUGAAAUUUUUAGUUCUGUAUUUUGGGAUGUUACAAUAGGAAUCACAUUUAAAUCACAAGUGAAUAUCACAUUAUAUAAUCACACAUGAAUCACAUAUGAAUUACAUGUGAUUUACAUGUUAAUCACAAGUGAAUAUCACAUGUGAAUCUUAUAUGAUAUAUACAUAUGCAUUUUGUGAGUGUUCUUUCAUUAAUUAAAUUUUUUUGAUCUUCUUGUAGAUUUGGAAGAAUUUGUGGAAAAUAUUGAAGAAAUGAAAAUUUAUAAAUUGUAUAAAAUACGACAAUCUUGACACGAAGAAACGAAACACUUUUAUGGGAUUUUUUUUUUAUAAUUUAUCUUGUAUCGAAUAAAAUAUUUGUACUAUUGGUGUUUAUAGAUUAGUAAAUAAAAAGGUGUUUUUUAUGAUUUACUUAUGAAUAUUAUAGUAUAAGAAAUAUGCAUAUAUUCACCUAAAAUAUUGACUUUUUUAUUAAAAAAUUAUAGUUUUUUUUGUUAUAUAAAUAUUCCAGUUUUUUUUAAACAUUUACUAAUUUUUUUUAAUUUACUAAUUAGAAAAUUUUUUUUGCCUAUUUUUAUAAAAAAAAUCAUGUUUUCCAAAAAAAUUAAAAAUCUGCAUUUUUUUUUAAUUUAGAAAAUUAUUGGUUUUAUAAAGAAAUCCGAAAUUUGAUUUUUAUGUUAAUUUUUAGAUCUUUUUAUUAAUAUUUCAAAUAGCACAAAAAACUAAACAUUAAAUGAAAUUGAUAAGAUGAUGAUCAUGACCUUAAUGAGCNNNNNNNNNNNNNNNNNNNNNNNNNNNNNNNNNNNNNNNNNNNNNNNNNNNNNNNNNNNNNNNNNNNNNNNNNNNNNNNNNNNNNNNNNNNNNNNNNNNNNNNNNNNNNNNNNNNNNNNNNNNNNNNNNNNNNNNNNNNNNNNNNNNNNNNNNNNNNNNNNNNNNNNNNNNNNNNNNNNNNNNNNNNNNNNNNNNNNNNNNNNNNNNNNNNNNNNNNNNNNNNNNNNNNNNNNNNNNNNNNNNNNNNNNNNNNNNNNNNNNNNNNNNNNNNNNNNNNNNNNNNNNNNNNNNNNNNNNNNNNNNNNNNNNNNNNNNNNNNNNNNNNNNNNNNNNNNNNNNNNNNNNNNNNNNNNNNNNNNNNNNNNNNNNNNNNNNNNNNNNNNNNNNNNNNNNNNNNNNNNNNNNNNNNNNNNNNNNNNNNNNNNNNNNNNNNNNNNNNNNNNNNNNNNNNNNNNNNNNNNNNNNNNNNNNNNNNUAUAUAUAUAUACACAUAGUAUACCUAGGGUUGAAUCAAUAAACCGCCUCCAUCAUCUGUAUCCCACAAUUUCUUCCUAAUCGCACCAUCAUCAUCGCGCCAUCAUCUGUCGUAACCCUAAUCUCUUCCUCCCUCAGCCUUCCUCCAUCAAACCAUCGUUUGUCACAUUCCUAAUCGGAGCAUUGCAAGUCGCCACCUUAAUGCGUUUCUGGUUUAGCCGGUAUUUCUGGGUCGGAUAUUGUUUCUCGUUCAGCGGCCAAUCCACCACCAAAGAUUUCAAAGAUUGCUUGAUGAUAGUGGAACAAGAAUCAAAAUAAAAUUCCAUUGACUCGCAACCAAUGUGUUAAUUAUAAACUUUUAUUUUUGUUUCCUUAUCAAUGAAUUUAUGUUUCAUGUUUCUUGGGCAACUUCUGCGUAUUUUGAACUUCAAAAGAAAUUGGCUUUUACACUUGGUUGCUUUUUCCAUAAUAAGCUCUUGAUUCUUAUUUUUUUUUAGAAGCUAUUGAACUCGUAUAUGAUCCUCUUUAACUGUGAUCAUUUAAAAUUUUGUUAAUAUAAAAGCUUAAAUUCAGAAUUUUGCCGCAACUAAAAUAACCGUGUAAACUUUUUCUAUAAGUUUAAGAAUUUAAAUGGCCAAGUGAAAUUCAUACUUUGUAUUUAUUUAUGAUUAAUGGUGUAUUUAUUUAUGAUUAAUGGUGUAUUCAAUUACAUUAUAGGAUUUAUAUGUACUUUUUUAUUUUGUUCAUGUCUAUUCAUUUAUGAUAUGAAGUCAAUAUGUUACUUUGACUAUAAAUAAAAGGGUUCAUAUAUUCUAGAAAAUAACAUACAUAUUUUGUUACUUUGAUUGUGGUGAUUUCUUCCCCCCAAUAUUUUCUUGUUUUUUUUCAUUAUAUUUUUUCUCUAUACAUCUUAUGUUAAUUAACUGAUAGGAUUAUGUGUGCCUUUCUUUUUGAGUUGUUUUUAAUUGAUUAUUGCUUUUUUAAUCAAGUUCGUGUCUUUUCUAGAAUGAAUCAUUUUUAUACCCGAAUGGGUUUGCUACAGAUAUGUUUUUCUUUGAACGACAUAAUUCCUUACUAUUUUUCAUCUCUAGUCAAAUCAAUUCUUCGGUUGUUCCUAGAAAUAAUUUUUUUUUUCGUAAACUAAAUGUCUUGAAUUAAUAAUGUUUCCUCGCUCAAGUUAUUUUAUCUACCAAUGUUUGUAAUUUUAGAAGUAAAUUGUUGGUGUGUCAAACUCUCUUCGUUAGUUCUCUAAAUUUUCAACUAACUUUGGUCUUAUAUUCGCAAUAUAUCUUAUUUAAUGUGCUUUGUGUAUUCAGUUAUGAUUAAUGAUAUAUAUAUUCAUGUAUGAAUAUAAUUACAAUUAUAGGAUUCAUAUGUACUUUAUAAUGUGUUCAUGCGUAUUCAUUUAUGACAUGAAGUCAUUUGAGUUUUUUUUGUAUCUUUUUUAUUAAGAUAAAUGUUAUUUGUAUUUAUCUUUUUAUUUAAUGAUGUGCAGAAAAAAUCAAAUGCUUCUACAAUGCAAUUUUGGAGUGCUAAUAUACAACCAAAUACUACAAAAUGAAAAAGAUCUUGCCUUAUUCAUUUAUAAUUAUAGAAUAAUAGUUAACUAUUUGUAUUAUAACAUUUUUUGUGUUUUAUUCAUUUGUGAUUAUUAGAAAAUAGAUAAAUAUUACAAUAUAUAUUUGUCGUUAUUAUUUAAAAAUAGAUGUACAAUGUAGGUAUAUAUUUAAUGUGUUUUAUUCAUUCAUUAUUAUAGUUGUAUGACAAUUUUUAAUCUAUAACUUGUGUUUAAUUCAUUUAUUAAUAUAACUAGUUUAGAACCCGUGAGAAUCACGGUUAUAAAACUAAUUAAAUUUUCAUAGUAAAAAAAUAAAAAUUAUUACUUAAUUAUUUUAAUUAAAUUGUUAAUUAAGAUAUAUUUUUUUAUUUAUAUAAAAUUAUAAUCGUUGAUUUAAAUAAAUAAAUAACCUUAUAAUUUGUAUUAAUGUUAUUUUAAUAUUUAUUCUAAUGGUAUUAAUUUAAUGUAAUUAGAAUGAAAAUUUUGAAAUUUGAAAUUUGAAAUGGAAAAUCAAUAGGUUGACAAGUAGCAUGAUAUUAAUUAGGGGACCUAAUACGAUGACAUAUGGCAAAAGAAGAAUAAACUUAUUCUUUUAUUAGAAUAGAGACUUGAUUCAUUUAUUCAUUCAAGAUAAUUGCCGAAUUCAUAUAUGAUUAUAAAUAUGUUUUAUUCAUUUAUGAUUACAAAUAUUUGGAUAAAACGAUUAAUUUGUCAAUCUUUUUGAUGUGGUUGGUAAAAAUAAACAUAAAAAAUAUUUUUUUCUGUAAGUUAUGUUUAAAAUGUUUUUUUAAAUCAUUUUAUUGCUUUUGUUAAUUAAAAAUAGAUUAUAAGCAUUCCUAAUAAUUGGGUAAAAAAACCAUUAAUCAAGUUAAAUCUCAUGAUUUUAGGAAUUAAUUAAUUGCCCAUAAAUUAUUCAUAUUUAAUUAGAAUGUAAAAUUCAGUUUAUGCCUUUAUAGAAUGAUUGGUUCACAACUGUUCUCACGUUCUCAACCUUUUUAGUGUUCUCAUUCUCGUUAUCCUCACUUUACAUCCCUAUCACAACAACUAUUACAAGGGACCUAAUCUAGGAUUUUCAUCGGGACGGACACUACUACAAAAGGGUUUCCUCAGCAGUGAAUCUCCUAAGGCAACCAUGAGGGGGAUAAAGUACACCGGCGAAUACAUCGUUCACAACACCUACNCUGACAGAAUAUGUUUGAGUAUGUUCAAAAAUAAAAAUAUUCUAGAACAAUAAAAUAAUAAAAAUAUUCUUGAACAUAUUUCUUGAUCAUGACUUUAAAAUUUUCUUGUAGAAUAACAAAUUCUCGAACCAGCAAUUGAAGAAUUAAAACAAAAAUUACAUUAAUUCUUAUAGAAUACAUGUAACAAUUGUUAAGAAUUACAUUUAUUGUUAAAGAAUAAAACUAAAAAACUUUCAAAUUGGGAAAAAAAACAUUAAAAUCUAACAAAUACACUAAUUUAUUCUAAAAGAAUAAUGUUGCUAAGAAGCACUUUUAGUUUUGUUGUCCGUUCUUCAAGCAUCAACUUCUGUGUAAACAAAUCAAAUUGUAGUUUAGAAUCCAAUAACGCAUUAGCAAAUGAUAAAUAAAAAACUAUAUUCCUUUGGAAAAAUAUGCGCACUUGUUAACUGCACCAAAACCAAUAACCAAAAAUUAUAGAACAUUUAUAAUCAAUGAGAAAAUAUCCAUAUUCCAUUCCAACAUAAUUAGAAUUCGUGUUUCCAUUCCGAUAGAAUUUGAAUUCAUGAUUCUAUUCCGAUAGAAUUGGAAUGGUAUAAAAUACACAAACCAAUUUAAUGAUUCUACAACAUCAGAAGGGGCGAGAUUAAGUUCAUCAAGAACUAUCCAAUAACCAUUUCUUGUCUGUUUCAGAAAUCAGAACAGAAAUCAAAAGCAUAAUCUAUUUUUUGUUUCCCUUUUGGGAGAUUUAUGUGUUUUAAUAUGUGGAGAUGACAUCAUGAAAUUAGAAGAUGCUACUGGAAUAACAACAUCUAGUUUGUGAAUUUUUGGUACAAAUCAUUGGCUUCUCCUCUUUAAGGCAUGUGGGUUUGGGUGGAGUAACUAUAGAAAACUAAUAUUGAACUAGAUAUGCAUAUAAUAAAUAAACUAAUCAUGGUAACUACUCUAGUUUUACAAGUAUAAGUGCAGAUUUUAGGCAUAUAAACUACUGGUAACCAGAUACCCCAUUUUAAAAGAAAUGAAAGAGAUCUGUUGAUGUAUAUUGUAAAAGUCGAAUAGAGUGUGUUGUAUAGUUUCGCAUUUUAUGUUAUUUUACUAAGUCAUUUCUAUGCGAAGAUAAAAUGUAUAGACUUAGUAUACUUUUUGAUGGUUCCCUAUAAAUAGAGACUUAGGCUAGAAGUUGUAGUACGAUGCUUGAACUCACUUCUGCUUAACUCUGUAAUCAAACUUUAUCAAUAUAAGAUCUGAUUAAUAUUUACUCUCUGUGUUCAUCAUCUUAAAUCAUUCAAAUCUAUCUUUUCUGUUCUAAAUUCUCGAUAACAAUUCUCAUCAAGAUCACUCAGAUCUUUUAAAAGUACUUGUGAACAAAAUCACAGGUUAAUUACGGGUCUUCUUCCUUCUGUUUUUGGGUUAUGCAAACCAAUUCUUCCAACAUUCGUACGAACCACUUCAUAUUGUUGAAAUUCGACUAAAAUUCCGAAAUUCAUAUACAAAACUAAUUUCACAAAGUUCAUAGGAAAUAAUUCAAAUCGUCGAAUGUACACCAAACACCAAAAAUUCACAAAAUUAUAAGAAAUUAAGUAACGAUGCACAACUAAAAACAAAAUAAACAUGUAAAAAUUCAAAUCAUUAAGGGCAACGUUUCCCGAUAACCUAAGAACUAAAGGUGAAGCGUUGGAUCAAAAUCAAAUCAUUAAGGGCAUGAUCGUCAUCAUACAAAUCCCACUUAAUUUUCUGUAUUAUUGGAAAUAUUAAUAAAAAGCUCUCAAAUUAACAUUAUAAUACAAAAUUUUGGAUUUUUUUUAUAAAAAAAAUAAUUUUAGUUUUUUUUUAAACUGCAGAUUUUUCAAACUUUUUUAAAAAGCAUAAAUUUUUAAAAAAAUUGAAUUUUUUUUUUAAACUACAAUUUUUUCAAAAAAAAAACUACAAUUUUUUUGAAAAAGAAAAUUGUAUCUAAAAAAAAGUGCAAAUUUUUUAAUAAAACGAUAAUUUAAAAAAACUGUAAUUUUUUCAAAAAAAAAAAACUACAUUUUUUUUUCUAAAAUACUGUGCAACUUUUCAAAAAAAAAGUGCAAUUUUUUUUUAAUAAAGCUGCAAUUUUUUAAAAAAUCAGUAAAUUUAUAUAAAAAAAAAACUAGAAUAUUUAAAAAAAAAAUCUAAUUUUUUUAACAAAAAAAAAAAAAUCAACAUUUUAGGUACAUAUAUUCUUAUUUUUUUUAAAUGAAUAUAUGCAUAUUUCUUAUACUAUAAUAUUCGUAAGUAAAUCAUAAAAAGAUCUCAUUUUUAUUAAUCAAUAUAUAAACAUAAUAGUACAAGUAUUUUAUUCAAUACAAAAUAAUAUAUAAAAAAUAAAAAAUUCUAUGAAGAUUCACAAUGUUAUCAUUUCGCCAUAUUAAGAUUUUCAUAUUUUCUUAAAUUUAUCAGUUUUCACUUCUUCAAUAUUUUCCACAAAUUCUUCAAAAUCUACAAGAAAAUUAAAAAAUUUUGAUUAAUGCAAGAACACUCUCAAAAAUGCACAUGCAUAUAUCAUAUAAGAAUUGCAUGUGAUUCAUAUGUGAUUUACAUGUGAAUAUAUCAUGUAAUAUUCACAUGUGAUUAUAUCAUGUAAGAUUCGUAUGUGAUUAUAUAAUGUGAUAUUUCACAUGUGAUUGUAUAUUUUACGAUUCAAAUGUGAAAUUGACAAUAAAAUUUUAAAAAAUAAUUAACUAAGAACACACACAAAAAUGCAUGUGUGCAUAUAGACAUAAUCCAUAUGUGAUUCAUUUGUGAUUUACAUGUGAGUCACAUGUAAUUCAUAUGUUAUUAACUUGUGAUUUACAUGUGAAUCACAUGUAAUUGAUAUGUGAUUCACUUGUGAUUUACAUGUGAAUUACACGUGAUUAAUAUGUGAAUCACAUGAAAUUCAUAUGUGAUUCACUCGUGAUUUACAUGUGAUUUAUAUGCGAAUUACAUGUGAUUUACAUGUGAAUCACAGUAAUUUAUAUGUCAUUCACUUGUUAUUUACAUGUGAAUUACAUGUGAUUCAUAUGUGAAUUACAUGUAAAUCACCUGUAAUUCAUAUGUGAAUUACAUGUGAUUUACAUGUGAAUCACAGUAAUUUAUAUGUCAUUCACUUGUUAUUUACAUGUGAAUUACAUGUGAUUCAUAUGUGAAUUACAUGUAAAUCACCUGUAAUUCAUAUGUGAAUUACAUGUGAAUCACAUGUAAUUCAUAUGUGAUUCACUUGUGAUGUACGUGUGAAUUACAUGUAAUUCAUAUGUGAAUUACAUGUGAAUCACAUGUAAUUCAUAUGUGAUUCACUUGUGAUUUACAUGCGAAUUACAUGUGAUUCAUAUGUGAAUUACAUGUAAUUUACAUGUGAAUCACAUGUGAUUCACUUGUGAUUUAAGUGUAUCACUCACUCAUGUAUACAAUUGUCAUUGAAACAAUCAUGGGGGAGAUACCAUAAUUCACAUGUGAUUCACUUGUGAUUUAAGUGUAUCACUCACUCAUGUAUACAAUUAUCAUUGAAACAAUCAUGGGGGAAAUACCAUAAAAUCCCUUGACAAAAUUGAUAUUUUGUCAAGAGUUGUGCAAACAGUAAUUAUUCUUUAUCUAAUUACAUCAUCUUUAUACCAAAAAAAAAAAUAAUAAUACUAAGUAUAUUUGUUUUUUGUAAAAGAAAUAUAUAUCUGUUAUAUUUUUAUUAGGUUUUUACAAGUUUAUACAACAUUUUUUUGUUAUAAAAAUUUCGUUAAAUUGUAUUAAUUACACAAUUAUAACCAAAAUAAAACUUUUGUAUAUAACUAUCUCGAUUUAAUUGUUAUAUUAUAUAAACAACAGUGUAUUAAUAAAUUCCAAACAUAUAGAUUAAAUUACAUGAUUAUGUGGGUCCCUAAUGCAACUUUUUCUUUUAUAAAGACAAAAAUAAUAAAACAAGAAACUUACUGGCAGCUCUUGAAGCAUGCUGGCAUACUACAGAAACAUUCAGUAACAAGAGACAAACAUUACGUGCUACCCUCUAUAGAAAACAAACUGAUCAACACAGUUGAAUAAAAUCCCUUGACAAAAUUGAUAUUUUAAUUUAUUUUCUUACCUCAUCUAGUGGUUCAAUAUUUUCUUACCGAAUUUCAUAAUCAGUACCCUAAAUACAAUGAAAUCAAGAUCAAUAUGUACAAAAGAACUAUCCCAAAUUCAAACAACUAGAAUGAGAUCAAGAUCAACAUGUACAAAAGAAAUUACCACUCCAUCAUACUCAAUAGGGUGUCCAAACGAGCUACUCUGUAUAAUAUGUUAGAGAAAACAAACUUUUUGCCACUAAGUAAUACAAAAUUUAAUUCCAAAUUGCAGUUACUUGAGGAGGAUACAAAAUCAUGAAUGUGGCUAGAAUCGUUAAGAGCAUAACAAUUGGUUAUAGGUAAAACCACAGAACUAACGAUGCAUGUUUGAUAACGGAAAGCUGGAAAUGAAACAAGAAAACAAAGUUUUCAUUCAAAAAACAAAAGAACAAAACUGAUAUACAUUCAUCAAUUACUUGUAAAAAUGGCUGAGAAAAAACUGAUCAUUAACAACAUUAGAGCAGAUGUUAGGCCUUGGGUACCAAGAAAAUACAAGCAUACCAGAUGCUCAAAAGGCUACAGUAAUCCAUUUAAAUUGUAUUAUCAAAAUUUAUUUGUAAAAGACAGCUAGUUUCUGACAUUAUAUUAUAUGCUCAAAAGGUUGCAAUCUUUCACAAAUAAAAAUAUCUCCUACAUUUCUAAAAAUAUAACCAAAAAAAUUCUUCAGAAUACUAAAUUGGAAUUGGUUCAUCAUUGAUGAAGUCAAAGUGAAGUUAACAUGUGAUAUUUUUCAUUGAGGCAUUUCAUCGAACAUGUUGAGUGCAAACAAAUAUCUAUAUUUUUCAAUAACACAAGUGUCUAUUUUUAUACCUUCAAUCAAUACAAGGAUUUAACUCUUCUUAAAAACAUAUUGACUAAACAGGUUCAACUUAAUGAUUAGGCAAAAACAAUUCAUAAAGGUCAAACAAAUGUCAGGAGUUAACUAUAGAGACAGAUGAUACCUAAAUUUUGAUUGAUAAGGGAUCAUCUUCUUCGCUUAGGUCUUCAAUCCAUAGUGGAGGCCGAGAUGAAGUCAGCGAUUACGGUAUACUCCGGGGAAUGAAGUGAUGGAGGAUAAACGAUUCAAAAUCAAAGCAUCUUCAGUGGAAUUUUUUCUAUGAAGAACGUGAGAUCAAGGAGUUCAGCAACAAUGAAACUUUGAUCGUUGGGGGAUUUCAGAUUCGUGUGAGUAGAAGCAAUUUCAGAAUCAAAAGCAUGGAAUCGGAAGAAGUAUUGGACGCAAUUUGAUGGAGGUGAGUCGUCAAAGGAUGGAUCGUAGCUUUGAGAGAGAGAGAGAGAGAGAGAGGAAAACGGGGGAGGAAAGAGAGAGAGAGAGAUGAAAAUGUAUUUUAUCAGAUAUUAGAUUUAAGAAAUUAUUUAAUUAUACUUUUAUUCCUAUAAUAGCCCUAACUAAAUUAACUAAGAUACCCCUCCUUUUUUUUCUACUUAUUUACAAAAACCCCACCUUGCAUCUCGACCCUUCCUUUUUUUUGAUCCAACGUUCCACCCUUAGUUCUCGGGUUCUCGGGAAACUUUGAGUUCUCAAAUGAUCCUUCCUAUAUAUAUAUAUAUAUAUAUAUAUAUACACAUAUGAAUAAUCAAUUUUACCUUCACUUNAUAUAUAUAGGAGUAGGAUCAAAUGAGAGCACCUAAAAGGUUGAGAACGUGAGAACAGAUCUAGAUAUCUAAUUUUUAAGAUGUGUGGAUAUAAUUAAUUGUUAUCUUUAUAAUUAUUAAUACAUUUAAAAUUUAAAUUUCAAAUUAAAGAAAAUUAUAAAGGGUAUUCAAGUAAAUAAACAUUACCCUAAUUUUGUAAACUCCUAUAAUUACUCCCUGCCACUCUGUUCCGUUGACCUAAUUUGAUACAACAUACAAUCGAUACCUUCAUCACACAGCCGAUCCCAACUACUUCUGUUUUCCUUUUCCCUUGGUCGACAGAUGAACCAUCCACAUCGAACGAUGAUGCUUCCUGAUUUCACCCCAAAUGUCAAUUUUUUGUUGUUUGCUCCUUCCCCCAUUUAUGCGUUGCUGAUGACGACGAUUAAGCCACAAUGGUCGUCGGAGAAUCCACGCCCUUCCUUCCCCUCUUCCCUUUGUCUCUUCAACCUCUUUGAACCCCGGAGACGAUUGCAAUUGGACACAAAACCUGAAUAUCGGACAACACACCUUCGAUGCGAGCCUUUCUUCCAUUACUGUUUCCCUAUUGUUGUCGUCGUUGAUAAGCCUUCAUACUCUCUGCCCCUUUGACUUCCACCAUCGCCAAUUCCAUCGAAGGCCAAGAGACCCCCUUGAUUUCUCGUAAGCCCCAGGACUUGCAAUCCCGAUUCAGGGCUUGAAGAAUGACUGCAAAAAUCACGAUUAGUAAUUACAAUCAUGAAGGGGGGGGGGGUGCGUGAUUGGCGAUGCAAGAAGUGGGGGAAAUUUUGAUAGGAAUUCGUAUGAAAUUGAAGCUAUAAAUCAACAAUUGGUAAGUUUUGAUUCUUCCUUCUAUUGUGUUCGUAGGUCAAAUUCUAGUAAUAUGAUAUCCUUUACUACAGUGGUGAAUAAUUUCAAUCAACAUAGUUAGUUGUGUUCGUUAUAAUCACUUAUGAUUAUAAACAUGGUUGUAUCAAAUUUGGUGUAAUUAUCACAGCUUAAAACAAUUAUGAACUCCAUGGGAAUUAGCUUGAAUUUUGUGUUCAUUCUCCAAUUGGGAUCUUAUAUGAAGAUGAAACUUGGAAGACCUCUUUGAAAUCAAUCCAUCCUGUUUGACUGCUUGUUUACAAAUUUAAUUGCAUUUCGUGUCAUGAGCAGUUCUUCUUGCUAAUCUGAUAACUGUUGGACCCGAAGUACUUUUCUUUUACACUCAGUAACUUGUUACAAGUCACAAACCCUUUAUGUUUCAUAGUUAAUACUUAAUACACAAGCCAUUGGUUAUAUUAACAUCUUCCUUUUUGUGAUGUUUCUAACAAACAUGUGGACAUUUACUUUGGUGACUUUAUGUUUUGGGGUAUAAAUUUUUUAAUAAUCAUAACUAGAAGAGGGUAAGCCCUCUCGGUCGAGUUUCUUGUUACUGCCACUUUGUUGAUACUUUUUGCUACACUAAUUAUCUACCUUCCCAUAUGCUUUAAUCAUUCAAUCACAUUCUGUUUUUCUCAAUUUUGAUGAUGGCAGACAUGUCAUCGUCAAUUGUUUUCGUUAUAAUCACUUAUGAUUAUAAACAUGGUUGUACAUAUGAUUAAAAGACACUGUAAUAAUCAUUUAUGAUUAUAACAACGUAUGUUUUUCUACUAAACAUUCAUUUUAAUAUUAUGUUGGUUUUUUUAUUAUGUUUACAUGUUAUUGUCAUUUUUGUAGAUAUUAAUCAAAGAAGAAGGAAUGCUAAAGUUUUUUAGAUGUCGUGUCUGCUCCUGCUCGUUACACAAGCUCGCAAGCCAUUUGAUUCAAAGAGAAGGAAUGAGUUGUGACCAAUUCAAGAGAAUGGUUGACAUAGGGAUGAAUUUUGCAAAAUAAUAAUAAUAAUAAUAAUAAUAAUAAUAAUAAUAAUAAUNNNNNNNNNNNNNNNNNNNNNNNNNNNNNNNNNNNNNNNNNNNNNNNNNNNNNNNNNNNNNNNNNNNNNNNNNNNNNNNNNNNNNNNNNNNNNNNNNNNNNNNNNNNNNNNNNNNNNNNNNNNNNNNNNNNNNNNNNNNNNNNNNNNNNNNNNNNNNNNNNNNNNNNNNNNNNNNNNNNNNNNNNNNNNNNNNNNNNNNNNNNNNNNNNNNNNNNNNNNNNNNNNNNNNNNNNNNNNNNNNNNNNNNNNNNNNNNNNNNNNNNNNNNNNNNNNNNNNNNNNNNNNNNNNNNNNNNNNNNNNNNNNNNNNNNNNNNNNNNNNNNNNNNNNNNNNNNNNNNNNNNNNNNNNNNNNNNNNNNNNNNNNNNNNNNNNNNNNNNNNNNNNNNNNNNNNNNNNNNNNNNNNNNNNNNNNNNNNNNNNNNNNNNNNNNNNNNNNNNNNNNNNNNNNNNNNNNNNNNNNNNNNNNNNNNNNNNNNNNNNNNNNNNNNNNNNNNNNNNNNNNNNNNNNNNNNNNNNNNNNNNNNNNNNNNNNNNNNNNNNNNNNNNNNNNNNNNNNNNNNNNNNNNNNNNNNNNNNNNNNNNNNNNNNNNNNNNNNNNNNNNNNNNNNNNNNNNNNNNNNNNNNNNNNNNNNNNNNNNNNNNNNNNNNNNNNNNNNNNNNNNNNNAUAUAGAGAGAGAGAGAGAGAGAGAGAAAGAGAGAGAGCAAGGAUCAUUUGAGAACUCAUAUUUUCCCAAGAACCCGAGAACCAAAACGAGGGCCGUUAGAUUAAAAUAAUAAAAGGUUGAGAUGUUUUGUGACAUUAUUGUAAAUAUUUGAAAAGAAUUAAACACGGGGGUAUGAUACUUAAAUUAAUCUAAGGGCAUUAAUGGUACUGAAAAUCAUUCCCCUCAAAUCAAUCGAUGCCUUCUUUCUCUAACAAAUCCCCCUAUCAUCUCUUCGUCCCUAUUUCUCUCAUAGAUUCGUCAGCGUUCGUUCCCCGAUCCAGAACCAAUAUCCGAUUUAUCAAUGGUCUCCUCCGACUACUAUCUCACUUAUUCAUUGAAUCGAGGAAGGUGAAAUUCGAAGCUCUCUCUCUCUCUCUCACUCCAUCGUCUGCCUCCUUCCGUUGAAUCUCUCCUUACACAAUUGCCCUGCCGCCAAUUUCUGCCAAAACCUACCGUUACAGUGAGCAUCAAAGUCGACGCAUACAUUAAUGAUUGACGAUCGACCUUGAUCACCACUGAUUUGGUUGUAGUUAUGGUGGAAUUGGAUGGUAAAGAAGAGGAGGUGCUUCGAUCUAGGAAAAAAGUCCUGAAGUUGGACAUUUGAGGAAUAUAGGUGCUUCGAUCGUCGAUAGUAAUUGAGAAACCCAUGGACACUCUCUCUUACCUUCUUCCCUCACCACCACCGAAACAUAUUAUCUUGAUGGCAACAACGGUGAUCAUGUAUCCAGUUUUCUUCCUCCUUGUAGUUCAGUCCUUUAUUCAUUUAUCUGGAUCGCAUAUGUCGGCAAUUACAAUGUUUUUGGUCGUCGAUCGUUCGUGUGAUUAUUCAAUUUUGUUGGAAUAGUUAGUGCUAAGGUUUUCCUAGAAAAAGAGUUGUAAAAUUGAAAAUGUGCAUUAGGUUACCUUUUGAAUUGGGAUUAAUUUGAGAACCUUUCUUGAAUUCGUUUACCUAGGUCGAGUUUUACUAAAUAUCAAAAGGAUGUGAUGGAUAAUUUUGUUGUCAGUUCCAUAUUUCCAUAUAGAGAUCAACUUGGGAGAUUGAAGAAUUUAACCGGAGAACAAGUUACUUUUCUAGUAUUAGGGUUUAUGAUAAGUUCUAGACUAUAAAUGGACUGUGUUCAUGGAUCUGAUGUAUUGCUUGCUUCUUACAAUCCUUAUCACCAAAAUUGGGACUUUAGGUACUGAUAGCUCCCUGACAUGAACGUGUUGCCUCAGUAGAGUUUCCAUCUAUUCAUUCACAGAAAAAAAGUUAUCAAUGUUCAUGAUCAACACCAUCUCCCCCAUAGGCUGCAAUGGCAAAAUAUCCUCAGGCCAUGUUGUAACAAUUGGUAAAAAUAGGAACGAUCGUGCGAUGCAAUGUUUUGAUUAUUAAGAAACAUGAGUAUUUUAUCAAGAAUGUUUGAAGGAAUUUAACCUCUUUUAUUUAAAUAAGUUAUUGUGAAAUAUAAAACAAGUAACUAUUGAUAAAUUUCGUUAUGAUGUAUGACUACGAACUAUCACCGGUUUGUGAAAUUAGCAUAUAACAACAUUUAAAUGCAACAAACUUAAUUUUUGUAUCAACAUGUCUCUAGUUUAUAAGUAAGUUAGGUUCUAUGUAAAAUGUUUUCUUAGUAGAUGUGAAGGAUCUAAAUUUGACAAAUAUACGAACCAAAGUGACAAAACGUGUUUAACGAUAUGGUUAACCGGUUAAAUGUCACGAAAUUAUACAUUGGUCAGUAAAUUUUAUAUUUAAAUAAAUAAAAAUAUAAAAUGAAUUAUUAUAAGGUAUAAUUAGAAUGUAUUUAAGUGUUUUUGAAUAAAAAGAAUAAAACAUAAACAUUAAACUUCAAACACACAAAAACUACCUUGUUAUUUUAUACUAAGUAUACAUGUAUGUAUUUGUACAUAUGUAUUAUUAUCUAGUGAAUGACUAGUAAUGGGUCAUGAUUUAAGUGAUUUCAUGUAAAUAAUAUGAUUUCUAAAUCAAUUAAGAUAAGAUAAUUGGUGGAGAUAUGUGCCAACUUAACUAAUAAGUGCUUAAUCACUUAAGACAUUUUACUAAGAAUGCUUAUUAAUCCCUCUUCUAAUUUUCGAGAUUAAGACCUUCCCUCUCCUUAACUAGAACUCCUAACUAACUAAAUAACUAGUAGUUAGUUAGUUAACUAACUCUAUCUCUAAGCAACCACCCAAGCAAGUGGCUAGACAAGAUCACAUCACUUAAACUCACAUCCCAUCACAAGCUAGUCUAGGUUUUGUCCCCUUAUCCUCUUCCACUCUUUCCUCCUUCAUAUCCACGAAAUUUCCUCUUCAUUUUACCCUCAUUUGACCAGCCAUUACUAUAGGGAAUUACUCUCAACCUUCAUCUCAUUUUCAAGCACAAAAAUUUCCUUCCAAAGCCAUCAAAACCAUGAACUAAAGGGUUGCUGUCCCUUUUAUGUUUCAGCCACCAUUUCACCCAUCUACACCUUCCUUUUGCUUGAUAUUUUUACCACCAAAUACCCCUGGGAGUUAGUUGUUAGUCUACUCAAAAUUAUAGAUUCAAUACAGUGAGUAAACUACCCUUUUUCUUACUCUUUUGCUUUGAAGUUUUCGUGACAGCAACAUAGCCAAAAUAGUGGCUGUUUUGGAGCAUCGAACCAAAACCCAAAAGUUCUUCAUCUUCAACCUUCCAUUCUUCAAUUAUUCAAAUAAGGUGAAUUCAUACCCCUAUAUUUUCAUGUUUUCUUCAAGUUUUAAGUGGGGGAAUACAAGUUAGAACACUAAACAUAACUUAAAUUUAAAUGACAACUUUCUACAGAAACGUUGAGUCCUGUUCAUGGGCUGUUUUGACCAUCUUAAACUUAAUAUAUUUCAAAACUGUAGAAUAUGAAAAUAGUUCAUGUUUUUAACUUUCUAAGGACUACUCGCACACAUUCAUACGAUUUUUCUACAAUUUAUGGCGAUUUUUAUAAAACUGUCUGUCAUUUCAGACCAGUCUGUGAAGAUGUUCAUUUUCACACUAGUUUGAGAGCACUAAAAAUCAUAAUAAAAAUUAGGAACAAAGUAGACUUAUUUUAUAAACUCUCAGAGGUGACGGAUUCAGUUUUUGACUUACGAUGAUUUUUCUAUGAGUUUUCUAAAAACAGGGACAGUAAAGGGUAAAACUGUCAAAAGUGGUUUAUAGAUUUAUUAACACCUUCUAACAUUUUUGAGCAAUGUUUAUACAUUAAGGAAGUUAAAACACAAUCAUUUAAAUAUGUUUAAUUACCAUUUUUACAAAAGUGAUAAGUACAAAAAGGUCUUUAGUAUCAAACUUAAGGAUUAUUUCAUGCAAAGUUUCUAAUAAAAACGUAAGAAUAUGAACAACAAUUACAAAACAUACCAAAUCAUCUUUUAAAAUUUAUACAUAUAUAUAACCAUAUACAUAUAUAUGUUUUGUUUACAAANUAUGUGCUUUGUUCACAAACUUGUCUUCUACAUCAAAAAUAUACCUAUAUAGUUUUACGAGAACAUCACGAACUGUUACAUACUAGAAACACUAUUUCAAGAAGUUUACUUUCACCUAUAAGAACAAACGAACAUUUUCACAAGUAAAUCUGUUUUUAUACUAAGUUUUGUGAGACAUUAACUUCACGUGCGUUCGAGUACACAUUUCAAGUCCUGUAUUAUAUACCAGAAUCCCUUGGAGGGGGAGCAUGGUGUUUGUGUAUAGAUCUAUACCGAUUGACAACCCCGCGCCCUGACUGUUAGCUACAGUACACCAUUUGGGGUGACAAACGUCAGAACUUUCCAACGCCUGAAGAAUGUUGUGUAUAGGCAAUUCCAGUCAAUAGCAUGGUUAUAAAACUCACAUGGAGUAUUAAAAACACAUUGAUUUACGGGGUUUUUCAUACGUAUUGGAAAUUUUAUAUGUGCAUACAUUUUCUAGAAACAAACAUUGGUCUUGAUAGAAGGCUACAUUUAUGCUAGUAGAAAAUAUGUGAUUUUCUAGGAACAAACAAACAAAAACAAAACAUUUCAUUUCAUACAAAGAUUUUCAUUUAAUACUUAUGAAACUCACCAGUUUAAAUGUUGAUCUACUCUUUCAAAACUACUUGUAUGUCCCAGGGAUUCAGUAAUUACAUGUAACAAACAGCUUUUGAAGAAAGGACGCUGUGGCGCCAGUUUAAAUUCAUGUUUUUGGCAUCAUAUUGUAAUUGGUUUUGAACAUGUACCUUUUAACAAUGUAAACUUUCAAUUAUAUAUAUGAUGGUUGUAUUGCUUUCUUCUUAUGUAUUCAUUUGUUAUGUUACCACAUGAAGUCAUCCGCCCCAAACGUUUCCGCCGUUCCGGUUUGGGGGUGUGACAAAUUGGUAUCAGAGCAUUGUUUAUAGUGUGCUAAGUAUAUCAAACCACAUAAGAUAUAUACAAACUAUAAAUACAUAGGGGCUAAAACUCUCUGACUUAACAAUUUCAAAACAGGAACAUUAGGGGUCCUUUGCUGAUAAGUCUAUGUUUGCUAAGUGUAUACGUUAAGGUGGUAUAUACUAAAAGUUUUAUAGACAUAGAAUUUGUGAUUUUCACUUUACUUCCUUUUCCUUGUUUGGAUGUAGAUAUAAGGUAAGAUCACUUAUUCGACUGGCUAUUUAAUCUUGAUUGUAUAUGACCUGUAUACACAAGGCAACCAUAGAAGGACCAGGAAUGGACCGAGAUUUCAUGAAAAAUGUAAGUGCAUACAAACAUACUAGUAAGGAGUCAUAUUGGCAACAAAACAAAAAGUAUUAAGAUAAGUUAAACACUGCGAGUAAGCCUCGGGGUAUGUAAUCAUGUCUGGGAUGAAUAUAGCCUGAUCAACUAUAUUUAUCCAAGAGGUGACCAACGUAUGCCGAGGAAUGGUCGUAGUGGAUGACGAGUCUAAAACUUACCAACAAACCAUACAAAGAAAACUUUAACAUACAAAUUUAAAAUACUAUAGGAGUAUUUUGCGUUACAAUAGAACCACACACUUAGAUUCUUCAUAUGCUUCUUACCCCUAUUAUCGCAUAGGCAUAUCAGCUAGACUUCAUCUCCACAUAAACCCCUACUAUCCUGCCACCGAAGCCAAUUGAUGGAUCAAGAAGGAUCCAGAAGAAGAUUUCGAAGAGUACUAAUAGAUGAAAUACAAGGAAGAAGAUUUCCGAGAAGGGACCAGAUGGAGAAAGAAGUUCGGGAGAUACCGUCAAUAAACCUUACCCUAUCAAGUGGAGUGUGAGAACCUCCACCUCUCAUUUCAGGAAGCAACCCGCAAUUAACUACCUAGCCACACAUAUAGACUGGAGAUGACAACCGAUGAUCCACAACCGACAUAAACUCACUGCACCGUACUUCGGGCCAUAGCACCCAUAGACCGAUAAACAGAUCAAGAGAACAAUACAGAUCACCUACACUCCUUAGAAAAGGAGAUAGUCGUUAUAGGACAAAGAACCCUUACAGCUACAACCUGGACAAUCAUCACAGAAAUGAGAACAGAGGAGGCCACUCACGAAAUAGAAUCAUGCCGACACAUGAAGGUAAUCAGCAUACUGGUGCAACACUAGUUCUAUAAAUACACCCUACAACAUUUCAAAUUGUGGUAACAGCCGCCGUAACAGCAGUCAUGGCACACCUCGGCGCUAACAACACAAACAAAAGAGGGAACGGCGCCGAAAGUUCCAAUUGUAAUAACAACCAGGGACACCCCGAGUAUGUUCCUGCAAUGACGCCCAAGGACCUACCAAAAAGACAACAAACAGUGACAUUCCAUACCACCACCAUCCCUACUACCUCAGUGUCGACAAGACCAUAUGUUGGAAACCUACCAAAAUGCACCAAGUGUAUCUUUCAUCACAAAGGAAUGUGAAGGGAAAUGCACUGCAAGGACUGUAAUGAAAAUGGGCAUACCACAAAUUUCUGUAGGGUGUCGGCUCAACAAACCGCCCAGAACACAAAAGCUGGGAUGAGUCGGACUUGCUACAGAUGUGGAGAAGUAGGGCAUUUCAUAAAGGAUUUCCCGGAGACUAAAAACAAAGAUGUCAGGAGCGUCGGAAGUGUUUUAGCAAUAGAGCGUGGGAAAGCAGUAAUAGACCCCGCUGAGAUUCCGGUACGUUCAUUCCCGAUAGAAAAUAUGCAUGGAUACUAUAUAAUAGCAACGCGGAGAGGAGUAUUGUGAGUCGAAGAUUUAAUCAAUUUCUCAACCAAAAACCUGAAAAACUUAAACGAAAUAUUUACAGUAGAAUUGGAAUAAUCAAAAGCACUAGAGACGUGUACAUAGGGUGCACUCUAACACUAAAUCAACCAAUUCGUUCAAAUCAUCCUAAAACCGGUCACAAUAAAAAUUUACGACAUUUUCAUUUUAACAAUGUAUUAGUUAGUUUCCUCACCGUACCGAUAUAAUAUAUUACAAAAAGGCCAUUCGCCUAAAACCAUCGAGUAAUAGAACCCUCGUUGUCUAUGGUGACAAACCGGACACAAACCCCCGACUCACCUUUUACAACAAGACUCAGAAGUACCUACACAGGAGGUACCACGCCGUCCUAGCCCGUGCUGUGGAUAAGAAACAAGAAGAGAAAGACAUCAUGGAUGUUGAAAAAGCCCGUAACCUUCUCGAUAUAUUCCGAGAAGAUCUCCUGGGAAUACCAUCCAUACGGCAACCCGAGUUCAAAAAUCAACCUAAGUGUAGUAGUUGNAGGGUUGUUGUAAAUGCCAUCUCACCCAAGUUAAUCACCCCACUCAAGUAGAGACUAUGGACCCAUACUAGUGAAUCUAUGAUUACUAAGUGUAUAUAUUGGAGCCCUAUAUAAUUAAGAUUCUACGGACUUAGGGUUGGUAAUUCCGCUUUAAAUCCUUUUCCUUGUUUGGAUGUGGGCUUAGAAUAGAAUCACCGAUUCGACUGUCUUUUCAAUCUUAAUUAUAUACGACUUAUAAACACAAAGAGAUAAUAGAUGAAUCAGUUAUGAGUCAUACCAUGAACUCCAUGACAAGUUACCCAGGACAGUGGAUGGACAUGCUACCACUUGAGCGAUCGUAGAUAAAUCAACCAAACCCACACACUUUCUACCGACCAAGGAUACAAAGAAAAAUAGAAAAGAUGACAGGAGCAUAUUACAAGAAAAUUGUGAGACUGCAUAGUAUACCACUAUCAAUCAUUUUGGAUAAGGGGACAGGCGAUUCGCCUCGUGUUUUCAAUAGUCGUUAAAGAAGUCCUUUUUAUCACCCUCAAACUGAAAGGCAAAGAGGAAGAACCAUUCAUCGAAUCCUUAUACAACAUUAACUAUUACAUUAACAUCAAAGUCGCGUCAUUCGAAGCUCUCUGCAGAAGCAAGUGUAGAUCACCUCUUUGAUGGGAUGAGGUAGGUGACACACAAAUAGCUAUCAGGCAAGUUCCUAACAACACUCUCACUAGCCCCCAGAUCAUACGAGAAACUACAGAGAAGAUUGUUCAAACCCGUGAACGAUUGAAGGCAUCCCAGGAUCGGAAGAAGAGCUUGUCUGAUGAGACUCUUGUUAUUCCACUGGAUGAAAUUGAAAUCAACGGGAUUCUAAACUUCAUCGAAGAACCGGUGGAAAUCAUGGAUCAGGAGGUCAAAAGGACGAAACAAAGCCGCAUACNAAGGCUCGUUGGAACGCCAAGCGAGGACCGAAAUUCACUAAGGAAUGCGAGGAUCAAAUAAAAAAAAACACCCCCAAUUUUUUAGUGAUAUCUACAAGUUGAAUUUCGGGGCGAAAUUCUUUUAACGGAGGGAGAAUGUAACAAUUGGUAAAAAUAGGAACGAUCGUGCGAUGCAAUGUUUUGAUUAUUAAGCAAUAUGAGUAUUUUAUCAAGAAUAGUUGAAGGAAUUUAACCUCUUUUAUAUAAAUUAGUUAUUGUGAAAUAUAAAACAAGUAACUAUUGAUAAAUUUCGUUAUGAUGUAUGACUACGAACCAUCACCGGUUUGUGAAAUUAGCAUAUAACAUCAUUUAAACGCAACAAACUUAAUUUUUGUAUCAACAUGUCUCUAGUUUAUAAGUAAGUUAGGUUCUAUGUAAAACGUUUUCUUAGUAGAUGUGAAGGAUCUAAAUUUGACAAAUAUAUGAACCAAAGUGAUAAAACGUGUUUAACGAUAUGGUUAACCGGUUAAAUGUCACGAAAUUAUACAUUGGUCGGUAAAUUUUAUAUUUAAAUAAAUAAAAAUAUAAAAUGAAUUAUUAUAAGGUAUAAUUAGAAUGUAUUUAAGUGUUUUUGAAUAAAAAGAAUAAAACAUAAACAUUAAAGUUCAAAUACACAAAAACUACAUUGUUAUUUUAUACUAAGUAUACAUGUAUGUAUUUGUAUAUAUGUAUUAUUAUCUAGUGAAUGACUAGUUAUAAGUCAUGAAUUAAAAUGAUUUCAUGUAAGUUUUAUGAUGUCUAAAUCAAUUAAGAUAAGAGAAUUGGUGGAGAUAAGUGCCAACUUAACUAAUAAGUGCUUAAUCACUUAAGACAUUUUACUAAGAAUGCUUAUUAAUCCCUCUUCUAAUUUUCGAGAUUAAGACCUUCCCUCUCCUUAACUAGAACUCCUAACUAACUAAAUAACUAGUAGUUAGUUAGUUAACUAACUCUAUCUCUAAGCAACCACCCAAGCAAGUGGCUAGACAAGAUCACAUCACUUAAACUCACAUCCCAUCACAAGCUAGUCUAGGUUUUGUCCCCUUAUCCUCUUCCACCCUUUCCUCCUUCAUAACCACGAAAUUUCCUCUUCAUUUUACCCUCAUUUGACCAGCCAAUUAUACUCUAGGGAAUAACUCUCAACCUUCAUCUCAUUUUCAAGCACAAGAAUUUCCUUCCAAAGCCAUCAAAACCAUGAACUAAAGGGUUGCUGUCCCUUUUGUGUUUCAGCCACCAUUUCACCCAUCUACACCUUCUGUUUGCUUGAUAUUUUUACCACCAAAUACCCCUGGUAGUUAGUUGUUAGGAUACUCAAAAUUAUAGAUUCAAAACAGUGAGUAAACUACCCUUUUUCUUACUCUUUUGCUGUGAAGUUUUCGUGAAAGCAACGUAGCCAAAACAGUGGCUGUUUAGGAGCAUCAAACCAACACCCAAAAGUUCUUCAUCUUCAACCUUCCAUUCUUCAAGUAUUCACAUAAGGUGAGUUCAUACCCCUACAUUUUCAUGUUUUCUUCAAGUUUUAAGGGGGGGAAUACAAGUUAGAACACUAAACAUAACUUAAAUUUAAAUGACAGCUUUCUACAGAAAAGUUGAGUCCUGUUCACGGACUGUUUUGACCAUCUUAAACUUAAUAUCUUUCAAAACUGUACAAUAUGCAAAUAGUUCAAGUUUAUAAAUUUCUAAGGACUACUAGCACGCGUUCAUACGAUUUUUCUACAAUUUAUGGCAAUUUUUAUAAAACUGGCUGUCAUUUCAGAAGUGAUUUCGGACCAGUCUGUGAAGAUGUUCAUUUUCACACUAGUUUGAGACCACUAAAAAUCAUAAUAAAAAUUAGGAACAAAGUAGACUCAUUUUAUAAACUCUCAGAGGUGACGGAUUCAGUUUUUGACUUACGAGGAUUUUUCUAUGAGUUUUCUAAAAACAGGGACAGUAAAGGGUAAAACUGUCAAAAGUGGUUUAUAGAUUUAUUAACACCUUCUAACAUUUUUGAGCAAUGUUUAUACAUUAAGGAAGUUAAAACACAAUCAUUUAAAUAUGUUUAAUUACCAUUUUUACAAAAGUGAUAAGUACAAAAAGGUCUUUAGUAUCAAACUUAAGGAUUAUUUCAUGCAAAGUUUCUAAUAAAAACGUAAGAAUAUGAACAACAAUUACGAAACAUACCAAAUCAUCUUUUAAAAUUUAUACAUAUAUAUAACCAUAUACAUAUAUAUGCUUUGUUUACAAACUUGUCUUCUACAUCAAAAAUAUACCUAUAUAGUUUUACGAGAACAUCAUGAACUGUUACAUACUAGAAAAACUAUUUCAAGAAGUUUACUUUCACCUACAAGAACAAACGCACAUUUUCACAAGUAAAUCUGUUUUUAUACUAAGUUUUGUGAGGCAUUAACUUCACGUACGUUCGAGUACACAUUUCAAGUCCUAUAUUAUAUACCAGAAUCCCUUGGAGGGGGAGUAUGGUGUUUGUGUAUAGAUCUAUACCGAUUGACAACCCCGCGUCCUGACUGUUAGCUACAGUACACCAUUUGGGGUGACAAACGUUAGAACUUUCCAACGCCUGAAGAAUGUUGUGUAUAGGCAAUUCUAGUCAAUAGCAUGGUUAUAAAACUCACAUGGAGUAUUAAAAACACAUUGAUUUACGGGGUUUUUCAGACGUAUUGGAAAUUUUAUACGUGCAUACAUUUUCUAGAAACAAACAUUGGUCGUGAUAGAAGGUUACAUUUAUGCUAGUAGAAAAUAUGGGAUUUUCUAGGAACAAACAAACAAAAACAAAACAUUUCAUUUCAUACAAACAUUGUCAUUUAAUACUUAUGAAACUCACCAGUUUAAAUGUUGAUCUACUCUUUCAAAACUACUUGUAUUUCCCACGGAUUCAGUAAUUACAUGUAACAAACAACUUUUGAAGAAGGGACGCUACGGCGCCAGUUUAAAUUCAUGUUUUGGCAUCAUAUUUUAAUUGGUUUUGAACAUGUACCUUUUAACAAUGUAAACUUUCAAUUAUAUAUAUGAUGAUCGUAUUGCUUUCUUCACUAUGUAUUCAUUUGUUACGUUACCACAUGAAGUCAUCCGCCCCUGAACGUUUCCGACGUUCUGGUUUGGGGGUGUGACACAUGUCUUGGUGACAUCCAGUGGGUCAAAGUCAAACUAUCUUCAUGAUCACGGGUAAAUGGUCUAAAUAAAAAGCUUCCAUUCAAGAUAGUCUCCAACUGCAAUGAAGUCAUAAUGAUCUUGUGUUGCUAAUAAGAGAAAUGAGUGAAGAUUCUGAUGGUGGUGUUUUGGUUCACUUACAGUACUUGAAUGAGAAACACACUUAUAGACAUGUGUAGAUUUUGGGAAUGCUGUUUGCAAAUUUCAAGCAAAUGGCAGAAAAAAUACCUUGAAACCCCUGUUUCAAUCUAUGUGAUUGGGAUUCCAUCAUAUUUCAUAGACUUACAAAGGCGAGCUUAUCUUGAUGUUGCACAUAUUGCAGGUUUAAAACCUUUAAGAUUAAUGCAUGAUUGCACUGCAAUUGUAAUUCACACAUGAAUCACUUGUGAUUCACAUGUGUCACUUGUGAUUCACACGUGAAUCACUUGUGAUUCACAUGUGAAUAAUCUUAAUUAUUUAUUUUGUGUAGGCAUAAGAUUUAUUUUAAUUUGAUUCCUUUUAACGAGUUACAUAUAAUUCACAUAUGAUUCACAUGUGAAUCAUAUGUGAUUUACAUGUGAAUCACAUGUAAUUCAUAUGUGAAUCGCAUGUGAUUUACAUAUGAUGUCAUAUGUAAAUGUGAUUCAUAUGUGAAUCGGAUGUAAUUCAUAUGUGAAUCGCAUGUGAUUCAUAUGUUAAUCACAUGAAAAUCACAUAUGUAGUUUUGUGAGUGUUUUUGCAUAAAUCAAUUUUUUUUAAUUUUCUUGUAGAUUUGGAAGAAACUGUGAUGGAUAUUGAAGAGAUGAAAAAUGAUAAAUUGAAGAAAAUAUGAAAAUAUUGACACGAAGACAUAAAACGUUUUGAAAUUUGUAGCAUUUUUUUUAUUUUUUAUUUUGUAUCGAAUAAAAUACUUGUACCAUUAUGUUUAUAGGUUAAUUAAUAAAAAUCAGAUUUUUUGUGAUUUACUUACGACUAUUAUAGUAUAAGAAAUAUGUAUACAUUCACUUGAAAAAAUAUGUUUAUAUGCUCCUAAAANUAUAUAUAUAUAUAUAUAAAAGCACACAAUCUCCAUCAUGGUCUAACUUUGAAUAUUUAUCUUUUUGAAUCUUAUUGUAUUAUUUAAUAAUAUAAAUAAACUCAUUAGUUUUUAAUUGUUUAUGUUUAUUAUGGUGUCAAUCAUUGUUUCCAUUCUUUUUCAAUUUAUGUUGUACAUAGUUAAUUCAAUAACAUGUUUCUCAUUCCAUGUCAAUUUUUUAAGCUUAUAUUUACGAAUUAGUUGAUAACGAUUUGUAAGUCCCUAAAAUGUCUGUGUAUCAAUCAGAUCCGUUUGAUGGUGCAGAAUCCCAAUCAAACGGAUAAUGUCAGAUCAAAUAGAAGAGAAAGAGAAGAAGAAUAAUAUGAAUCUCUGUAUGAAUUGAUUACAAUUAAAGUUCCAAAUACAAAAGAUUCACACACACAAAAUGCUCUCUAGUUUCUCUCUUCUCACAUUCAUCAAUCUUUUUCUCACACCCCUCACCCAUAUAUAUACAUGAGAAUAUGGGCCGACUGAACAUGGGCCAUAAACUGGUUUACGGUCCAAAACACAAAAAUACAUUUUUCUAGAAAAGUAAAGUAUAAACCAUAUUUUUGACCCAACAAUCUCCCCCUUGGUUUAUAACUUUCUUUUCUUAAUUGACCCAACAAGCUCCCCUAAAAAGUAUCUGGCUUUUCUUGUUAAUCUUCAUUUGGAGCUUGGCUUCAGCAUUUAUCUUCAAAUUCUUCACAACUUCAAGAUGAACUUGAUGAAUCUUCAAUGAAUGACUUCAUCUUGAGCACUUGAACUUUUCUUCAAGAUUUGACUCUGAACGCACAUUGGGUAAGGAGGCUUCUUGUACUGAUUCUUGAAAGAUGACGCUUUCAGCUUGAGAAUCUUCAAAGAGAACAUCAGAGAGAACAAAUCUUCUGGAUCACUUUAGCAGGUACAACGAUAGCAGUAGACUGAUUCAGGAGGCUUCAAUGCAAUCCGUCAUAUAAUCUUCAAUUUUUGCUUAACCUUGCUUCUGGGUUGAAGGAUUGAAUGUUGAAAGAAUAAUCUUCAUUUCUUGCUUCUUCGAAUGAGAAUUCUUCGAUGAUCACGGAUGAAGCCUUGGCUCAAAAAUCUUCGGCACAAACUUCCAUGAGUUUCAUCUUCACCUGAAUUCACUUUUUAAGACAAAACAAAACUAAGAGAAAAAAAUUUAGCACACAAUAUUUUUGGAUUUUUUUUAUAUUUUCUGAAAAAGAAAUAAAACAAAAAUAACACUAUUUUUGGAUUUAUAACUUUCUGAUUUUUGUUUGGUUUUUUUAUUGUUUUUUUUGUUUUGUUUUUUUUUUAAUUUCCCCCUAAUAUUUAAAUUAGAAGAACACUAUGAACAAACUUAACAAAAAAAACAAAAAUAAUAGCUAAAUUUAAGACUGAUUUGGGAUCAAAGUUUUUAGACAGCCUUUAUCCGUUUAUCAGUACCUCUCCUUUCAUGAAUAGAUCUGAUCAAUCGUUGGUAUUGUGGUCCACUUAAACACGAGAGAUUGUGACAAAAUUAGGACAUAUUAUAAGUGACAAAACAAUGUGAUCCUAAGUUCAUAGAUAAUAUUCCUUAAGGACCAUUCAGCUGACGACGAGCAAAGAUAUUGUUGUCCACCUAAAUUAAGCAGCGAGAUCUACAGAAAAACUGUAUGUGUUCAAUUUUAAUUGUACUAGAAAAUGUUUCCCACUUCCGGAUAUGCCCCAGCCAUAAAGGACUUCCAGAGUACUCCUUACAUCGGGUGAACAGACAAUUAUUAAGAGAGAAGAUAGAUUCAGAUUGCUAUUACUUACUGCUUUAGAGGGAUUGAGAAGUAGAAGGUUGCAUAUGCUGUGUUCCAGGUCGGAUUGGAAGUCACGCAAAGGAGACAGCAUAUGGCUAACAGAUAAGAGGAAUUUCAUAGAUAUAAUAUGCAUAGAAAUAGAAUUGCAUAUGUUACAGUACAGGUUGGAUCUUUCGAUCACACAGAAGAGGCAACAUAUGACUAACAUACCAAAAGAAAGAAAACAAUUUUCUGCAGACCUAAUUCAUCGGAAUUUACCAGUCGCCCCCAUCCAACCGGAAUUAAGGAUAGAAUCCGCACAUCGAGGAAAAGUGAAUCCACAAUUCUAGAUACGGGUUAUUUAAUGUGACCGGUAGAUUCCCAUGUAUAUCUCCCUGCUCAACCUAUCCGAGCGUCGUGAAAUCAGGUUAAACGGAUAUUACUAGGUCAAAGUUUGUCAAGUCCUUAAAUUCAUUAGGUUCAACUCUCCCUAGUUAAGUCCAUUUAANGUGCCUACCAGCGCAUCGAGCACAGAGCGUUAACAAUUCAACUUAGGUACGUUACGCGACAUCAGAUUGCCCGUUAUCACUUGUUAAUUUCAUUUCCCAAAACAUCUCCUGCAAGCACAUUCCAUUAACACCAUAUUUUUGAUUUUCUUAUUUUCUAAUGUUUUUUAGUCUAAAACGAUUAAAAUUUUCUAAUUUUUGUUUUGUUUUUAUUUCUCCCCCUAAAGUUGUGCAUAAGAGAGAAACGAAAGUAAAUGCACAAAUUUAAACUAUCCUAAAACAAAAAUUAGUCUUUAAAGCGAAUCAGCUUAAGAAAAACUCAGGAGUGUAGAGAAGAAAAUUCAAAUUGUAAGUCACCGAUUGAAUUUGCAUCCAGAAGGUCUGAGAACAGCACGCGUAAUCUCAGAACAGAUCCAAAAAUUCUUCACAUGGUUAAGCACAAACCCCAUGCGAUCCCUUCCUUUCUUCCCUUCCCGCAAAGGACACAUACUCUCAAACAAAAGUCUGAAUGUUGUACAGUUGAUAGAUGUCGUCUAUCAUGUGCCUGGAACAGCCACUACCAACAAACCAAAGUCUGAUGAUAUGCCUCCAUAGCUGCUUUGACACAAAGCGGGAUUAAUUAGUCUUUGGAACCCAGUCCAUUUUGAAACUGGGUCGACCUUUGUUAUCAACACACGAUACUCUCUCCCAUGACAUAUCCUGCUUAUCACAAAUACAAGACGAUGAAAUAUUAGAGUCAUUAGAAGAUUUAGGAGAUUUCACCUUUGGUACCCAUCUAUAUUCUGGUUUAACCCAUUUCUUGUUUGAUCCGAUGGGUUCCUCGGCACUUGAUUUGGAACUUGAAGUCGUCUGCCUAGAUGACUUUGACCUAACCAGUCUUGGUUUCAUAGGAGCAUCUCUUGAACUAGACUUGUGGGCCAGCAUUCCCUUCUUUUUCUUGGGAGUUGGAUGCUUGGCCUUGGGAGUUGAAUUCUUAGCCUUCAUGACAUUCCAGUCGGCAUUGUCUGAAUGUGACCUUGAGGGUUUUCUUUUGGAGUAUCUCCUUCUUGGCGCGUUCUGUCGGCCUUGAGCAUAGUGGGUAACGUAUGGGCGAUUUGGACAGUUUUUGGCAAUGUGUCCAGGUGUUCCACAGUGAAAACAUGUCUUCUUCUUCACUGGGCAAUUGUCUCUUCCUGCCCCUGGUGGCAUAUCUUUGCCUUGUCUCUUAUGGUUCCCACAAGCACAAUUACAAUAGGCACUCUGUUUCACUGGAAUUGGAGGCCUGUAUUUCUCAACGACAACUUUGUUAGGAGUAACAGAAUUCGAGGCAACAGAUUCUGAGUUCAAGGAGUCAUUGGUUUGUUCAGUAGUGUUCUCCUUGUUCUCAUCUUCUGCUACUUUACCUGCACAUGAAGUAGAAACAUUAGUAUUUUCUACCUGAAUACCUCCUGACACAAACCCAGCUGGUUUGCCAUAUCGAAGAUGUGACUCCCUGGAAAUUUCUUCCUGUGUCAUAGGGAUGAAUGUGUAGUUAUGAUUGAAAGGUGGAGGAACACUAUCAUACCCUAGACCAUUGUUUUGAUUAUCUUUAAAUUUUAAUUGGGUUUCAAAUAAGGACUCGACUGUCUGACUUGAUGCAGUAUAAGUUUUGAAACUGACAUCUGUUUUUCCACACUUAAUUUUCAAUGCGUCAAGUUCUUUAGUUACAGCAGCAAGUUGUCUAUUAAUAUGGUCACAUUUUUCACACUUGUUGCUAUACUCUUCCUGAAGCUUCCUAAAGUCCUUGGUUUUUGCUUCUAAUUCAGCCUUCAGGGGUUUCUGUCGUUUCCUAGGUUGAUAUCCUUCGUAUUUUAGGUCCUCGACUUCCCUUUUUAGCAAAUCAAUUUGUUCCCGAACAAAUUUAAUUGUAGUUUCACAAACUGGUGUACAUGAAACUUCACAUGAUUGAGAACAUGAAACUUCAUUGACCGGAAGGUUUACAGAACUCUUUAAAGCGUCAAGCUCUUCAAUUACAUCAGCAAUACUAAGAUGAUUGAGAUAUUUUGUCUUCUUGAUGACAGAUACAUUCAUAUCCCACGAUUUUGGAAGUAAAUUCGAUAGCUUUUUGUUUAUCUCAGAUUUAGACAACAAGAUCUCGCUGCAACUGAGUUUCGAGGGUUUAUCCAGGGAUAUAAUCGAAAAUGUUGAAAUUUUGUCUUAACAUAUCCUGACGACUCUCUUUCAUGUUUUCAACUCCCUCGUAGACCUUAAAAUCAAUUAAAAAGCACAACUAAAAACCAAAAUCAAACUUAAAAGUCAAAUUUUAAAAGUUAAACUCAAAAGUCAAACUUAAAAGUCAAAUCGAAAAGCUAAAUUUGAAAGUUUAAAAGUUAAACGAAAAAGUCAAAGUUUAAAAUCAAAGGUCAAACCUGAAAGUCAAAAUCAAAAUUUUAAAUNUAUAUAUAUAUAUAUAUAUAUAUAUUAAAUUUUAUUUGAUUUUUGAUUUUGACUUUCAGCUCUGAUACCAAUUGUAAGCCCCUAAUUUACCUGUGUAUCAAUCAGAUCCGUUUGAUGGUGCUGAGUCUCAAUCAAACGUAUGAAGUCAGAUAAAAUAGAAGAGAAUCAGAAGAAGAAUAAUAUGAAUCUUGUUUGAAUUGAUUAGAAUGAAGUUCCAUUACAAGAUUCACACACAACACACACUUGUUCUUCUAUUUGCCGUACACUCUCUAUUGUUUAUUUAUUUAUUUAUUAUUUAAUUUUAAUUUUUUAUUUUUGAUGAAAAAGGAAUUUAAAAUUAAAAGGAAUUGAAUUUUGGGGUUAAAAGUGUAAAAAUAGUGAAACUUGCUGUGAAAAAGAUGCGCCGCCUGGUGAACUAGAGGUCGUGAGUUCAAACCCUGACACCUGCGCUUCUGCUUCCUAUUUUUUAUAUGCGAGGCUGCUGAGUGCGAGGAUGCUGAACAUGCGAGGUGCGAACCGGAAAUGAUGCUGAGCAGUAAACUCCGAGCUGCAAGCUCGGGCACGUAAACGUGCGAGUCCUCGGACCGUAACCUCUGACCGUGAACUCCUCGAACCGCAAACACCGGCUGCAAAAUCUUCGGAACCCUAGCCGCCGGCCGCAAACUCCUUGCUGAUUACGAUAAAAAAACAACAAUUUUUUGACUUUGAAGCUCCAAAACUCGAUCAAAAACCCUUUUUUAUUAAAAAAAAAAAAAACACAAAGAACAAACCCCCCUUAUUUUUCAGAGAUUUAUCCAAAAAUGCAAGAAUAUUUCGAAAAUAAGAUCAAAUUAUGCUCCAAAUAUGACAAAAUUGACUGAUACAAUUUGGCUCUGAUACCAAUUGUAAGUCCCCAAAAUGUCUGUGUAUCAAUCAGAUCCAUUUCAUGGUGCGAAAUCUCAAUCAAACGGAUGAUGUCAGAUUAAAUAGAAGAGAAAGAGAAGAAGAAUAAUAUGAAUCUCUGUAUGAAUUGAUCAGAUUUAAAGUUCCAGAUACAAAAGAUUCACACACACAAAAUGCUCUCUAAUUUCUCUCUUCUCUCGUUCAUCAAUCUUUUUCUCACACCCCUCACCCAUAUAUAUAUAUAUAUAUAUAUAUACAUGAGAAUAUGGGCCGACUGAACAUGGGCCGUAAACAGGUUUACGGUCCAAGACACAAAAAUACAUUUUUCUAGAAAAGUAAAGUAUAAACUUUUUUUUUUAACCCAACACGAUUAUUUUUGCGAGUAGUUUGAAUAUAGAUGAAACAUUCAAAUCACUACAUACUCAAGGACUAAUGAAUGCCUAAAGAUAUAAGGAGACGGUUCAUGGUUGAGUUAAGUUUUUUUUGCAUCAAGUAACAAAGCACCAUCAAUUUCCUCUACACCUACAAUCUAUUUCCUUUUUACAUUGUUCUUUUUCCUUUUAUCUUCAAUACAUAAUCUAUCUUGAUAGGAACCGUCUCGGUUACAUUGCAACUUGACAAAACUUGUCUUUAAUUGAAUCUCGAAUUGAUACAACAUAUCAUUUACUAUAAUAAAACUCCUUAGUAAUUCAUUGCAUGAUUCAAAUUUGAAGUUAGCUAAACAAAAUUCUUCAUUUUGUUUCGUAAGAUUUGAUGAAUCCAUUUUAAUCUGUUGAAUUAAUUUUAAUAGUCAAUUAAUUUUCAAUCUUAAUAGUAAUUUAUGUAUGAUUAAAAUUAAAAAAAUAAAAUAAAAUAAAAAUAAAUGGUAAUCCAUAUAUGGCUAACAUUUUAUCCACUGACAAGGAAAAAUUUACCACACCAUACUGGUCAUUGGUAAUUCAGUUAUGAACCAACUUCACAAAAUUUUAAUUUUAGCAUAUACGGCUAAGGUUUCCAACUUGACUUUUGUGAUUUAAUCUUGAAGUCCGCAAAAUGUAAUAUCUUCACGUGGAACUUCAUGUAAUGCAAUCCAAAACUUAUACUCAGAACCCUUAUGCCAUAUUUCUUAUUAACAAUUCCUGAAUUAUCUCUAAACUUCUUAGUGACUAGUUAAAAUUUUGUUUUAGGAUAAACCAAAUAAUUUACAAAAUUGAACAAGUAGCAAAAUAUUGAAAAUGAUAACAAAAUGUAAUAAUAUAUGAUUUUAAAAUAAAUUAUUCAUUUAAGUUGGAACUAACAAAUUAAUUAAGAUAAUAAAAUAAAUAUUAAUAUACAAACCUAAUAAACGAAGAAUUCAUUGUAGAGAUUGAAAUAAAUUUGAUCUAUUCAGAAAUUUAUUGUCUUAAUUUUUUAAUUCACAUGUCUCAAUAUGUAAAUUAUUUCAUUCGUUAUGAAUUUAAGUUUAAAAUGAAACGAACCUAUCCAAAUGUUGUAAAUUAUUUCUUUCAUUAUAAAUUUAAAUUUAAAAUUAAGCGAGUCAUGUUACGAUUCAUGGCCUUAAUAUUUUGUAUUAAAAAAAUAUAAAAUCUAUAUAUAAUAUAUUUUAGCUUAAAUUUGUGUAGGGUGGGCCAAACUCCUACACCCAUGUAGCUACAUGCUCAACUUCUUCAUGUUUCUUAAUUAAAAGAACAGGUUCAGGUUAAAGUCCGUUGAGAUUCUUCAUUAUCUUCAUAUUUUUGGUAAUUAACAAUAUUUUCUCACUCAUGGUAUUUUUGUUAAUUAAAAAAGAAAGUCAUAAAAGUAAAACCAUAUUUUUAUCAAGUGGAAGAAUAAAAUAACCAAGUGGAAAUAUAAGCUCCUUUAAACUUGUCCAAGCUUUAAUCCGGUGGUUAAAAUCUUUUAAGUCGCAUUUUAAAAACUUAUAUUACUAUUACCAAUUCAUAUAAAUCAAUAUACAAAAAUGUUCAAGUUCAAUUCGUUCAUGCUUAAACGGUACAUAAUAGGAAUAUUUUGUUUCAUGGCAUGCCCCACAAAAUGACUGAUUUUCAACCAAAUAGUCCAUGAAAUUGAAGUAUUUGUUUUAAAGGGAUAAUCACUUAAAACGAUAAUAUAUUUUUUGAUUUGUACAUAUUUGGUCACUGAGUUUUUUUUUCGUCGAUAUUUACCCUUCAACUUGUUAAACUGUACGCAUUCAAUCCUUAUGACCGGUUACUCCAGGUCAGCCGGGAAAAAUAACUUAGUAGAGUAAUAUAUUUAUUAUUUUGUACACAUUUAGUCCUUAAUAUUUUUAUACACAUUUAGUCCUUAAUAUUUUUUUUGUAUCAAAGUAAGUUAUUUUUGUUUUGUACUCUUUCAGUACUUAUGAUUGUAGAACAAUCAUUGAUGGAGUGUGUAUGACUAUUGAUGUUUAUGUGUAAAGUCUCAUUUUCACAACAAAAAAUAUUCAUUUUUAAAUAAGGUAAAAAUCCCUAAUUAUAAAUCCGUUAUUAAGAAAGAAUGUUUAUUCCAAAAUACAUAAUCAGAGUAAUAUAAAAAACACGGAAUCCUCAAUACUAUUGAUGAGUGUGUACAGUCAUGCAUUCGCCUUCCACGAUCAACGAUAGAACCUGAAAACAUAAACAACUGAGUAAGCACAAAGUUUAGUGAGUUUUCCCCAAAAAAUGAUUCAACAAACGUAUUAUCAUUAAUAACAGACCCACACUCAUCAGAUUGGAAUACAUCGGCCUAAUCAAUCAUCAGAUUGGAAUGCCAACAUGCAACAUGUCCAACCAGUCAUCGGACUGGAAUAUCCAGGGUUUGUUGGCAUGUCGCCUUAACCCAACCGCUCAUCUCAAGCCUCUGCGCCUAUGGCUUACACCCGGCCUGUACCAGGUAUUCUGGCCUAAAACAUAUAACAGGACCACCUCAACCUAUCCCACCACCAUAUGGUUAUCCCACGUAAGAUGUCAUGAAAAAAAACCUACAAAAAUCAUUCACAAAUACUAAAUGAGUACAAAAACAAAAAUGACUUAUUUUGCAACAAAAAAAACUAUUAAGGAUAAAAUAUGUACAAAAUGAGAAAUAUAUUACCCUAUUAAUUUAUUUUUACCGGCUAACCUGAAGUAGCCGGUUAUAAGGACUAAAUGUGUACAAUUUAACAAGUUGAAUGGGUAAAUAUAGACGAAAAAAAAUCAAUGACUAAAUAUGUAAAAAUCAAAUAAUAUAUUACCCUUUUAAGUCAUUAUCCCUUUGUUUUAGGGUCCUUAUUCCACCUCCCCUUUAAAAAAAACCCUUAUUCACAAGCUUUAUUUGUUUCCUUUCAUCCACUCGCUUUUUCUUUUAUUCACGCAACUUACCAUUUUGAGAUCAUGGUCCUUAUACUUUCAACAAUUGCUAAAAUACACCCAAACGCAGAGUUCCAAUUUAUAUUUCAUACUUUCUAAAAUUUCAAUUAUCCGUUGAACAUUUAUACUUUUAACAUUUAAUUAACCUUUGUUACUUUACUUUCAUUAUAGUUUCUCUUAUAACAUAUUUCACCUUUAAUUAUUUAUAAUUAUAUAAUAUUUUUUUAUUAAAUCAAUUUACAUAAAUUUAUAAAAGUGUUUACUUUUAUUUUAGUCCUUUUGUUUUUUUUAUUAUCUUCUUAUGCUUUAAAAUAUUUAUAAUUUAUUUAAAUACAAGGUUAUUUAUUUUUAUCAUUAACCCUUUUUCCAGUAGUUUUUCUUUAAUAAAAAAAAUUAUACAUUAUUGAAUUAAUAUACAUUAAAAGACAAAAUAUAUUUUCUUUAACAUAUUUCAAAUUACAUAAUAUUUAUGUUUUGAACAUAUAUUUAUAUAAAAAAAUCUUAUAUAUAAAAUGAGAUGUUUUUUAAUAUUUUUGUUAUAUAUAAAAAAACAUCACAUCAUUCAUCUAAAGGUGGAUAUUAAAUGGAUAGAAGAGGAGCUGAAUAUUGGAGAGUACUGUGUUGCUGCAUACAUACAUCUCCGAUGUUGCUGCAUACAUACAUCUCCGAUUGAUGCAUUUGAGACGAUAAAGAAACAAUAUAAUUAUAUAAAUGAAGUGAAGAGUAAGUUUACUCAUGAAAAUACAAAAAUUUGAACACAUAAUUAAUGAAGGGGACAGGUUGAGGAAAAAGUAAAACUAAAAAAUAGAGAAAGUUCAAUAACCCAAGAGAUAACAAAUACAAAAUUAUUAUUAUUAUUAUUAUUAUUAUUAUUAUUAUUUUGACAUUUCUAAGGUUAAACCAACAUAUAUGUAAUUAAGUUAUAAUAAUGAAAAACCCGGGAUUAAGAUAUAAUCAAUUUUCAAACAGAAUUAAAGAAUGGAGCCUUUUUUUUCCCAAUUAUAAAUUGUACCCAGGCCCGGCCCUGAAGGGGGCAAUGUGUGCAUCCGCAGGGCUUCGAAAAAAAUAGGGCUUGAGUUUUACCAAAAUAUAUAAUUAAGAUAUUAAUAUACAUUAAUAUAUAUUAUGUGUCCAAAAUCAAGUAUACUUUUUUUAGCGUGAGUUUAUUCCAACUUCAUUCCAUUAUAGGCCGGUCACUUAUAUAAUAAUAGGCGAUAUAAGGAUGUUUAUAUGUAAAUCUUCCAUGUUACAAUUUCUAUCCUUAAUUUAUCAUUCAUACUUAACAAUUUAUCCCGUAUAUGAACUCUUUUUAAUAAAUCAAUUUCCAAAAAUUCUGUAUUUAGCCCCUCAACUUUUUUAAAUUUAUAAUUGUCAUUUUGUUUAUUAAUUAAUUAAUUUUUUUUAGUUUUUUUUUGUGACAAUUCAACUUUUAAUUUAAAUUUCUAAUAUAUAUAUAUAUAUAUAUAUAUAUAUAUAUAUAUAUAUNGUCGGUUAGAUAUUACGAUAUAUUAUUACUUGUUAAAAUACUAUGAUUUUUCUGUGUUUAUUGCUAUAAAGUUUAUCGUCGUUUUUUUAUAAAAAAAACUUUAGUUUAUAAAAAUAAUUCAUCACACGUUAGGGCAUAUGACCAUUUUUUUUUCUGGUUCGUCCUGCACAUUUGAAUCCUCAAGAUCAACCCUGAUUGUACCAACCUCAAAUCCAACACCCACCUAACAACAUCUGACCCACCCAAAAGCAUUUCAUGUAUGUGACAAUGUGAGGACCAAUUCCAUGAAAAACCAUGUAGAAAACAAAAACUAAAUCAAAAAAACAGAAAUUUGCAUCCCCUUGUAAUGAAGAUGAAAUGGUGACAGCUUUGUGAUAACGAAUAAAUUCGAAAAUUGAGAUUUAAUGAAUAGGAAAUCCAUGGACUAUGGGCGUGAAUGGGGUUAGCCACAAGUUUCACCUAACACAUUUUAAUUUAAAGUCAACAAAGUAAACUCCUAAGAAAAGGUGGCGCCGUGAGUGAUGCAUCAAUCAUCUUGUAUAAUUAAAUAUCAAAUCCAACAAAUAUUUGACUUUUCACCCAACCAUCUUGGUCAUGUACACAAAAAACUAGAAUAUGUACAAAUGAAGAAGUAGAUAAUAACCCUAUUACCUGAUUCUUACUUGGAGCAAUGUGCAUGAAAAUCGAUGGAUAUCAUAUUUAAUUUAUGUCAUACACUAACGAUCUGAUCUUAUAUAAACACCAAAUCCAACAAAAGUUUCAAAAUUGACGCCUUUAAACAUAAAUAUGCCAUACAAAUAAAAAAAAUCCAAAUAUUAGUAUAAAUAAAACACUAUUAGAUAGCAAAUAUUAAAAAUAUACAUUUAAGAACAAACUGCAUCUAAGGGGAUCUAUGUGGCUUCUCUUCCUCUCUUGAUGUUUGCAACUCUGGCCACUGCAACAUAUAUCUUGUCCAUGGUUUCCUCAGCAAACCUGAAAAGCUUCCAUCUCCACUCCUUCUUGAACAACAGAACUCCAAUAACACCCCAAAACCCUGUCACAAAACCACUCAUUAUGUCCACAUAAAACAACCAGACCUCUACACGCUCCUGAGCUGUUUUGUGUUUCUUCUUGCGCUUUGUUGUUGGGUCUUCAAAAUCAGAGCAUUUCUUGGGCAAUGGAGCUCCACAUAGAUCUUUGUUUCCGGUAUAUAUUGAUGGAUCAUCCAGGGUCUGUAACUGAUUUCCUGUUGGAAUGGGUCCCGACAAGUUGUUGUAUGACAAAUUCAAAUGGCUCAAAAAAUUCAAAGCUGCCAUGCUUGGAGGGAUCGUCCCUGUCAACUCAUUUCUGGAUAAAUCAAGAGAAAAUAACUUCUUCAUGUUUCCAAUGUUAUAUGGAAUUCCACCAGUGAGAUGAUUAUUAGACAGGUUGAAACCCAUCAACAAAACAAGUGCAGUUAACUUGACUGGGAUUUCUCCUGAGAGUUUAUUGCUUGAAAGGUCCAUGUUAAAAAGUAGAUCCCACGUUUUUGUAUAUUCAAGAUCAACACCUUUCAUGACUUGAAUCACAUUAUCUUCGGGACGCCGAUAGUAUGGGUUAGAAUAAUCAUAUUUCAUGGCAUUCAGCUCUUCUAGACAAUCAGGUAUGCUUCCCAUCAAGUUGUUGUAUGCAACAUCCAAAAUCUGAAGAUUUGAAGAUUUGCACAAAGAUCGAGGAAUUCGACCAGUGAAGUUAUUUUUGUGUAACCUUAAAACCAUCAAAUUUUUAAGCCUUUCUCCAACCCAUUCGGGUAUGUUUCCUCGUAAUUGAUUAUCACCCAAAUCUAAGACUUCUAGAUUUCGUAAAUUCCCCAAUUCUAAAGGAGGCUCACCAAUGAAGUUAUUGUCAUUCAAUUUUAACCGGUAUAAUGAUGAAUUAAGAGCUAAGGAACCAGGAAUGACACCAGAAAGCCGAUUUGAACUAAGUAUCAUGGUAUGCAACUCUUGAAGAUUCCCAAGGCA